rnacentral:lncRNA from 1 species
GUUGCACUGAACCCUAGCGCACCCAAGGUGCAAUGAGUUGCGCCAAAUAACUUUAAUAUACUGCAGGCAUUCCCCACCAACGCAUGAGUUGGAGUUGUAGUCAUAAUAAGGCUUCUCCCCCACCCACAUGUUCACUGCAUCGGUGCCUGUCAAUGAAGGGGUGCCCCAGGCAAUGUUCUCACCGUAAGGCCCACUUGAAUGCACUAAAUUGCAAUCGCCAAUCCUCUGGUUAGCAUAGUUCUGGGCGUAGGCAGCUACAGUGUCAUUCCAUGUCAUAGAUUCAACACCAACUUCUGCACGCGCGGCAUUGUGAGCAUCGAGGAAGUCUUGUGGAGAGUUUUGGGCAUAGGAGAUGUGAGCAAGGACUAACCCCAUGAAACCAACAACUAGUGAAGAUGAGAUCUUACACAACCCCAUCUUUUAGUUUCUUAAUCUGUGUAUGCAAAGUGAGAGUUGAGAAAUGAGCAUAUAUGGUUUGAAGGGAAUGAGAAGAACUUGCAAUUUGGUCAGUCAAAAGCAUCAUUAAUAAAGCUUACAAGCAAUCUUUAGGCCACCAAAACUGGGCGCCCAUGGGCUGUUACGUGUGAAGGACGUUGAGAAAAGGAAAAUUCUACGAAGUGGGUACGUACCUCCAAAAUUCCUGGCCGUUGGAUCAAAAGAUUCCAAUCAAGACCAUCCAAAUGAAAAAUAGAUUAAAAUAAAAAAUGCAAAAGAAGGGUGCAAAAGGUUGCCAGUAGAUAUGCCCCCCUUUAUCUCCCCUCUCUCAAUUUUUGUCACACAUGUCAACAUCAAUUUCAAAAUUUUAAAUUAUUAAUUCUACAUUUGUUUUAUCUAUUUAUAACAAAUAUUAUCUUAGAAAGUAAAUUUCAAUCAAUUAUUAUAUUUAAGUAAAAGUUAUUACUAUAUUUUGAUCUAUCUUACAAUGUUUUUCAAUAUAAUAGGAAAGUGUAAAUACAACUAUCCAAUUACAAAUGCCCUCCAAAAUUUAUUUAAAAUCUAUAGAUUUUUUUUAUUUUUUUAUUUUACUUUAAAUAUUAAUAAAAUUGUUAAUUCGUAUAAUUUCACUUAGAAUUCAUAAAAAAAAAUAUGAGGAAAAAAUAAAAAAUAAAAAUAUUAAAAUUCUUACCCUCACUUAAUUUUAAGAAAUUUUUUUUUCAACUUCAAAUGCCAAUUAAAUUGUUUUUUCAUACUAAUUUCAAUUAGGAUUUUUGAUAAGUAGGAGGGUACGAAGAAGUGUUAUUCGUCAUUUUUAUCAAUUGUAAGUAUAAUUAAUAUUAAUAAGCACUAUUAGUACUAUUUGAAGUAGACAAAAAUUGGUUAAAAUUAAAACAAAUAGAAAAUUUGGAGGUACAAAGAAUAUGGGGAAAAGUAUAGAGAAUGUGAGGAAUAAUAGUGUUUAUUCCUCCCAUUUUUGUACCUCUCCAAUUUUGUAAUUUUUCUACUUUUAAAUUUUUAUUUUUUUAUUUUUUUUUUGUAGUAUUCAUACCCUCUCCAAUUUGGUAGUUUUUUACUUUUAAUUUUUUUUAUUUAUAAUUUCGAUCAAAUUUAAGUAUAAUUAGUAUGAAUAAAUGCUAAGAAAAAAAAAAUCUUAAAAUUAAAACAAGCGUAAAUUUGGAGGAUACGAAGAAUGUGGGAAAAUAAUAUUCACAUUCUUCACACCCUCCAAAAUUUUCAAUUUUCUAAUUUUAAGAAUUUUUUCCACUUGAAAUAACAAUUAUAUUGUGUAUACAUACUAAUUACAUUUAAUGAUGAUAAAAAUUAUGUGCAAACAAAUUUAAAACGAAAAAUACUAAAACAUUGGGAAGGGACGUAGAAUAUGAGACCCUUUAGAUUUUUCAUUUUUUUGAAUUUUAAGAAUUUUUUAAAAAUUUAUUUUAUUUUUUAUAAUAGUUAUAAUUGUCAUUUUUUAUAUUAUUAGAAUAUAAUUCAAAUUUUUAUUAUUCAUAGCCUAAAGUUAUAUAAAAGAAAAAAGGGAUAGUAAAUUAAUAAAUGUCAAAACUCGUAUAGGUAGAAACUAUAUAAUUAAAAUUUUAAACAUAUUUCAUCAUUAAUACUGAUAGAUUACAUUAUGAUAGGAUAACAUGAAGAUUUAUUAAAAUUUUAGUAUUUCUAAUGUUAUUAAACAUAUUUAACUUAUAGUUAUUUUUUUAAAUGAGAUUUUAUUAUUUAAAGUUGUUUAAAUUUUAAUAGUUAUAUAUUUUAUCAUUUUCAAAUUUAUUAAUUGUUUAUUUAUACUAUUUUGAUGUUUAUUAUCCUAUAAUAUUUGAUAAAUUAUAAAUCUUUAUAUUUAUUUUUAAGUUAUGAAAUUAUAUUACAUAUAUUUUAAAUACAUUUAUAUACACCUGUGGACCCCGCAUUUCGGCUCAUGCGUUUCCCACUCGAUGGCGAGCUCGAUUUUAAUUUGAAAAAUUGAUCUUUAUUGAUUAAGAAAAAUUGACUUGGAGUCGCCACUUAUUUUUAUUUUAUUUUUAAAGGGUAAACAAAAUAAGAAAGAAAAACCCUAAGUGUGACUCCUUGUUUUGGAAAAGGUGGUCUGUGAAAAACCGGAUCGGGUUCGGGGGUCAGGUUACUUAUCGGGAAGGUACGGUAGAGACCGUAGCACCCCUCUAAGUCCCUAAAUUCGGGUCUCUACUAAUAAAGUGAAACUGACGUGGCAAUCGAAUAAGAAAGUCAAUGGAUACUCACAUCAAUCAUGCAUAUAUGAGAAUCAGAAUAUGUAUACUGAAUGAUCAGAAUGAGUGAAUGCGUACCUGGGCAGCAAAUAGCAAACAGCAACGCGCUAUCAUGGAAUGAGGUUAGUGAAUAAACGCAAAAUGAUUAUAUGUAUAUCAAGGAACAAAGUAAAUCGAUCACACAUGGCAAAUGAAUCGAUCAAUCAGUCAAUCAAUCAUGGAAUCUCAUAUGUGGGACCCCCACCAAAGCCCAUUCUAUUUUGCACGAAUUAGUCCCACAAAUUCCAUUAUUCUGGAAUUAUGAAAAUAGCAUUCGUGCUUAUAUAAAAUCAAGAGAAACCGAAGAUUAUUUGAAACCCGAAGAGAAUUAAAACUGUUAGAGAGAAAAUUGGAUUUUUGAAAUUUAUUUGAAAAUUGGAGUAUUGGGAAUUAAAUUUAAGAGUUGGAAUUUUAGGAUGUCAAACUUGAAAGAAAUUAGAAUUUUAGAAAUCGAAAAUUAAGUUUGGAAAUUGGGAUUCAAAAAAAUGUUUAAAAAUGGAAUUUUGAAAUAAAUAAAUGGAAUAAUAAUAAUAAUAAGGACGAAAAUAAUGAUUAAAUAAAUGAAUGGGAAUGCUGGAAUUUUUGAAAUUGGAAAUUAGAUUUGAAGGUCGGAAUUGUUUAAAGAAUGAAUUUUUGAAAUAAAAUAAAUAGAAUAAUAAUAAUGACGAAAGUGAUGAUUAAAUGAAUGAACGGAAUUUUCGGAAUUUCUUCGUAUUGGAAAUUAGAUUCGGAAGUCGGAAAAUUGGAACUGCUUCAUGAUAGAAUUUUAAAAUAAGCAAAUAAAUAAAUGGAAUAAUAAUAAUAACGAAAAAAUAAUGAUUAAAUAAAUAAACCUGAAUUUUGGAAAUUUUGAAAUUGGAAAUUAAAUUCGGAAGUCGGAAAUUUUAAAGAAAUGUUUAAAAUAGAAUUUUAGAAUGAAUAAAUAAACUAUUAGUGAUAAAUUAAUGUGAAUGUGAGAAUUUUUCGAGAUUAGGAAUUUAAUUCGAAAAUCAAAAGUUUUAAAGAAUUGAUUUAAAAUGGAGUUUUAAAAUAAAUGAAUAAAAUACUAAUGAUUACAUAAAUUAAUGGGAGUACGAGAAUUUUCGGGAUUAAGAAUUUAAUUCGGAAAUUAGAAGUUUUAAAGAAUUGAUUUAAAAUGGAAUUUUGAAAUAAAUGAAUGAAAUAUUAGUGAUUAAAUAAAUUAAUGUGAAUAUAGGAAAUUUUGGGAUUAGGAAUUUAAUGCGGAAAUCAGAAGUUUGAAAAAAAUUUGUUUAAAGAUAGAAUUUUUAAAAUAAAUAAAUAAAUGGGAUAAUAAUAAUAAUGACGAAAAUAAUAAUUAAAUAAAUGAACGUGAAUAGUGGAAUUUUUUUAAAUCGAAGAUUAAAUUUGAAAGUUGGAAUUGUUUGACGGUGGAAUUUUAAAAUAAAUGAAUGAAUAAAUAGAAUAAGAAUAAUCGCAAAAAUAAUAAUUAUUAAAUAUGUAAAUACGGGAAGACCUAAAAAGAAUCUAAAGAUGAAAUAUUAGAGAGUUGAAUUACUUAAAAACUAGAUUUUAAAAAAAAAACAAUUUUUAAAAUUGGUGGGCUUUGGAAGUGGGCCAAGCAAGGUGGCCAUGCAAAGGUGGAGGAAAUAGGGUUGAUGGGUAUUUGGAAAAUGGGUAUGUGGUGGGCUUUGGAAGUGGGCCAAGAAAGGUGGCCAUGCAAAGGUGGGUUGAUGGGUAUUUGGAAAAUGGGUAUGUGGUGUAGAGAGAUAACCGGGUAGGGAGUAGAAAAUGAAUGAGUUAGUGAGAAAAUGAGGGCUUGGUGGUAGUGGGUAUGAAGAUGGGAGGAUGAAAGACGGGUUUAAUAGGUAUGCAUGGAGAUGACUUAGAGAGAGAAAAGGGUAUGAAGAUGGGUAUGGGGGGGAUGAGAAUGGUGGUGAGUAAAAAAAAAGAUGGGUAUGGAGAUGGUUGGCAUGAUGGAUGGAUAUGAGUUGUAGGGAAGAUGGGUAUGGGGGGUGAGUGUGUUUAUGCAUGCAUGAGGGUUGGUGGUAUGGAGAAAUGAGAAGAAUGAAAGCGGGUAGCGAGAGAAACGGGAAAUGGGUUUAUAUUCUUGUACAUGGGUGGCAUGGGUGAUGAGAUAUGAGUAUGAAGGUGAUAGGAAGAUGUAUGCACGAGAUUGGUGGUAUGGAUAUAAGGGAGAAAUGGGCAUGGCAUGGCCAUGCAAGAGUGGGGAGAAAUGGGUUUGGCUGGUAUUUGGGAAAUGUCAUGAAGGGUGCAUGGUGUGGUGAUGAGAGAGAAAAGGUGGUGAGAAAAAAAAUGAAGGCUUAGAGAGAGGAAUGGGUUUAAGGGGGGUGUAGUUAAAUGAGGAUAUGUAUGGGAUGAAAAAUGAAGUAUGGAUGAUGGGCUUGGGAGGCCCGUGGUGUAGAGAGAGAGAGUGUGUGGUGAUGGGUAUAUGAAGGUUUAGGUGGGCUAUAGUGAGGGUGAACACGUUAAUGAAUGGAUAUGGAAGACAUGGGAUGAGAUAAGUGGAAUGGGUAGUGGGAUGAUGACCUUGUGCAUGAAAGAGAGGUUGAAGGGAUGGGUGAGUGACUAUGCAUGUGCAAGGAUAGGCUGCGGGUUGGUGGAGUGAGUAGGGUGGUGCAUUUCAAUGACGGUGAGCAUGGGCACGGGUAUGAAGGGCAGUGUUGACUUGUAGGAUGAGGACUCCCUUUCUAACAGCUUCCUGCAGCUUUUCAGCUAUUCCGGUUGGAGCAGAGACACUAGGGAGUUUACUUGAUGACAUAACCCAAUAAAUUGCCUUACAACAUUCAGCAUACCCACAAACAACCAUGAGCCUUCAUUAACCAACACAAGUAACUUCUCCACCAAGAUUAAUUACACCAAUGCACUGAAAAGUUUGACAAUCUCGCAUCCUCAUAGUCUCAUCUUCACUUCCAGUAUAAGGCUUAUCCAACCCAGACGGCAAAGUAAUCCCAAAUACAAAACUUCUAUUCAACUCCAUGGCCAAUAUUUUGGACUAAUAAGCUAGAGCACAUAUAUAAUCACAGAAGCCCUCCAUUGAGUUCAUGUCUCUUCACAAACUCACUUCUUCAGUCUCGGCAAUUUGGCCAUUGGUCACCUCAGUCCCACCACCAACAAGAAACAGAGCAAUACAUAGAAAGGAGAAUCAACAGGAAACGAAACAUGAUCUUUAUAUAAUCGGGUUCAGGGAUGAAACUAUACAUCAGAUACUUAAUGAGGGAGUCGAGGAAACCAAGAUAAAGUCAAACAAAGCAUAUAUGCACACAAACAGAUUCAGGAAAACAGGCCAGUAAUCCUAGAUGCCCAAACCUAUCAAUGAAUCACACCCAGGAAUAUGCAGAAAGAUUUAGCAGAAUAGUGUGAUAACAGGAAAAAGUGAAAAUCAUAGGGACGUUACCUGGAAGUUUCUUCCUCGAGCAGAGUAUGCUUGUCCUCAAGCACUCUCUCUCCCUCCAAAAUAUCUCACCCGGCCAUCCCCAGCAUCACACUUCUCCCGCUCCAAAAAAUCAUUGUAUAGAAACCUCCGAAACGUUUUUUUUUCACCCCUCUCCGGCUCGCUCUCGUCUGAAUAUCUCCCACACGGACGUCCUCUGCCUCCAGAAAAGCCCCCCGUCUCCUCUGCAGAUCUCCCCUUCUUUUCUUCCUAUCUAGCCUCUUUUUUCUUUUUUUUUUUCUCUGUUCCUGUCUUCCUGCGCAAGCCAGCCAUCCUACUGCUACACAUCCCAUCUGCCGCCCCCCAGAGCAGCCCACUCGAGAGCCGUCAGAGAAAACCGCAAAAAAAUAAUCAUAAUCCCCCGAAAGCUCUGCUCUUCGGGUGGGGGGGUCUACAACACCCUUGUCUUUUUCCCAAUAAAGACCCAAUUAAAUCCUCAUUCCUCGUCCUUCCAUGCCUUUUAAGCAGGUUCGUCGAUUGACCCUAUUAGGUGAACCGAACUAGGUUAAGGUCCGGGAUUCGGGUUUGAUCCGAUUUUUAAAAUAUAGACUGAACAAAGAAUCAAUGUUUUAAAAACCGGACCGGUCAUUGAACCGAAAAAGUUACCGGUUCACGGUUCACUGGUCGGACCGCCGGUCGAACCGCUAUCGAACCGGUGACGUCAUAAAUAUAUAUUUUAUUAUUUUUUAUAAUAUAAAAAUUAAAAAAUUAAUAAAUUCUAUGUAAAUUUUGAUAGCAUCUACUUUGUUUAUUGAGUAACUUGAGUUUUGUCACAAAAUUUUUUACCUGUAGAAGUCAUCAAUUAUCAUAUAUGAUAUUUAUAACACAAUAUAAGAUAUUAUACAUUCAUAAUGUCAAUAAACUCAAUAUUUAUCAAAUAAUCAAACCAUUACUAUCCUAUAAUAACCAAAUUAUCAAAGAGUUGUUAACUUAACACAUUGUCCAUAACAAAUAAUACAAAUGUCAAUCAUAGGUCCACAACACUUAAAUAAUUACUCAAAAUAAAAACAUAACAUGUCAAUGUUUGAAUAUUCAUGAAGAUUUUUGCAUACUAAUAAAUAUAAAAUUCAUGUCUUCAUUUAUUUUGGAAAUUGGAAUAUGGAGAUUGAAAAUGAGCAUUUGGAAAACCAAAAAAAAAAUUAAAAUAAUUUGAACCGGUUUUUUCCCUCAGAACCGGCCGGUUCGUCCGGUUCACCGGUUGGACCGCCGGUUCAAACGGUCCAAUCCCGGUUCGGUCUCCAUCCGGUCUAAUGACCGGACCGAACCGGAACGAUGACCGGUUGGCGGUCCAACCGGUCGGACCGGCCGGUCCGGUCCGGUUUUUAAAACCAUGCAAAGAAUUGUCCUUAUCCUCUUUUCCCUUUUCGGCGAAGACUUGAGUCAUUUGCCAGAUUUAAGUCGUGAAGGUCUACAGAUUCAGUCUCCUAAGAAAUUGGGCAUGAAUCGCAGCCACCAUUCUUGACUUUUUGCUUUGUUUCGCAUGAAUGCGCAUGUACUAUCUAAUCAGACUGGGGACAACACAUUUACCACCAUUUUUGCCCGGGAGACUCGGUUUGUUGGGUCAACGGUGGAAUCCAAGUCUACUGAGAAAUAAUAUAAAUAUUAUAAAUAUAAUCUGAACAAAAUAAGUACAUGGUGAUUUUUUUAUAUUUAAAAUAAAAUAUUAUAUUACAAGCAUUAAAUAAGUUUUAUUUAUUGGAUCGUUAUUAUAAGUAAAUAUAUUUUUAUAUUAAUAAGUAAUUCUGGUAUUACUUAUAAGCAUAUUAGACCGUGUUAUCACACCAUCAUAAAAAAAUAAAAAUGAAAAAUUAGACAAAGAAAAUGAAGGAAAAAAGAAGAAGAUGAAAAAUAGAAAAUAAGGGUAAUGUCACGUUGAAUAAGGGGUGUUUGUUAAAAUUUAAUAGUUAUUAAAUAAUGAUUUAAGUUGAUUUUAAGUUAAAUUAUAUUUAAAUUAUUGACUUAAAACUUAUUAUUUAAUUAUUAUUUUAAGUAUUAAGACUGUUUCAUAAAAUUAACUUAAAAUUUAUUUUAAAUCAUCAAAUUUACUCUUAUAAAUUAUAAUGAGAGCAAAGAAGAUUGAGUAACAGUGGAGAUCAUUAAGGCAAUUAAGACAAAUAAAGGUAAAAAAAUUAAAUAAAUAUGUGAACUUAAAAAUAAGUUAAUUAUUUUUAUUUAUUACUUGAAGUGGUUUUUUUACUUAAAGUCAUACCAUUAAAUUAUUUUACCAAACAUACUUAAUGAUUUAAAUUAAGUUAUUAAGUUACUUUAAGUUAUUAAGUUGAUUUAUCAUAUACCCUUUAAGUUACCGUAUGUUUAACAUUAUAUAAAAUACAUUUUUAUUUUAUGUAUGAUAUCACAUGUAAAAACACUAUACAUGUAUCCUAAAAUAUAUUGUAAUAUUACCCCUUCAUACUAAUAUAUCUCAUAACAAAUGAGGUAAAUGUCAUAUAACUUUUGGUUAUAUUCAUUUUACAAUGUUUUUUAAUUUAACCAAAAACUCAAUAUCGAGUAAUUUUUUUUAAAGAUUUUGGAUUUAUUUGGCAAUUGUUUUAUAGAUCAGAAAUCUAUUUUUGAGAAUAAAAAAAUAAGAAAACAUAUUCGAUAAUUAAAAAUUAUUUUCUAUUUUCUAUUAUGGAGAAUAAAAACAAAAUGUUUUAAGAGAACAUCUUUUAGUUAUUUUCUUUUGUUUUCAUUUGUUUUCUAAGUGUUAUUUUUUAAAAAAAAAAAUUAACAACCAUAUAAAAUGAUUAAAAAUAAAGUAUUGGAUAUAAAAAUUAUUUUUAAAACAUAUUUAAAAAUAUUAAAAAUAGGUUAAAAACAUUUUAGGUUUCCAAAAAAAAUUUUAUUUUACAAAACAUCUUAAAAUAGCUUUUAAAACCUGUUUUUUGGAACUAUUUUAAAAAACAAUUAUCAUACAAAACUUUUAUUUUUUAAAAUAGUUUUUCUUUAACCAAAAUUUUUUUAAGGAGAGAAACUGAGGAAGAAAGGUAUGUGAUUCUAACAAAGAGAUGAUUGAUCAUUUUGGACAAUUAAAACACGGAAUUAUUCUGAAUUGGAAAAUUGUGAUUUCUUCUAAGUUAAAACCCAUACAUUCCCUCUCAGCAAAAACAACUGAAUGAUCAAAAACCAAUGUUAAAUCAACAUAAAUAUGAACACUUCUGUGGUAUAAAUAAAAUUUAUCUAAACUAGUAUGAAUAAAAGUUGGCAUGAGAUAUUUUUCUUCAUAAAAAAGAAAGAAAAAAGAAAAGUGCAUAAAAAUAAAUAUAUUACUUGUGAUGUCCACGAAUAGGGGAGAAAGUUUUUAACUAUGUAAACGUAUUACUCUCCUCAGUAAAUAGCAACUAUACAACUAUGACCGUUGUUAGAGUUCUCCGUAAAAGGACGCUGUCCAACGUAGUUGCCUGGAGGAUCAUAGUUGCAAGUGACAAACCACCCGCCACUGUUGCACUGAGCCCUAGCGCACCCAAGACACAAUGAGUUGCGCCAAAUAACUUGAGUAUAGUGCCCGCAUUCCCCACCAACGCAGGAGUUGGAGUUGUAGUCAUAAUUGUUCAAAUUGAUAAAUGAUAGUUUUUUCAUUCAUAUUUUCAUUCAUUCAUGUACAGAGUAUAUAUAGAGGGUAUCACCAUUCUAAGAAUGGGGAAGAAUUAUACAAGGAAAGAAUGACAUAAGGAAAUAACAAUUAAUAUCUUAAUAUCUCAACUUUCCUAAUAUCUCAAUAUUCAUAAUAUCUCAACUUUCCUAAUAUCUAAACAUUCCUAAUAUCUCAACACUAAAUGAUAUAAGGAAAGCAUUACUAAUAUCUCAACACUCCCCCUCAAGUUGGUGCAUAGAUGUCACACAUGCCCAACUUGUCUAAAAAUUUUGAGAACACUUGACUUGAGACAACUUUGGUAAGGAUAUCGAUCAAUUGAUCUUCUGAUUGAAUCUUAGGCAAUUCCACAAUCUUAUCAUCCAACUUUUCCUUAAUGAAGAAUCUAUCCACCUCGACAUGCUUUGUACGAUCAUGUUGUAUUGGAUUAUGAGCAAUGUCACACGCGGCUUUAUUGUCACAAAACAAUCGGAUUGGUUGCCUAGAUAGGUAACCUAAAUCCUGUAAGAGGAGUCUUAGUCAUAAUGCCUCACAAAGUCCUAGAGUCAUACCUCUAAAUUCCGUUUCUACACUUGAACGAGCGACGACAUUUUGCUUCUUACUUUUCCAUGUUACAAGAUUACCACCUACAAAGGUAAAGUAACCAGAUGUAGAUCGCCUAUCAUCCACUGCACCGGCCCAAUCAGCAUCAAUAUAUACUUCUAUACUUUGAUGAUCAACAUUUUUAGCGAACAAAAUUCCCUUCCCAGGAGCAUUCUUCAAAUACCUCAAAAUACGCAUGAUUGCAUUCAUAUGUUGCUCUCCAGGAUUAUGCAUGUAUUGACUCACUACACUCAAUGCAUAAGUAAGAUCUGGUCUUGUAUGAGCUAAGUACAUUAAUCUCCCCACAAGUCUCUGGUAUCUUCCCAUAUCAGUUGAUACUUGAUUAGGCUCAACACACAAUUUCAAACCUUCUUCUAUUGGUGUAUUAACAGGUUGACAUCCCGACAUUCCAGUCUCCUGUAAAAGAUCUAAGGUAUACUUUCUUUGAGACAGAAAAAUUCCUUCACUUGAUCAAGAAACUUCAAUCCCAAGAAAGUAUUUUAGAGGACCUAGAUCUUUCAUUUCGAAUUCUCUAAAUAGAUAAUUUUGCAGAGCUUUUCUUUCUUCAGGAUCAUUUCCUGUAACUACCAUGUCAUCCACAUAUACGAUGAGUGUCGUAAUCUUACCAUGUUGCUUUUUCAGAAACAAAGUGUGAUCUGAAUUUGCUUUGACGAUAGCCAAAAGCUCUCAUUGACUUUGUGAACCUUCCAAACCAUGCUCUCGGGGAUUGCUUCAACCCAUACAAUGACUUCUUCAAUUUGCACACCUUCUGACAUUGCUUUUCUAACACCAUGCAUCCUGGUGGAAGAUCCAUAUAUACUUCUUCAGAUAACUCACCAUGCAGAAAGGCAUUUUUCACAUCAAAUUUUUGUAAUGGCCAAUCUAGGUUUGCAGCUAAAGACAGUAAUACUCGAACUGUGUUGAUCUUAGCUACAGGUGCAAAUGUCUCUGUGUAGUCAAUUCCAUAAGUUUGAGUGUACCCUUUUGCUACCAGUCUUGCUUUAAAUCGUUCAAUACUACCAUCUGCCUUGUACUUCACAGUAUAGAUCCAACGACACCCAACUGGCUUCUUUCCUGGUGGACAUUCUACGAGUUCCCAUGUUUCAUUCUUCUACAAUGAUUUCAUCUCUUCAUUCAUAGCUGUUUUCCACCUUGGAUCAGCUAAGGCUUCUUGCACACUAUUAGGAAUAGCUACAGUAGAUAAUUGAUUUACAAAUGACUUGUUUGAUUCAGACAAACGAUGGUUAGACACAUAGUUGCUUAUGGGAUAUUUGACUUUGGUAGACAAUUCAGGUUCAUAUAUGGGUUUAGGAAUACCUCUAUUAUGACGGUGUGGUAACCGUUUCAUGAAUGAAUCGGGUUCCAAAUUAAGAACACCCUCAACAGACGACGAUUGGUUUGGUAUUUCAGUGAAGACAUUUUCGGACCCAAAUUGUUGACCACUCAUAUCCAACUCACCCACUUCCUGGUUCACUAGUUCAGAUUGUCCAUAUUCAUCUUCCUCAAAUAUAUGAUAAUCAUAAUCGAGAGUCUGAAUUUCCUUAUGGUACUCCCCCUGAAGUUCAGACUCAGAUGAAAAAUACAUCGAAUCUUCAUGAAACACCACAUCCAUUGUAAUAUACAUUUGUCGAGUUGGAGGAUGGUAACAUCGAUAUCCCUUUUUGUGCAAUGCAUAUCCAACAAACACACAUUGUAAUGCAUGAGAAGUUAACUUGGUGCGUUGGUGCUUGUGUAGAUGCACAAAUGCCACGCAACCAAAAACACGAGGAGGUAGAUUUGGGACAGUUGGGGCAACUACGACAUUAGUAAGAGCUUGGAGUGGUGUUUGAAAGUUAAUUGAGCUAGAAGGUACCCGAUUGAUCAAGUAUGCAGCAGAUGUGAUUGCUUCUCCCCAAUAAGAUAUCGGUGUUUUUGCUGCUAUCAAGGAAGCACGAACAACCUCUAACAAGUGCCGAUUUUUUCGUUCAGCGACUCCAUUUUGCUGGGGUGUAUUGGAACAAGUAGUUUGAUGAAUGAUGUCAUGUCAUUCCAAAUACUUUUGAAGAUCAGAACUUUGAUAUUCUCCACCAUUAUCACUACGCAAAACCUGAACCUUUGCAUUGUACUGAGUUUCAAUCACUUUAUGAAAUUUUUGAAACAAUAAGUUCACUUCAUCUUUGGUCUUCAUCAAGCAUAACCAUGUCAUUCUAGUACAAUCAUCAAUAAAAGUAACAAACCAACGUGAGCCACUCAAAGUUGGGACUUUGGAUUGGCCCCAAACAUUAGAAUGUAUAACCAUAAAAGGAAACGAACUUUUAUUUAAAAUUAACGAAACGAAGCACAAUGACUUUUAACCAAUUCACAAAUAUCACAACGGAAACCAGAAAUAUCACUCUUUGCAAACAAACUAGGAAACAAUUUUUUUAAAUAACCAAAGGAAGCAUGUCCCAAACGUCGAUGCCAUAACCAAAUUUCAGAUUUUUUCUUCUCUCCCUCAAAUUCAUCUGCCAUCAAGGCUUGUUGCAACUUAUUUGAAUCCUUUGACUGCAAGUCUAAGUAAUAGAGUUUUCCCCGCUUAAUACCACAACCAAUCGUUUGUCUUGUUUGGAUGUCCUUAAUCACACAAAAUUCAAGCCAAAAAAUGACAAUACAAGAUAAGGUUGCAGUGAUUUGAGAAACUGACAAAAGAUUGUAAUCUAAAGAUGGAACAACUAAAACAGAAUUCAAAUUCAAAGUAUCAGUAAGAGUUAAUGAUCCUUCCCCAAUGACUGGGGUUAUGUUACCAUUGGCUGUGGAAACAAUUUUUUGUAAGGAAGGUCUAAGGGUUGAAAUGUCUAGAAUCAAAAGUCAUAUGAUCUGUAGCACCAAAAUCAAUUAUCCAUGCACUAUUAAUAACAGGUGUAAAAGUAUUUAAAAACUUACCACCAUGAUCUGUAGCGGCUACCAAUGUAGAGGCUUUCUCAGCAACAUUAACCUCUGUUUUUAUUUCGGCAAUAGUUGCAGUCGAGGUUUUCUUGGAAUCCUUCUUCCGUUGAUCACAAUUAUUAUCAUUAAUAACAAAGUGUUGAUAACCUAAACAUGAUUUAAAGGUCCAUGGUUCAAACCCUCGGUUCCUUAUUUUUUUCUUGAUUAUACCAAGAGUCGUUGCUUUGAAAUUGUGGGAUAUCCAGAUUGGUGGGAUCAGUCUUAUUGCAGUGAGUGCCUUUGAAGGUUGACUUAUCAAUAUUAGGGCUUGUCUUAGGAUGGUUGAUCGCUGUCGGACUACCAUAGUGACAAAAUAUCCAGGAUUUCAGUUUCAUGGCUCUGAUACCAUGUUCAAAUUGAUAAAUGAUAGUUUUUUCAUUCAUAUUUUCAUUCAUUCAUGUACAGAGUAUAUAUAGAGGGUAUCGCCAUUCUAAGAAUGGGAAAGAAUUAUACAAGGAAAGAAUGACAUAAGGAAAUAACAAUUAAUAUCCUAAUAUCUCAACUUUCCUAAUAUCUCAAUAUUCCUAAUAUAUCAAUAUUCAUAAUAUCUCAACUUUCCUAAUAUCUAAACAUUCCUAAUAUCUCAGCACUAAAUGAUAUAAGGAAAUAAUGAUAUAAGGAAAGCAUUCCUAAUAUCUCAACAAUAAUUAGUCUUCUCCCUCACCCACAAGUUCACUGCAUCGAUGCUUGUCGAUGAAGGGGAGCCCUAGGCAAGGUUCUCACCGUAAGGCCCACCUGAAUGCACUAGAUUGCAAUCGCCAAUCCUCUGGUUAGUAUAAUUUUGGGCGUAGGAAGCCACAGUGUUGUCCCAUGACAUAGGCCCAACACCAACUUGUGCGCGCGUGGUGUUGUUAGAUUUUUCAUUUUUUUUGAAUUUUAAGAAUUUUUUAAAAAUUUAUUUUAUUUUUUAUAAUAGUUAUAAUUGUCAAUUUUUAUAUUAUUAGAAUAUAAUUCAAUUUUUUUAUUAUUCAUAGCCUAAAGUUAUAUAAAAGAAAAAGGGGAUAGUAAAUUAAUAGAUGUCAAAACUCAUAUAGGUAGAAACUAUAUAAUUAUUAUUCAUAACCAAAAGUUAUAAAAAUAAUAAUUAAGAAAAUAAAGGCUAAUUUUAAAUGAGAAAAACACCCAAAAGGGGGGUGAAUUGGGUUUUUAAUUUUUUUUUUAAACACGACAAAUUUAAGCACAAGAGAAGCAAAUAAAAAGAGAUAGAGUUAGAAAAAUCAAACUCAAAUUUUAUAGUGGUUCGACACUUCCUUGCCUAUGUCCAGUCUCCUCAAGCUCCUAACCGAGUGAGUGUUCCACUAACUUUAAGCUACAACCAAGUUUCUAAUCACCUUUACACUUGAAUUCCGACUCCAAUGAGCUCUUACACAACCUCUUCAAGUUUCAACUCACUUGAAGGCUUUAACACUCAAUUUACAAGAAUGAAUCUCUCAACCUAGCUUAACAAUAGCUCAAAUACAACUUAAGGCUAGGAUGAAUUACAAAGGUGCACUAAAAGAUAUGUAAGUGAAGAUUUAAUACACCUAGAAAGAAAUGAGAGCUUUUAAGGCAAGAACAAGUGGGUAGACAAAUAAAUGCAGGUGUUUUCUUACUCAUAAAUGAAGUGAACCUCUUUAUUUACAGGUUUCUAACUUCGGGAGACAAGAAAAUAAAAAAGCAGCCUCAAUCGGUCGAGCUGGGGUCAACUAGUUCACUAGCCAUUGGAGCAUUAAAUGCUUUGGCAAGUUACCGUUGCUUUGACUGGACCUUGAUCGAAGGUCGACCGAGAAGGCAAAUACCUUGAUCAGGAAGGGAAGACUACUGGAAAAGAGAGGGUGCUUUCUAUACUCCUCGACCGAACCUCGACUAGGAAGAGGGAACCGGUCGACCGGUGCCUUGGCCGAUUGAACCGGUUGGCUAAUGCCUCGAUCGAUUCACCAUUUUUGACUCGAAAACCUAUAUUUUUAUGGUCUUUUCUCUUCUACCACUUAGGCAAGGUCUUUAGGUAAACUAGUAUGCCAAUUUUGAAGUAAUUUGCCUACGGUUCAUUUGAUAAAACUCGGGUUUUGAUGAAACUGCAACUUUAAAUAAUAAAUCGAGUUUUUGAGAGAUGCAUGAAAUGAUAUGUAUAACUUAAGUGCAUCCAUGCAUUCAUCUUACAUUUGUUUCCUAUGAUUAAAGGUCUUUCAAACGUCUUGAUCUUGCAUCCAUUAGAUCAUUUGAUGAAUUUCCAAAUUAAUACCUUAAAUUCUUAAUAAUUCAAACCAAUUGGUAACUUAACCAUAAUUUGUUAUCAUCAAAAUAUGAUUAGGAGAGCCCUUGGGCUAACAAUAAUAUUAAUACUUUUUUUGUACAAAUUAAAAUUAUAUAUGGUCAAAAGUUAUGUAAUUAUUAUUCAUGAUUAAAAAUUAUGAAAUAAUGAUAUUAAUAUAUUUUUGUUUUGUACUGGCCAAAAUCUCAAUCAAUUUUUUGUUCCUGAUUGAGAAGUAUUAAAUAUGAUCAUUGAUGUUUGUAACUUGAAUUAUUCUUAUUGUGACUAUAAGUAUGGAUUUUUCAUUCGAAUUUCACAAUGCCAAAAAAUUCUAGCACAAUUGGAUCAUUAUAUGAAAUCUCUUUAUUUUUAAGAAUUUAUAAUUUACAGUUUUUAAGAUUUACUUAAAUUGUGCUUCUUUUUUAAUCUUUAUAUACACUAUAAUUAUUUUAGAGUGUGUUUGAUAGUGAUUUUAUGAAACGUUUCUAAUAUUUUUAAUGCUUGAAAGAUCAAAAUUUUCAAAUAUUCGAAAAACUAAAAACACUUUCUAGAAUCCCUACCAAACACACUCUUAAUUAUCGAUAAAGUGAAGAGAGUGAAAAGAAAAUGUCUAUUUGAUGUUUUAAGUAUCCUUAAAAUAGAGAUAUACUAUUUAUAUAUUCUCUAUGCUAUUUACUAUUUAAUUCGAUUCUUUCCAUUUGAAACAUUGAAUUUUAUAUGUUUUAUUUACUAUUUAAUUCACUUCUUUCUAGUUGAAAUGAUGAAUUUUAUAUUUGGAUAAAAUAAUGAGAAUAAAUUAUCUUAUAAAGAUUAAAAAAACAAAAGAGAAGAAUUUGAAUAAGAUUGACUUUAGUUUUUAAACUCUACCAUAUUAUCCUUUUAUAAAAGGAAUUUAAUUCUAAGUAAACUCUUUCGAGUUAUUUCUUUUACUUUUUGAUAAUAAUUUAUUAAAAGACAUUAUUUUUCAAUUUUUUUUAAUCAACAUAUAAGAAGUGAAGGAGUCUCUUCUAAUUAUAUCAAGGUCAAUAUAAUAUGAGAUAAUUAUAUUUCAAGCAAUUGUGAAUUCAAUUAUAUUGCAAUUUUUUCAUACUCCUCUAUCAACACCUAUGAGAGUAGCAAAUAACAAAAAAAAAAAAAAACAAGUUUUCUAAUAUAAUUUUAUCAAUGUUUCAAAAAAUAAAUAAAUAAAUAAAACAAGGAUAAUUAUAUUGUUAAUUUAAGAAUAAUAUUAUUCAAGGAGACUUAUCAUGUCAAUUUUAAUUAUAUUAUAUAUAUCAAUAAUAUAUAUCUUUAUAAUAUUCCAAUAAUCUUGUUUCAUAAUGUGUGAUGAUUUUUAUAUUAAGGUGAUAUAUUUUUGGCAAUAAUUAUUAAAUUGAUGUUAUAAAUUUGAAAUGAUAUUUAUCUUAAAUUAAUUUAGACUCAUAAAAUUUAAUGAGGUGAUAUUGUAGUGCUAUUGGAAGAUAUAUAAUACUAUUAUUUAAACGUCUUUGCUAUGAUUCUUAUACAUUUCAUUAAUAAAAGAAUUAAAGAAAAUCGUAUUUGCACAAUCAUCAUAUUUUAUAUAUUUAUGAGAUAGUUGCAAUUCAAUAUGCAAUAAAUUUUAACCAUAAAUAAAUUUGAAUAAAUUAUUUUCAUGUGUUAUUAUUAUAUUAUUUGUGCAUUAUAAUUAUUACGUGGAUAAGUAUAUUAAAUGAUAAUGGUGUGAUUUUGAUAGAAACUUUUUAACUUUAAAAUGUAUAUGUCAAAUGAUUUAUGCAUAUACUUUUUUAAUUGAUUAAAAAAUAAGGUUACACUGUUUUGUUAUAUUUUAUAUAUAUGGCAUAAUUUGUUUAAUAUGCUAGGAUAAUUUGUUUAAUAUCAUGCAAGAAACAUGCACAUUUAUAAAUUUAAUUGUGAAUUGAGACACUUUACAUUUUAUUUUCUAUGUCAAUAUUGAGAUAAUUCCAUGUAGCAAAAUUAAAAUUUUAUAUUCAAGAUUAGUCUCUAGUAUGCUUAAUUAUGUUAGCUUAAAUGUCUUGUACCACCUAUAAAUUAGAGGAUGAAACUUUUACAUCCUCAACAAUAACUAAUCUUUUACUUUUUAAGUUUUAACUCUCCCUUUAUAAUAAGUUUUCUUAAACCCUUAAAGGGUAAGCUUUUUACAACAAGCUUUAUGGAUUGUCAUUUUGGUGAAACUCUUGUCUUAUCAUUUGUACAACAUUGGUAAUAGUUGAUGUUAAUAUCAUGUCAAAAAAUUAGAAAUUGAUUAAAAGCUCUAGAAGAAUUAACAUUAUGUUAUUAGUGACACGAUUCUAUGUGAAUAACACUUUACAUUCUAUUAGAUCUAGAAGAAUCUAACAUGACCAACUUUGUCUCUUAGGAUAAACAGUAAUGCAUCAAUUCAUUAUACAGUCACAUGGACAUAAAUUGUAAAAUUAGAAGUUUUUACUUAGUAACUAAUUUAAUAAAAUGUUGUAUAAAUUGUCUUUUUGAUGAGACAAUUUUCCCACGGUUAGGGGAGAAAAGCUAAUUCCAAAAGAAUGAUAUGAAAAUUUGGAUUCAAGAAGAAUAACAAGAAAUUUUUGGAAAUAUUUUAUUGACAAAUAUGAAAUGAUAUCUUUAAAGAACAAUUAUAUAAUAACAAUUGUUAUCUAAAACACACUUUGAAGUGUAAUAACUUGACGUUUCAAUAAGAGAAUGAGACAUGCCUAAAGCAUUGUAGACAUUUCAGUUGAAAAGAUAUAUUCUCUAAAGGUGGAAAAGGCAUAAGUUAUCCUUUAACAUCCACAAAUUGAACAAAUAGCCCUUGAAGAGAUCCAACUAAAAUAAAUAGCCCUUAAAGAGGUACAUAUUAAACAAAUAAGUCUUGAAGAGGCAUAUAUUGAUCAACAAAUAACACUUAAAGAGGUACAAAUUGAAUGAAUACUCCUUGAAAAAGCACUUAUUGAAUGAAUAGCCCCUGAAAAGGCACAUAUUGAACAAAUAGUUUGUAAACAAGCACAAAUUGAACGAAUGGUCCCUAAAGAGACAUAAAUACCUUCAUAUCUAAAAGUAAAAGAGAUUUUUAUUAGCUAUGAACCUGAUAAGAGGAAGAUGGGAUCAAAAUAAUAUUGUCAUUGACAAUGUAUCUUCUUUUUAGAUGACUUUUGAUAUCAUAAGGAAUGAUGAAGAUUCCAAAUUAUGAAUUAUGCAAGCUACGUUGACACAAAUAUUUGACCAAAAUGGAAAGAUGCAAUAUAUACAGAGUUAGACUUGUUAGCGAAAUGAGGAAUAUUUGGAGUUGUAGUCUCACGUUAAAAUACGUUGAAUCUAUUGAAUAUAAAUAGACCUAAAGUCUAAUGCUUUAAGACAUAAAGAUUGUUGAAUAUCGAUGGGUUAUUAUGCUAUAAAACAAAAAUUAUAGCAUAAGCAUUCCUACAAAUAUCACUUAGUAUCAAUUUCCUAAGCCUAAUUUCUACUUGGAAAUUAAAAGACAUCUUGAAGUUGAGCCUGCAAGUUGUGUCUUCAUUGAUAACAAGUGUUUUCCUAUAAUAUUUUCUUAAUUGAUUGAACCUAACUUGUAAAUCUUCAAUUUUGUCCUCUUAGCACAUGUGACUCUAGGUGUCUUCCUAUACUUCUCUCUUGAUUCAUUAUCAUCCCUUAGUAGUCCAUCGACACUCAUUUGACCUAAUUUUUCUGAGUCACCUUCAAGGGCUUCUUGUUUAGGGCUAAACUUAGAUCUCACUUAGAUCUUUUUAAGGAUAGGUUUCACUUAGAUGCUUCUAUAUGCCUAGAUCACUUGGUUAGUUUUUGAGUUUGAUUGCUUGAUUUUGAGUUUAAGCAAGGUUUGGCUUGAUUUAGAAAAUAACAUGAGAUUGAAGAUUCUAUUCUUUUUAAGUUGUAUGAAGUAAUAUUUUUAUUCUCUUAUGUGUCCAUGUGAUUGGUUUUGUUUACUUUCAUUUUAAAUUACAUGAUUUCUAAUUUUUAUUUUAUUUUAUUUUUGCAUGAGUUUGGUACUUCGAUUUUUUGCAUCUGUAUUAAUAAUUGAUUUUAAAUAUGCAUGUGAUUGACAUAUUAAUUUUUUUUAAUUACAUAACUUUGAUUUUUAAUUUGCAAUUGCAUGCUUUUUAUUUUAAUCUUUAUUUUGUUUUGCAUGGGACUAGAGUGCUGCAAAUUGGAGAGGAUCCCUUGGUGUACACGGCUUCCACAAAUAGGAAGGAGAUUAGGACACUUUGGAGAUAUUUUUGGAUGAAGAGAUUCAUUUGGCUUUUGUUUUUGGAAAAGAUUUUCAAUAAGCACGCAUGUAUGAAAGGAUUUUGAAUCAGCAAUGGGCAUGGGCUGGGGCUGCUAUAAAAAUGGAAGGACAGCCACACGCGUAGGGGAGGAACACUAUUGAAAAAGGAAAGAGUCAUGUCAGAGAUUGUCCAUGCAAAACCACAUCCCAUAUUCCCAUAUUCAUUCUUGGAUUUUGAUUUGAUUCUUCGGAUAUUCUCCACAACCAUAAUAUAUAUAUAAAAUUAGUCCACAUGCACUGCGGAGGAGGGGCAGAUUGCGGGGCUGUGAGAAAAGAAAAAGGGAUCCAUGGGAAACUUUGAAGAGAAUAAUAAAAGCUGCCAUAAUGGGAUUUCUAAUGAGCUUCCACAUGCGGAUUGCUAUGUUUCUUCCAUGGAUGAUGGAGAUUGCAUGUAAUACAAAUUGUGAGGGCGCACCAUGAUUCUGGCUUUGUGAGGGAUUCAGCAAGACACAAUGCACCACUCCGUGGGAAGGUAUGGCGGCCCACACGCACUCACCAUGGAGAUCUAGAGAGCCUAUACCUAUUUAUUUUAUUUUAUUAGGGGAACACACAUUAUGGCAUAUAAGGAGGGAUUCAGAUUUUGUUUUAGGCUCCGACACACACCAUCAGUCUACACCGAUCGUCAUCCAUAAAGAAAAAUCCAUCAUCACGGAAGGGAUCACACAACCAGCAGGCAUUCUGGACACGCUCCAUGGAGAUUGGGGAGCAGAUUCUUUCGCAAGAAAAUCACAGAGACACCAUUAAUUUUUUAAGGCUCCACAUGCAUAUUGGGAACGAUCAGCUCUUUUAGAGAUGAAUACAGAUCAGAUUUCUUGCAGAUGACGGCAAUAGAUUUUCUAGAAGGUGCUGAUGGUGUACACGGUUUGGUUAUGAAGAACCUCGAAUUUUAGGAGUUGCAUGAGUGAACGGUCUGUUGAUGAAGACCAUUAGAUUUUUUGGAGGUAGUGGUGCACGGUUGCAUGUGAAUAAUGAGCAUCUAAAUGCUCUAGAUGAAAGUUGAUGCUGAAUUGACGAGUACACGGUUCGGGAACUGAGUGAUGAAGAUUUUUUUUUUUUUUUUUUGUGGAGCAUGGUGUGGACAAUUGGAUAUAGAGAAACAACAUCUUGAUUUUUUUGGGGACUCCGCCAACAGGAUCAUGCACAAGCAGCCUACACAUUCCAUAGGUAACCACAUGCGGCUGCCAUCCAUUGAAAAGAAGCACACGCAUUUAUUCAUCAGUAGAGAUUCAACCUGCGCGCAUGGAGAGGCCAUGCCGCUUGAUAGGAAUUCUCCACCAAAGAGAUAUCCAGCCUGCAUGAACGGUUUUUGAACGUGUAUUAUUGACCCUCUUCUCCUAUCAAUAAAAUACAUAUACAGAAACCCCUUCAUGUGCGGUGUGUGCUUUUCCAUCAAUUACAGAAAAAUAACUCUGUGUAUUAAGGUUUGAUAAGGAGAAGAAGAAUCAAGGAUUUAAGAUCUAUAAGCUGAAGGGAAAUCUCUCAUGGCUGCGUCUUCUUCAAACGGUAUGUGAUCUAUUUGUUAAUUAAUGUUUAUUUUAUUAUUUUAUUAUCAGAGACGAGUUUGAAUCAUAAUGAUCUGGAUAAUUGCAUGUUAAUUUUCGUGUUAAAUUCUAUCAAUUGGUAUCAGAGCUUGGUUUUGAAUUUAAAUAUUCAGAUCAAUUUAUAAAAGAUUAGAUUUUUUUUUUUAAGAUUUAUCUUCCAUUAAUUCGUCUCACUAAAAUUACUAAAAUAAAAUAAAAUAAUAAUAAAAUAAUCAAAAGACCCAUUGCGUUCCUCUGUAUCCUUGAGUUCUAAGGAGACAGGAACUAUAUCUGAGCGUGAUUGACCGUUUCUAGACAUGUGGAUUGCUUAUAUAACCCAUUGCGUAACAGCUCCUAUUAGGAAAAAUAAAAUAAAGAAGAGUAGUGAUUCCAUGCGCCUAAAGGAAUAUUGAAAAUUUUAUUGUACGUGCUAUUGGGUCAGCACACAGUAGAGGAUCGUUCAAGCGCCAUUGUCGGCACCGCAGUUUCUCUAGGUUUCACGCGCCAGUUCAGGCGCGAUUUCCGGCGCCAUCGCGCUGAUUUCAGGUGCCGUUGAAGGCGCCAUUGCCGGCGCCAUUGAAGGCGUUGGUUGCAGGCACCAUUGCCAGUGCCAUUGAAGGCACCGUUUUCAGGCGCCAUCUCCUGGUUGCAGGCACCGUUGAAGGCGCCAUUGAAGGCGCUGGUUGCAGGCACCAUUGCCGGUGCCAAUGAAGGCGCCGUUUUCAGGCACCAUCUCCUGGUUGCAGGCGCCAUUAGAGGCGCUAUUUGCAGGCGCUAUUGCCGUUUGCAGUGCCGUUUGAGGUGCGGUUCAGGCACCACUUUUCAGGCUCUCCAAAAGUGCUAUUUCAGGCACUAAUUCAAAGAUAUUAAUUGAUUUAUUUUAUGAUUUGAAUCUGAACAUUUGUGAAAUUAUUAUUAUUAUAUAUGAGGAAUGCAAGUAUUAGCUUUAGUAUAUUCAAUGAAUGCAGAUUUCUUUAAUUUUAUUAUGAUUGAUUAAUGAAUCUGUUGAUUAUUAAAGAUACUAUAUUAUGAUUGAUUAUUGAAUCUGUUGAUUAUUAUGGAUACUAUUUCCUUGUUUUUUAACUCAAAUAAAAGAAUUAAUUUCAUCUUGUGAAUAUUUUAUUCAAAUGACAAUUUAUGAAUAUAAGGUUAACUAAUUUGGAUAGUUGCCAAAGUAACCUAAAUUAGUGAGCCUUGUAUUUAUUGAAUUGCAUAAAAGAAUAAAGGGAGACUUGUAAAAUUCUUAAUAAUUUUCUUUAUAAUUAGGAGAAUGAGACUAACCCAAAGGAGAGUCAAUUUCUGUUAAUUAUUAAUUAAUGUUUUUAUUUUGUGUUGCUUAGAAAAGUAAAAUGGAUACCCAAAGGUAACAUAUAAAUGACACAAAAUAGUAAAGUGUUUUAAGCUCCCUCCAAGUGAACACUGGAUAUGUUAAAAUUUACCCAAAGGAGAAUUUUAAUGAUAUCAAUAGUUCAUUGUUUUUUAUUUUAUACUUGAAGCUUAUUGUGAGCAUUAUUCUAUUUUGUACAGUUCCCACUUCAUUACACUCUCUUGCAUCUGGAAUGACUAUUUUUUAUGGGUCAAACUUUUCUGAAUGGUAUGAAAGGGUUCAAUUCUCACUGGGUGUAUUGGAUCUUGACUUGACUUUAAUAUCUGAUAAACCUCCUGAAGCUACGGAUUACAGUACUCUGGAGCAGGUGGAACAAUCAAAAGCCUGGUCAAAAUCAAACAGACUCAGUCUGAUGUUUAUGAGAAUGACUAUUGCCAAUAAUAUCAAGACCUCUCUCCCUCAAACCGAGUUUGCCUCGGAAUUUCUGAAAUCCGUUGAGGAGCGCUUCAAACGCGUUGAUAAGUCCCUUGCAGGCACAUUGAUGGCUGAAUUGACCACCAUGAAAUAUGAUGGUCAGAAAGGUAUUCAGCAACAUAUUUUAAACAUGACUGAAAAGGCUGCAAAGCUUAAGGCACUAGGUAUGGGUAUGGAUGAGUCCUUCUUGGUACAGUUUGUCCUUAACUCACUUCCAUCACAGUUUGCUCCAUUCAAAAUCCACUAUAAUACUAACAGUGAUCAGUGGAACUUGAAUGAGCUCACCAGUAAAUGUAUACAAGAGGAAGUGAGAUUAAGACAAGAAGGACAUAAUCUUGCUCUUGCUGUAACUCAUGGAGUCACGAAGAAGAAAGGAAAAUUCAAAAAAUGAAAGAACUUUCCACCUAAGAAAAGCGGACCUGGGGAAGGUAGCCAGAGUCAUGAUGGAAAAUUCACAGUAAGUUGCUACUUUUGUGGCAAGAAAGGGCAUGUGAAGAAGGACCGUAUCAAGCACAAGGCUUGGUUCGAAAAGAGAGGUAUAAAUCUUUCUUUUGUAUGUUAUGAAUCCAAUCUUGUUGAAGUUCCUUCAAAUACUUGGUGGAUUGAUUCUAGAGCCACAACUCAUGUGACUAAUUUAAUGCAUGGAUUCCUUACAACCAGGAAACCAAAGGAAAGUGAAAAGUUCCUCUAUAUGGGAAACCGUCUCAAGGUUGAAGUGGUAGUUGUUGGUACCUAUCGCUUACUAUUAGAGACAGGUCAUCAGAUGGAUCUUUUAAACACUUUUUAUGUACCUUCUAUCUCUAGGAAUUUAGUUUCCUUGUCUAAAUUAGAUGCUACUGAAUAUUCUGUUUUAUUCAGUUUUGGACAAUUAAGUUUGAUGUUAAAUUCUGUUACAGUUGGUUCUGGUAUUUUAUGUGAUGGUUUAUAUAAAAUUUCCUUGAAUCAUGAAUUUUCACAAGCUUUGAUAACCCUGCAUUCAAAUGUUGGUUCAAAAUGUGGCUUAAUUAAUGAAAAUUCUUCAAUCUUGUGGCACAGAAGACUAGGGCACAUCUCUAGGGAAAGAAUUGAGAGAUUAGUGAAGGAAGGAAUUUUACAAAAUCUUGACUUCACUGAUUUUCAUGUAUGCGUGGAUUGCAUAAAGGGAAAGCAAACUAAACAUACAAAGAAAGGUGCCACAAGAACUAAUGAGCUCCUUGAGAUAAUUCAUACAGAUAUUUGUGGACCACUCUCUGUUCCAUGUUUUACAGGAGAGAAAUAUUUUAUCACCUUUAUAGAUGAUCUAUCUCGUUAUGGUUAUGUUAAUCUAAUGCAUGAAAAGUCUCAGACCAUUGACAUCUUCGAGAUGUUCACAAUAGAGGUCGAGNNNNNNNNNNNNNNNNNNNNNNNNNNNNNNNNNNNNNNNNNNNNNNNNNNNNNNNNNNNNNNNNNNNNNNNNNNNNNNNNNNNNNNNNNNNNNNNNNNNNNNNNNNNNNNNNNNNNNNNNNNNNNNNNNNNNNNNNNNNNNNNNNNNNNNNNNNNNNNNNNNNNNNNNNNNNNNNNNNNNNNNNNNNNNNNNNNNNNNNNNNNNNNNNNNNNNNNNNNNNNNNNNNNNNNNNNNNNNNNNNNNNNNNNNNNNNNNNNNNNNNNNNNNNNNNNNNNNAAUCAGUGGGGAGUAUGACAAAGAAAAGUAGAUAUGAGGAGAUAAGAGUGGAUAUCCCACCACCUUUUUUACCUUAAGAAAUUAUUGUUCCUCAAUGAUUCGUCCCUAGCAGCGGCAUUGGCAAUGGCACCAUUUGAUUCGAGGUUUGAUCCUCGGCAACGGCGCCAUUUGAUUCAUGCCCAAUUGGUGUCUCAGCUGAUUCGUGUCCAGCUGGUGCUCCUUGAUUGAGGGAUUGAUCAACAAAAUUUAUAACCUAUUACACCAUAUACUAGGGUAGCAAAGACAAAGCUACUAUAGCAUAGUGGCUCUAGGAUCGUUCACUGGGAUGGGUUUUCACUUCACAAUUGAUAUUAAUUCAAAGAUGAAUUGGUGCCUUUUCAUUUCAAGGUUAGCUUUAAAAGAAAACAUAAAGAUGUUUAAAUGAAAAAGGUUUGGUUUUAAGCUAACUAAAAAUAGUAACUGAUUUUACUUACAAAGAAAGGUGUUUCUUGGAGUUCAGAUCACUAGGCUCGUUCCUCAUACAAAAUGGAGAGUUCCGGUCACUUGUUUAUUUUCCUCGCAUUAGAGAAUUAACAUAUAGUUCCUUCUCCAACCGGUGUUGUACAGAUGCUUCCCAUUAAUGGGUUCAAACACUAAAUCCCUCUCACUGAUGCAACUUGCAAUGGUUCAUGCCUCUCACGAGCACUUACCAUUCAAGGAGAUCUUUAACCUUGGACUUCCCUUCUCAAGCUCGCAAGAGAUAACUAAUGGAUGUCUCCUUGGAGUCCAAAAGCUUACCAAGUGUUGGCUAUUCUAGAAAAUCCUACCUUCAAGUCACCUCCCAAAGGCUCGCAAGGGGUAAACUAGUGCAUUUCCAUGGUUGGAAAUCACUUGCCUUACCAAGUGUUGGCCCAGGUGACUCUAAGGUGUUUUAAGUUAACUAAAAACAUAGAAAUCACUAACGGGUUACACUUUCUCUUCAUUAAAAACUAAAACAACAAAACUUCCAAUUUAUGCAUGUGGAAACUUACCCGGCUUUCCUCACUCCAAGAGACAAAAAGCUUAGCCUCUCAUCCUCUGUGGAAAAAUCCUCAGAGUUUGGUUGGCUAGAAAGAAAAAUAAAUGAAAAGUGAAAGAGAAGGAAAAACAGAGCAAGGCUCUGUAUAUUCUAUAUAUGAUCGAUAUUACAUAUAUGAUCCUCCUCCUUUUACAGUGGAUGCAAGGGAAUAUAUAUAGAGGAGUUUUUCCAACCUUCCCAACUAAGAAAUCUUAUGGUUGGUGGAUUACAAGGAGAAGAAUGGAAAUUUAUACAAAAAUAUCUGAAGAAAAUAUCUAGAAGAGUCGGUGCAAAAAUAUCGGGAAGCACUAAGGACAUUUCGCAGGUGAAAAUGGUGUCUGCGAGAUUUCGCAGACACUCAAGAGGGCUGCGAAAUAUUUUCGCAACAACAAGUUAAACUCGCAGGGCUGCGAAAUUGGCUUCCACCUUGAGGUUCUCAGCGUUCCAGCUUGCGGCAUGUAUCGGGUAGCUUCAGGAGGAAUUCCAUAGCACUGUACAAAAAGGCUGCGAAAUUCUCGCAACAAAAGGCUGAUUUCGCAACACUUUGGAGUGAUCUGCUUGUAAUGGCUGUAACUCCUUCGUUUCAACUCCGAAUCAUGCACCGUUUGAAGCAUUGGAUUCUUGACUUCCUGAGCUUUGAAAUGGUAUAUAGAAUGUAGAAAAUGGACUUCGGGAAGUGCUCCAAAAGUGCGCAUGAAGACUGCAGCUGCUUGUCCUCUGUUUUCUUCACUCUGUUUUUCCUUUCUCCUUGUUUCUCUCCUUGCAUACUUUGAACGACUUUGGCAAAGGGCUAUGGAGCUCCAAAGCUUUGUUCUUCAUGAAUUUGAGCUUCCAAAAUCUUUGCCAUGAACUAUAUACAAUUCUCCCUCAUUCUUGGAUUGUUUUGGUGAUCAAAUUACUAACAAAAACACCAAAACUUACACAAUUUGAUUAGAAAUGAUUGCAAGGGUCCUUAACAUGUUAAUUGGGUUAAAAGGCAAUAACUACUACUCAAAAGUGUUUAAAAGAGUUAAUUACAAGCUAUCAAAUAGCACUUUUUGAGUAGUAAUCACUCCCCCCAACCGACAUAUUGCUAGUCCCUUAGCAAUAAAGGAGAUAAAAACUAAGUAACUAUAAUAAUAUACAUAAAAGGGAUCAUGCAAAUCACUCCAAAAAAUUAUAUGAGUGGCAUGAUGGACAUCCAUGGAUCAAUAAAGAUGUGAAACUCAACCUAUAAUAAGAGUUGUCAAAGCAUUCACUUGAUCAUAGAGUACAAAGAAUGGAUAUUAUGCAAGUUUAAGCAUCAAAAGAAUUUCCACUCUCAAUAGAUCCAAAUCAAAUUCUUCCACUAAAAGCUAAGUGUUAAUGUGAUUAGCUUCCGAGUAUAGUAUGGAUAACUAUCAUCUCCCCCCAACCUAAGUCUUUCUUUAAGCUUAGCAAAAUUAACCAUUUCUUGAUAGGCUAGGAACGCACCUCUUAUUCACAAUUCUUUUUACUUACUAAACUUAACCAAUUCACCCAUGUAACAAGCAGAGGAUCGGUGACUCCCAACCAAUAAAGGCUUAGGGCACCAGGCUUUAAAGGCUUUCGCCACCCCUUCGGACCAUGCUCAGGUUUCAAGGCAAGUAAAGAAGUUUAUUCUAUAUUUUUUUUUUCUUUUUUUUUUUUUUUUUCUUUUUUUUUUCUUUCUUUUUUUUUCAAAGACUCAUUGGUCUUUAUGAGGUGUCCCAACACUAUUAAAGAGAGGUUAAAGGUGUCAAAUUAUGAUUUCUCAAGCUUAGAGGGUGAGAUAGUUUCACAUCUUAUAACCGGAAUCUAAUGUAUGUGUGUGCGAAUAGCUUAAGGUGGAAGAUAUAAGUUUGCAUGCAAUUGGAGUUUCAACAAUUCAUCAACUUUUAGAAGAGCAUAAUACAAACUCUAAGACUCAUGUAAUCAAGUUGAAACUCGACUUCUCUCAUUUAAUUUUGAGAGUUAAUCCUUAAUAUCCAUGGAGUUUAAAGCCAAAAUUUUAAAAAUUAAGCAAAAAGCAACUAAAUUACCAAAAUAACUUAGCAUUAUUAACAAUACUUACUUCCUCAACUCUCCCCCCAACCAAGCUGAACAUUGUCCUCAAUGUGACAAAAGCGAUUAAAAAAUAGGGAGGAAGUGGUACCUCAUGAGUGACAUGAAGUCUGAGUUGUAUAGGAGAAACCACAUGUUUCAAAGAAAACAUAAGAGUUAGUGAGUAGAGGAAAUAGAAAAAUGCCAAGUUUAAACAAGAAUUGAUGUCUAUGUAUGAUGUAUCAUCAGUAAUACAUCCAAUCCCAAAAUGUAAGACAUCAAAACAUGGAAUAUAAUAAGUAGAGACAAAAAAGUAAAGAGAUGAUCAAGUAGUGGUAGGAUCCUGUGGAGCUGAUGUGUCUGUGAUGGCCUCUUGAGUGGGUUGGAUCAGGACUUUGGCCUCUGUUCUGGUAGUCUCCUUAGGUGGCAUAGUCUCCUCAACUGGAGCUCUCAGCUGGAGCUAUGAGAUUUGAUGGUUUAAGGAGGUAAGAAAUGGAGUGAGAGGCUUGGUGUGUGUGAUCCCAGGGUGUGCAGGGCUCUCCUCUUCAGAUGCAUGAUCGUAGGGCUCUGUUGGCAUUUUAGCAACUUCCCUUGGCUUUGCAAAGUGUUUUUGUAAAUCACCCUCCAUUUCACAAGUCAAUUUCGCAAUUUGAAGGCCAUUUCUAAGCUUGGAGGUGAUUUCGCAACCAUUUCAAAGCUUGGAGAUCAUUUCGCAGAAAAGUGGCAUGUUCACAGACCAUUUUUUAAGCUUGGAGCAUUUUCGCAGCCAUUCUGAAGCUUGGAGAUCAUUUCGCAGCAAAGUGGCAUUUUCGCAGACCAUUUUUGAAGCUUGGAGCAUUUCCGCAGCCAUUCUGAAGCUUGGAAAUCAUUUCGCAACCAUUUCAAAGUUCAAAAGUGAUUUCGCAGGUGUAUCGCAGCUUCGAAAUGAGGGGAAUUGUGCUGCAAAUGGCACUCGUGUGCCAAAAAGUGGUUUCGCAGCUGCGAAACACCCUUCCAAAUGGCGUCUCGGCUGCGAAAUUCUCGCUCAGCUUUGCGCGCUUGUCUUCAAACGACCAUAACUUCUUCAUUUCACCUCCAAAUCGCAUACCGUUUGAAGCGCUAGACUCCUGACUUCCCAAGAUUUGAAACGAGAUAUCGUAUCCAUAAUUUGAGCUCCAGAAAGUGCUUCAAAAAUGUGUCCAACAGUAGCGAAAUUGAGGUGCGACAUUUCCGCUCAUGGUUUGUACAGUCUUCUUCAAACAGCCAUAACUUUUCCGUUUCAAAUCCAAAUCAAGUACCGUUUGAAGCUAUGGACUCCUGACUUCCCAAGAUUUCCAACGAGAUAUUGCAUGCAUAAUUUGAACUUCGGGAAGUGAUCGAAAUGUGUCCAACAAUUGCCGAAAUGGGGGUGCGGCUGUGAAAUUGGGAUUUUCACAUUUUGGAACUUCGCAGCCAUUUCGCAGCUGCGAAAUGAGGGUCACUGUGCUGCGAAAUGGCACUCGUGUGCCAAAACCGGCUUCGCAAUUGCGAAGUACCCUGCGGAAUGAGACUUUUGGUGCGAAAUCAGGCUUUACCACUUCGCAAUGCGUUUCGCAACUGCGAAAUGGAUGCUCCUGUACUGCGAAGUGGCACUCGUGUGCCAAAUUCACUUUCGCAGCUGCGAAAUACCCUGCCAAAUGGAGCUUUCCCUGCGAAAUGGAGGAUUUCAUGCUUUGGUGGUUCGCAGCCGCUUUCGCAGCUGCGAAAUGGGGGCCACUGUGCUGCGAAGUGGCACUCGUGUGCCAAAUUUGGUUUCGCAGCUGCGAAAACUUUCGCAGAGAGGGCAAUUGGGCUGCGAACUGGUUUUGCAGCAAAAUUUCAAUUUCGCAGAGGCUGCGAAAUCUCGCAGACCCCUGUUUUUCCCCUGUUUCUCCCCUGUUUUCGCUCCGUUUGACUCCGAUUUUGCUCCGAUUUUUUUUCUUCAAUUUCUUUGCAAUUCCUCUCGAUUUUGAUCAUCCAAAAACCUAUAUUACAUCAAAACAAAUUAGAAUUAAAGCAUUGAAAUCAAAAUUAAAGCAUUGAAAUCAAAAUUAAAACAAGUAAAAAAAAACAAAACAAAAAGAUAUGGACUAGCUAGUCUUUAAAAAGACUAAGUCCAUCAAAAAAUUUGAUCCUGAUUUAGCUUGCCCGGAUCCCAUAUGAAGCUUGCAUCCUUCACUUGAGACUUGAUUUGUAUGAUUUUCCCAUACAAAGCUUGGAGAAAAGGUGGAGGCAUGUGUUUCUUCAUCAAUUCUUCCUUGAUGACUAUCCUCAGUGGUUCUUCAGCUAUAUCAAAAUCAUAGUCAUCUUUCUCUAUGCUUUUCCCCUUUUUCUUUCCUUUGAUUUCCUCCCUCUUUUCUUUCUCUGUUUCAUUCUCUACCUUAUGCUCUAGCUUGCAUGUGGGCAGAUCAACCUCUUUACCACUCCUCAGAGUGAUCACUUCUUUGACUUCCUUCUCCAUUGAAGAUUCUUCCUCUUGAGCCUCCACUACAUGGAUGCCCUUGGAAUUUUGAUAAGGUUGAGAAGGAGAGUUUUCUUUCUCUUGCAUUGUGUUGAGGUUGGAAAGCCUUGAGAUUGAAUCUUGGAGAAUAUCUAACUUCUGAGAUAGAUCAUUUUGCAUUUCAUCCAUCCUUUUAUUCAAAGUACUCUCCAUUCUAUCAAUUCUUUGAUCCACUCUGUCCAUUCUUUGAUCCACUCGAGCAUUGGUGGCUUCUUGCUUUCCCACAAAAUCUCCCACGACCUUGCAAAGAUUCACCAUAGCUUGUUCAAGGUUUGAGGCUUGCUGUGGUGCUUGAGCAGGUUGCUGAUACUGAGGUGGCUGUGGUUUCCAAGAGAAAUUUGGAUGGUCCCUCCAAUUGGAAUUGUAGGUGUUGCAAUCACCUAACAUUUCCCUCUUGGCUGGAAUGGUAGGACACUCUUCCACCAAGUGCUCAUAUGAUAGACAAAUGGCACAAGGCAUAGAUUGCAAUGGUGUUUGAGAGAUGGCUUGCACUGGCUGCAUAUUUGUCAUUUCUAGCUCUUCCAAUCUCCUUUCCAUAGCUGCAAUUUCUGCCUUCAUGUUCAUACCAUCAUUCAAAAUAUACAUCUCACCCUUAGCUUUAGGUUGAGACAUCAUUCUUCCCAUAUCUCUAGCAUUUGGUUUAUCCCAUCCUCUUGAGACUUCAGCCACAUAACUUAUGAAGUUCAUGGCUUCCUCUGCUAUCUCGUAUUCAAUAUGGCAUGCACAACUAGCAAAUUGUGAAUUAAAAACAGAGAACACAAAAGAAAACAAAAGAAAAACAAUUCAAAGAAAAAAAAUUAAGGUAAACUAAAAACUAAAUAAAAGGUAUACUAAAAUAUGAACAAUAAAGAAAUAAAAAGAGUUAGUAAAAGGAAAAGAAAAGUCACCAAACUUGUGAUGAAGAUCACAAGUACUCUAGAAAGGUGAUAUCACUGUAAAGUGGCACCAUCCCCGGCAACGGCGCCAUUUGAUUCGUCCCUAGCAGCGGCAUUGGCAAUGGCACCAUUUGAUUCGAGGUUUGAUCCUCGGCAACGGCGCCAUUUGAUUCAUGCCCAAUUGGUGUCUCAGCUGAUUCGUGUCCAGCUGGUGCUCCUUGAUUGAGGGAUUGAUCAACAAAAUUUAUAACCUAUUACACCAUAUACUAGGGUAGCAAAGACAAAGCUACUAUAGCAUAGUGGCUCUAGGAUCGUUCACUGGGAUGGGUUUUCACUUCACAAUUGAUAUUAAUUCAAAGAUGAAUUGGUGCCUUUUCAUUUCAAGGUUAGCUUUAAAAGAAAACAUAAAGAUGUUUAAAUGAAAAAGGUUUGGUUUUAAGCUAACUAAAAAUAGUAACUGAUUUUACUUACAAAGAAAGGUGUUUCUUGGAGUUCAGAUCACUAGGCUCGUUCCUCAUACAAAAUGGAGAGUUCCGGUCACUUGUUUAUUUUCCUCGCAUUAGAGAAUUAACAUAUAGUUCCUUCUCCAACCGGUGUUGUACAGAUGCUUCCCAUUAAUGGGUUCAAACACUAAAUCCCUCUCACUGAUGCAACUUGCAAUGGUUCAUGCCUCUCACGAGCACUUACCAUUCAAGGAGAUCUUUAACCUUGGACUUCCCUUCUCAAGCUCGCAAGAGAUAACUAAUGGAUGUCUCCUUGGAGUCCAAAAGCUUACCAAGUGUUGGCUAUUCUAGAAAAUCCUACCUUCAAGUCACCUCCCAAAGGCUCGCAAGGGGUAAACUAGUGCAUUUCCAUGGUUGGAAAUCACUUGCCUUACCAAGUGUUGGCCCAGGUGACUCUAAGGUGUUUUAAGUUAACUAAAAACAUAGAAAUCACUAACGGGUUACACUUUCUCUUCAUUAAAAACUAAAACAACAAAACUUCCAAUUUAUGCAUGUGGAAACUUACCCGGCUUUCCUCACUCCAAGAGACAAAAAGCUUAGCCUCUCAUCCUCUGUGGAAAAAUCCUCAGAGUUUGGUUGGCUAGAAAGAAAAAUAAAUGAAAAAUGAAAGAGAAGGAAAAACAGAGCAAGGCUCUGUAUAUUCUAUAUAUGAUCGAUAUUACAUAUAUGAUCCUCCUCCUUUUACAGUGGAUGCAAGGGAAUAUAUAUAGAGGAGUUUUUCCAACCUUCCCAACUAAGAAAUCUUAUGGUUGGUGGAUUACAAGGAGAAGAAUGGAAAUUUAUACAAAAAUAUCUGAAGAAAAUAUCUAGAAGAGUCGGUGCAAAAAUAUCGGGAAGCACUAAGGACAUUUCGCAGGUGAAAAUGGUGUCUGCGAGAUUUCGCAGACACUCAAGAGGGCUGCGAAAUAUUUUCGCAACAACAAGUUAAACUCGCAGGGCUGCGAAAUUGGCUUCCACCUUGAGGUUCUCAGCGUUCCAGCUUGCGGCAUGUAUCGGGUAGCUUCAGGAGGAAUUCCAUAGCACUGUACAAAAAGGCUGCGAAAUUCUCGCAACAAAAGGCUGAUUUCGCAACACUUUGGAGUGAUCUGCUUGUAAUGGCUGUAACUCCUUCGUUUCAACUCCGAAUCAUGCACCGUUUGAAGCAUUGGAUUCUUGACUUCCUGAGCUUUGAAAUGGUAUAUAGAAUGUAGAAAAUGGACUUCGGGAAGUGCUCCAAAAGUGCGCAUGAAGACUGCAGCUGCUUGUCCUCUGUUUUCUUCACUCUGUUUUUCCUUUCUCCUUGUUUCUCUCCUUGCAUACUUUGAACGACUUUGGCAAAGGGCUAUGGAGCUCCAAAGCUUUGUUCUUCAUGAAUUUGAGCUUCCAAAAUCUUUGCCAUGAACUAUAUACAAUUCUCCCUCAUUCUUGGAUUGUUUUGGUGAUCAAAUUACUAACAAAAACACCAAAACUUACACAAUUUGAUUAGAAAUGAUUGCAAGGGUCCUUAACAUGUUAAUUGGGUUAAAAGGCAAUAACUACUACUCAAAAGUGUUUAAAAGAGUUAAUUACAAGCUAUCAAAUAGCACUUUUUGAGUAGUAAUCACUCAACCUGUUCAACAAGUUGAGGAUAAUGAGCAAAAUAAUAGAGAUGGUUUAUUACCACUAGAAAAUAUUGCCAUUGAAAAUGUUGUAGAGCCACCACAACCGGCACCUUUGAGGAGAUCUCAAAGAGAAAGGAGACCUGCCAUUACAGAUGAUUAUGUGGUGUAUCUACAGGAAUCUGAUUUUGAUAUUGGGAUAAGGAAGGAUCCGGUUUCGUUUUCACAAGCCAUGGAAAGUGAUGAUUCUAGUAAAUGGAUGGAAGCUAUGAAUGAAGAGUUGAAAUCUAUGGCCCAUAAUGGUGUCUGGGAUCUCAUCGAAUUGCCUAAUAAUUGUAAACCCGUCGGCUGUAAAUGGGUCUUUAAGACAAAGCGUGACGCUAAAGGCAAUAUCGAACGAUUUAAGGCUAGACUUGUGGCCAAAGGUUUCACUCAAAAGGAAGGUAUCGAUUACAAAGAUACCUUCUCUCCAGUUUCCAAGAAAGAUUCGCUUAGAAUCAUCAUGGCACUUGUAGCUCAUUUUGAUUUAGAGUUACAUCAAAUGGAUGUGAAAACUGCAUUCUUAAAUGGGAAUUUGGAUGAAGAUAUCUAUAUGGAACAACCUGAAGGGUUCGCAAAGAAAGGAAAUGAACACCUAGUUUGCAAAUUAAAGAAAUCCAUUUACGGUCUUAAACAAGCUUCCAGACAAUGGUAUAUUAAGUUCAAUAAUACCAUUACAUCUUUCGGAUUUAAAGAGAACAUUCUUGAUCAGUGUAUAUAUCUGAAAGUUAGUGGGAGCAAGUUUAUAUUUCUGAUACUGUAUGUGGAUGAUAUUUUGCUUGCCAGCAGUGAUCUUGGUUUAUUACGUGAAACCAAGGAAUAUCUCUCUAAAAACUUUCAUAUGGUUGAUAUGGGUGAGGCAAACUAUGUUAUUAGCAUUGAGAUCUUUAGGGAUCGAUCUCGAGGAGUGCUAGGUUUAUCUCAGAAAGGAUAUAUUGAUCGGGUUUUAGAGAGAUUUAAUAUGCAGUCAUGUUCNNNNNNNNNNNNNNNNNNNNNNNNNNNNNNNNNNNNNNNNNNNNNNNNNNNNNNNNNNNNNNNNNNNNNNNNNNNNNNNNNNNNNNNNNNNNNNNNNNNNNNNNNNNNNNNNNNNNNNNNNNNNNNNNNNNNNNNNNNNNNNNNNNNNNNNNNNNNNNNNNNNNNNNNNNNNNNNNNNNNNNNNNNNNNNNNNNNNNNNNNNNNNNNNNNNNNNNNNNNNNNNNNNNNNNNNNNNNNNNNNNNNNNNNNNNNNNNNNNNNNNNNNNNNNNNNNNNNNNNNNGUUACUCGGAUUCUGAUUAUGGUGGUUGUCUCGAUAGCUUAAAGUCAACUUCAGGAUUUGUCUUUAUGCUAGCAAAUGGGGCAAUCUCGUGGAAGAGUGAAAAACAAUCAAUUACUGCUUCAUCCACGAUGGAGGCCGAGUUUGUUGCUUGUUUUGAAGCUUCAAGUCAUGCUUUAUGGUUGCGGAAUUUUAUCUCAGGGCUUGGUGUUGUCGACUCUAUUGCUAAACCUUUGAGAAUAUAUUGUGAUAACACCGCAGCUGUUUUCUUCUCUAAGAAUGGCAAAUUUUCUAGUGGAUCGAAACACAUGGAUUUAAAGUAUUUAGUUGUUAAAGAAAGAGUCCAGAAACAACAAGUGUCAAUUGAAAAUAUUAGGACCACACUUAUGGUUGCUGAUCCAUUAACUAAAGGAUUACCUCCAAAGGCAUAUUUGGAACAUGUUAUGAGGAUGGGUCUUUUGAGUAAUCCAUAAUGUGUAUGAUGAUGAAUGGUGGUUAUGUAAUUGACAAUUUGCGCAUUAAAAUUGUUUCUGUUUAUUCUUGUUUUCAAUUAUGGGUGCACGUUUUAUUGUUUGAUAAACAAGAAUUGUCCUGACAAGACAAAUUACAGGGGCUAUUUGGCAUUAAGGACUGGGUUAGUAAGGGUUAUUGAUGUGUGGUGCAUGGAAGGAAACAUGACAUUAUGGUCAUGUGACCGCCAUGACUCGCAUUUAUGAUCUAAAUUGAUUCAGUAUUAUGGCAAAUGAUUUUAGAUGUAUUGGCUAAGUUUAUUGUAAUCGUGAUCACGUGUCAAAUUUAUUUUCCAGUAUAUAUUUUAUAUAUAAACUAAAUAUAUUAUAGUUUUCAUAAUCGGUUUAGUGGGCCAAGUGGGAGAAUGUUAUUUCCACAUUAAAUUAAGUGGGUGGCCCACUAACCUAUUAUUUAGCCAAUUAAAUAAUAUCCACUAUCUUUAAACUGUUAUAGAUAUUUACCAUUGAUGGACUGGGUAAAUUAUAAUAAUUUUAAUAUUAUUAUUUAAGAUAAUUAACAGUUAUUUCGAUUGACACGUUCAGAACGGUUUUUGAACGUGUAUUCUUGGCCCUCUUCUCCUAUCAAUAAAAUACAUAUACAGAAACCCCUUCAUGUGCGGUGUGUGCUUUUCCAUCAAUUACAGAAAAAUAACUCUGUGUAUUAAGGUUUGAUAAGGAGAAGAAGAAUCAAGGAUUUAAGAUCUAUAAGCUGAAGGGAAAUCUCUCAUGGCUGCGUCUUCUUCAAACGGUAUGUGAUCUAUUUGUUAAUUAAUGUUUAUUUUAUUAUUUUAUUAUCAGAGACGAGUUUGAAUCAUAAUGAUCUGGAUAAUUGCAUGUUAAUUUCCGUGUUAAAUUCUAUCAUAGUCUACUCGCACUUUUGGAGGACACAGAACCCACUUUGAGAGAAACAAACAUCUCAAGCUGCCACUUUGGAUGGACACUUGAAAUCUAAGCGCCACAUAUGAGGGGCCAUGGCUGCACAUGAAAAAUCAGGAGGUGGCACCCACUUUGAGGCAUCUCUAGCACGCACAAGAGAAGCAGUCACAUGUUCUCACCAUCCUUAGGCAUAGCCAUCAUUAAAUUGAUAACAUCAUUACCAAUUCUUUGAGGUAUGUGAUUGUCUUCUAUAUUAUUAUUAUUAUUAUUAUUAUUAUUAUUAUUAUUAUUAUUAUUAUUAUGUUAUAAGAUUUUCCAAAUUUCACUAACUUUAUUAUUUUAAGAAUUGUUGUUGCAUAGUGGUGAUGGAAUUUCAUAUAUGAAUAGUAUUAUGAUAUGUAAGGUUAAGUUUGUUUUAUUAUUAUUAUUAUUAUUAUAAGAGAUUCCAAAGUUCAUUAAUUUUAUUAUUUUAAGAAUUAUUGUUGCAUAGUGGCCAUGGAAUUUUAUGUAUGAAUAAAAUUAUGAUAUGUAUCAAGCAACGGUGUACUUAGCUCAUGAAUUGUAUUGUGUUAUUAUUCAAUGGGCCUAUUGUAUUUUAGAUUGAAAGCAAAUAUUUAUUUAUUAUUUAAAGUGUUCGUAGUUUGUGAGAAAAAUUUUACUUUAUUCCUCUACAUAUUUAUUUUAACAUGAAAAUAAAAGAAAUAAUUGUAAACAUUCAUUUUGAAAUUAAAAAAAAAAAAAAAAACAAAUAUGUCUUUUGUAAAAUCAUUAGUUGGUUGUUUGCUUCACAAUUUUGAUGAUCUCAAGUUAGGAUUUUCUUUAAAGAAAUAUUUAAAAGUUAGUUUCAAAUGAUUUUCUAAUGUUAUUUAAUUUCUUUGGAUUUCAUGUUCUUGUUAUUAAUAAUCUCUAGUUAGAAUUUGUUCAUAUGUGAAUAAUUUUUAUCUUAGUUAAUUUCUUUAAAUAAAUGAUCUCAAGAUAAAAAUUUUAUAUGUUAGUUUUGAAUAAAAAAAAUUUAUCGUAGUUAUUUUCUCUAAAUCUAGUUCUUAGUACUGAUGAUCCAUUUUAAUUUAUAUCGUUCUUUUAAUUAUUAGUUUUAAAUUUUGAUGAUCCAUGUUAGUUUAUGUUGUUCUUUGAAUUAUUUGAUGUUGUUUUAAUGAUCCUGAUGACAUUUAUUAUUUCUUCGAAUCUUAAUUGAUAAUUUGUGACAAUUCCAUGUUAUUAGUUUUGUUUUAAAUGUCAUUGAGACUAUCCCUUGAUUGAUUUGAUCUCAAUUCAUGUGCUUCUAGAAUUCUACUUGUUAGUUCUUGAUUAAUAUCUUUAUUAGUUUGUUUGAUCUAGGAGUCAUUGUUACCUUGGUGUUGUAUAUUAUUUGAACUUCCUAACUCUUAAUUUAAGUUGUAAUACAUCAUGUAGAAUAUGAGGUUUUGAUCAUAUUAAUUAUUACUGUUUGUAAGCUAACCUUCUUCUAGCUAUAUGCAAGCACAUUAUGAGUUGUGUAUGCUAUUUAGGUAUGUCUCUUGCACUUCUUACUUCAUUAAUUUUGUAAAUAUGCAAAUCUUUUUGUGAAUGUUCUAAUGCAUGAUAUUGUUUUGAUUGCUUUGAUUGUUUGAAUGGAUCAAAUGCAUGUUGUAUGCUAUGUUUGUUAAACUAACUUUGAUGUCUUCAUGAAAGCGCUUUGGAAUGCAAUUCAAGUACGCUCAUAUCCUUUUCCCAUGUGUUUGCUUUUUUUUUGGUAUGAUUGUUUUGUUAUGAAUAACAUGUUGCUUGGCCUUAGAUAAAAUCACAUUUGUUUCUUAGUAUUCUUGAUCUAUUAAUUGUCAUUCUUUCUUCAACUUAGUUAGUAGCAACCAAUUUUUAGGGUUUAGAAGGGUACUACCUUUUUAAGGUACCUUCCCGUUAGGUAACUUAAUGCCCGAAUUUAGAUUUAGGUUUUUCAAAAGUGUAAGUAGCCCUUUUUCUUUGGGUUUUAGUUUCUUUUUUUUCUUUUUUUAUAAAAUAAAAAUAAAUGAUGACUCCUUUUUUUUUAUAUAAUAAAAUAUAGUUUUUUUCACCUAAAAAACGAGUCUCGAGUAAAAAUGCACAUAAAAAAUACAGUUACACACAACUACAUCAGUUUCUUAACUUCAUCUUUGAAUAAGUUUUUCCCAUGUUUUAUCUUUAACUUACAUUCAAUCCCAUCAAUACCCUUUUGUAUCUCUGACCUAAAUGGUGGUCCAAAUUGAUGGAUUUUUUCUCUCGCCUCUAUGUGGUUACCUCUUUAUAUUCAAUCCGUCCUAGACCCAAUUAUAGUGUAAUCUUGUUUUUUUCCUGGUGUUUCAGUCUUGUAGCCACUAUAAUCAUUUUCCCUUUGCUCCUAUUUCAGUAAUUCAAAACAUUGUAAGUCACUCUAAUAUAUCCAUUGGAUAGAAGUCCCAAAACUUCCUUGAAAUCUUUAAAAACAUGUCAAACAACUGAUUUUCUUGUAACAAAAAUCUUCCUGUUUGAAAUAAGGAACUUGAGAACUUGAGCUACAUUAUGGAAAUUACCAAUCUUUAUUAAUGUUUACCAAUAUGAAAAAAUAUAUUUUAUUUUUUAUUUUAUAUAAAUAAAAAAUUAAAAAUUUUAAUCAAGGAAAAUAUUAGAAUCAAGAUCAAGUUUUAGUUUUAUAUAAAUAAAAAAAUUAAAUAUUUUAAUUAAGAAAAAAAAUUUAAAAACUAUAGUUAAGUCCAAAUCAUAAGCAAAAAGAUAAAACCAUGAUUAUUAAUUCUAUUUUCAUAUGAAAAUUUAAAAUUUUAAGCUAAUAUAAAAAAUAAAAUAAUAUGACCAAAAUACUUUUAUUUAAUCUAUAUGUGACAAGAUUUAUCAAAUAAAUAAAUAUUUAUUUAGCAUGAAUAUAAAAUCUUAAGUUUUAGUUUUAUAUAAAUAAAAAAAUUAAAUAUUUUAAUUAAGAAAAAAAAGUUAAAACUAUAGUUAAUUCCAAAUCAUAAGCAAAAAGAUAAAACCAUGAUUAUUAACUCUAUUUUCAUAUGAAAAUUUAAAAUUUUAAGCUAAUAUAAAAAAUAAAAUAAUAUGACCAAAAUACUUUUAUUUAAUCUAUAUGUGACAAGAUUUAUCAAAUAAAUAAAUAUUUAUUUAGCAUGAAUAUAAAAUCUUAUCUCAUCAUCCUCUAAAUUUGUUUAUUAUGUAUUUAUGUUUAUAUUAACUUUGUUCUCAUUAAUUAUUUAUUAUAUAUUAUUAUAUUGUAUUUAAACUUUCUAUGGAUAAUUAAAAUCAAUAAAUAUAAAAGGACAAAACAAUAAAUAAAAAAAAAAGAAAUUAAAAAGACUUCAUGAGAAAACAUGUAGCCAUCAUAUUGAAAAAAAAAAAAUGUCAAAGGUACACAACAUGGUUGGUUCAUCAUGUGUCAAACUUAAAAAGAUAAAAAAAAUGUUGACAAACAUAAUGAUGAACUCUCUUAAUUUGUCAUGUCAAAGUUAAAAGAAAAGAACUUAGGUUAGUUGGCUGGUAAUAAGAGAGGUGGAUUGGAGGGUAAUGUUAUAAUUUUAAUAAUGUUAUUAUUUGAGAGUAUGUAGAUAAAAUUAUUUUCUUCAAAGAACCUGUAUUUUGAAAGUUAAAAGUAAAAGUUCUCAAAAAAUGUAUUAUUUUGGGUAGCCUAUGAUUACAUGAUUUUCCUUUUAAUAAAAGGAUAAGUGCCUUAGUGUCCAUCACUUUAACGCACCCACAUCUAUAAACAAAUACAGUUGAUGUGGGUAUUUAAAUUGGUUUGUAACUCAUGUAUCAAGGUGUUGGAGAUUGGAAGUAAUGUAUGUUAAAAUUUGAUUGUAAGUCAUCUCAAGAUCACAACAUCAUAGAACAAUGGCCUAGAGAAACGAUAGAUUUCACCCAAUCCACUAGUUCACCCCCAUUUUGGGCUAAUACAUGAACCAUCACUACAACAAAUAUACUCUUUGGCUAGGAACCAUGUUGUAGCAAAAAGAAGAUAUUUUAUGGGAAAGAAAAAAAAAAAACCAGAUUUUAUGGCAAAAAAACUUUCAAUACAUUUUUGUUUUUUUUUUUUUGUGGCACCUUCAUGGGUAUAAGUUUGUGAGUAAUUAUUUUUAACCACUAAAAUAAAUUUUAUAACCAAAAAUUAUUUUUAAACACAAAAAAUAGUUUAUAAAAUAAUAAUUUUCUCAUACUAAAAAAUUUGUGGCAAAACAUCAUUUUUAAAUAAAUUUCAUUGCUAAACAUCACCUUUAGCCAUGAAAUAAAUUUAAUUAGUGCCAAAACAUCUCUUUUACUCUUAAAACAAACUUUAAAAAAAAUAAAAAAUCAUCAACUUCAAAAUUUCAAUUUUUUCUCACAUUUUUUCUAGACAACCAAUCAGAGCAUUACUAGAUUUAUGUUGAAAAAAAACGACAAAAGUGUAAAGGAUAUUGUAUAUCCUCAAAUUGAUGAAGAUAAAAUCUAACAAACUUAUAUUUAUCAUAUAUCAAUUAGUUGAUAGCAAGUAAAUGUUAUGAACAGCUCAGGGUUAUGGAUGACUUGAACAACUCAAGGUUUUGAGCUUAAGGCUCUAGAUGCUAUGAACAACUCAGGGUUAUGUUGAACAUGAACGACUCAAGGUCGUGAGCAAUAGGCUCUAGAUUUUAUGAACAGCUCAGGGCUGUGGAUGAUAUGAACUACUAUAGGUCAUGAGCUCAGGUCUCUAGAUGCUAUAGAUAGCUAUAGGAUGUGGAUGAUAUGAACUAUUCUGGGUCAUAAGCUAAGGGAUCUAGAUGCUAUGAACAGCUCAAGGUUGUGGAUGAUAUGAACGAUUCUGGGUCGUGAACUCAAGGCUCUAGAUGCUAUGAACAACUCAGGUCUAUGGAUGACAUGAACAACUUCAGCUCGUGAGCCCAGGGUUUGUUUUUUCUCUAUUUUCAAUUCAAAUCAUUGUUUCACAAUACCUUUUAUCACCCCCUUCUUUAUCAAACUUGAUUGAAGUAAUUAUUUUCUCUUGAAAUCACUGAUUAUACCUGCCAUCAAAGGUCAUAAUCUCGAUGGUUUUCUCUUUGGGACACUACCUCAUCCUCCCAAAAAUCAAGGAGAAUCAACAUAGAGUAUUAACCUUGAUUAAAUUGCAUGGGAACGACAAGACCUACUCUUAUGUUAGUUAUUAGCCUCUCUUUCUAAAACUAUUUUAGGCCAUGUGGUUAGCUGUCAAACCUCUCAUGCAGUUUAGACCACUUAAUCAUUGCCAAAUAUCAUGCAAUUUCAGUUUCAACUCCAAAAUACAAAUGAAGGAGUCUUUGAUAUUGAUGAUUAUCUUCUUAAAAGGAAAAAUAUGGUAAAUAAAUUAGCAAUAAUAGGAGAACCUAUGGAUGAGCAAAGACUGGUGUGAAACCAAGGUUUGGUUAAUCUCUAUUUUGAUGAUAACAAAACAAGGUUUAGAAUUAAUGAUUAUAUUUCAAGUGUGAUUAGGCAAGACAAUUUCCAAAGUGGCAAUCACAAAGACAAAUCAAGCCAAGGAGAAAUCAUGAAGAAGAAUACCAUCUCAAAGAGAAGUGUUUUUCAAGACCCAAGCUUCAUAAGAUCUCUUUGUAAGGUUAUUGGCACACUAGGAUUUUCAUGCAUUACAUUCGUUACUUAUGCACCAAAAUCAUCCAAGAGUUAUUUUGUUUUAAAUAUUUUAAAAUUGGAUGAUUUCAUGUUUUCAACUAAAACCUUGUGUCAAAUGUUUUUCAAACUUGUUUAAAAGGUUUUAAGUUGAAAAAGUUGGUUGUUAAGCCAAAAACGGCUCAACCGGUUGAACCAAAUGAGGAACCGAUCGACCGCCAACUCAAUCGGUUUAGGAGUAGGUCGACCCCCAGUUCAACCGAUCAAUGGUGUGAACAGUAACCGAUCGACCCGCCAGCUCAACCGAUCAAGGGGUGCAAAAAACUCUCUCUUUCUUCCAAAAUGGUUGUUCAACCGGAUAAGGAACCGGUCUACCCACGCCUCAACCGGUUGAGGUCCAACGGUCACCUGCUAAGCAUUAAAUACUAAUGGUUAGUCAACUGGUUGACCCCCAGCUCAACCGGUUGAAUCCCCAAUGGCUAGUUUGGUUGUUUUCUUCUAUAAAAAUGCUCCAAAUCUUCAUUGUUAAAGACCUCAACUUUCUCAAACCUUUCUUGAAUAUAUUUGAGCCUUAGAAGAGUGUUUUUUAGUGCACCAUUGUUCUAAAACUUGCAUAUCUUUAGUGUACCAUUCAAUCCUAGUUUUUUUGUAUCAUUUGAGCUUAAAUUUUUUCUAUUAGGAUUUUGUGAGAUCAAUUAUUUGUAUAUCUUUGAGAGUAAGAUUCUUAAGUAUGGGGUAUUUCUUGAGGAUUGUAAAGGGUGCUUGGAGCCAAAAGUCUAAGAGGGUGGAUUGGAACCAUAAUCUAAUUGUUUUGCUUGAAGGCUUGGUUUGGAAGCCAUAAAUUAGUGGAACCUCAAGCUUGGGAUUGAAGUUAGAGGAGAGUGGAUGUAGGUUGACUUGCGCCGAACCACUAUAAAAUCUUGUGUUUGCAUUCUCUCUUCCCUACUCUUUUACUUUAUAUGCAAUUGUCUUUAUAUUGUUUUAUUAUAUACUUGCAUAUAUUUGUCUCUUACAUCCACAUGGUUUAAAUUUGCAAAAAGAGACCAUCACUUUUUUCACCCCCCCUCCCCUCCCCUCUCCUCCCCUCUCCUCCCCUCCUCUAGGGUGGUUACCAUAGGUUGGACUAGCCUAAUUUUUCUAACAAUUGGUAUCAGAGCUAGGUCUCUUGUUUAAGACUUCACCGUCUAAGAGAUAAUGGCUAAUCCAUCAAGCUUAUCUCACAAUGAAACCCGACCUUCAUUUUUCACGGGAACCGAUUAUCCCUAUUGGAAAACUAAAGUGACUUGGUUUCUGCAAUCUACUAAUCUUGAUUUAUGGGAUGUCAUUAAAGAUGGUCUCCACAUUCCUUCAAAAUUAGAAAAUGGAGUGAUGGCUCUAAAACCUAAGCAAGAAUGAGAUGAACUUGAUAAAAAGAAAGUUCAAUUAAAUGCCAAAGUCGUUUAUAUCUUACAUUGUGCUAUUGAUAGAAGUGAAUUGAGUCGUGUUUGGCAAUGUAAGUCGCCUAAAGAAAUUUGGAGACUAUUAGAAAUCACUCAUGAGGGAACCAACCAAGUUAAGGAGUCUAGAAUCAACAUUCUUGGGCAUGAUUAUGAAUUAUUUUCUAUAAAGGAUUUUGAAUAUGUUGUAGAGAUGUUUUCUAGGUUCAUGGUGAUUGUGAAUGAACUUAAAGCCUUGGGAAAGACCUACACCGAAGUAGAGAAAGUCAUGAAAAUCUUAAGGUCUCUACCAAAGAAAUAGGAAACAAAAGUGACGACUAUUCAUGAAGCAAAGGAUCUCACCAAACUCUCACUUGAAGAACUCAUUAGAUCACUCAUGACUUAUGAGAUAAAUUUGAACAAUCAUCAAAGAGUUGAAGAAAAUAAGAAAAUUAUAGUUUUUAUGGCUUCAAGAAAUGAUGAUGAAAAGGAAGAAAGUGAAAGUGAAAGUGAUGAAGACUCCACGGAAGAAGAAUGCACAAAUGAGGAUGGCAACAUGUGCUUCAUGGCCUUGGAGGAACAUGAAGAAGAGGUAAAUUCCAACUCUAAUUAUAAUGAGUUUCAAGAUGUACUUCAAGAAAUAUAUUUUGAUAUUGAAAAACUUAGGUCCAAAAAUGUCUCUCUCAAGAAAAAGAUUUCUUGUCUUCAAAAUGAGUUCCAUGAGCUUAAGGAAAAAAAUUGCAAAUAUUGAGAAGACAAAAAUCUCUUUUGAAAAAUAAAAAUGAGAAGUUGAAAAAGAAAAAUGAAUGGCAAGUCAAAAGUGCAUUUUUGAUAAAAAAAAAUAAAAAAUAAAAAUAAAAAAGGGCUAGGCUACAAGCUUUUCAAAAAUAAAAAAUAUUUUAAGAAUUAUUUUGUAAAGGAAGCCUCUAGCUUUUCACCUUCAAUUAUUUGCAAUCUUUGUGUUUUUGUCCCUUAAUAAAAUCUCCUCAUGUUUUUCAAAACUCUAAAUUAUUUUGGAUUCCAAAUGGAAGAAAGUCUAACCCUCUAGGACCCAAAAAGAUAUGGGUACCAAAAGUUACUAAAUUUAUUUUGUAGGAAUCCAUGCAAAAAGGAGGAUAUGCUUACCUUGGAAAGAAUGCAUUGAUAAUAUUUGUAAUGGUAUCCCUUCUAAAGCUUAAUUUUCAAUAGCAUUUUAUCAUUUUGCUAACACUUGGUAUAAUUUUUGUUAAUAAUAUAACAUUUGGUAUCACAUGCUUGAAUUAUCAUAUUUGUUAAACCAAGGUUUGGAUUAAAAAGAAGAUUUUUUAAUAUACACCUAGGUAAAAUUGAAUGAUCAUAUGCUUGUAUGCUCUAAUAGUGUUAUUCAAUGCAUGAAUAUAUAUCUUUUUAAUGUAUAUGUUCUCCCAUAUAUUUUUUUUCCAAAUCAUGGUUUAAAUUGGGAAUGCUCUAAGGUUGAGCAUCGUUUAUUUGGAAAAUGUUCUCAAAUGAAAAAGGGGGAGAUUCAUUUUUAUGAGAAAUCAUAUCAUGCUUAUUGUUUAUUUUUUAAACUUUUGAUAACAUGUAAUUCCUCUUAUAUACUUUAUUGAGACUUUUUAUUGAUGACAAAAAGGGGGAGAAGUAAUGAGGUUGCUAACUUGGGAAGAAAUGUAAAUAUUGUUUUAGCAAUCUUAUUCAUAUUGAUGCUAUGUGCUUUAUUGGUUAUAAUUGCAUGCAUCAUAUUUAAUAAUAAUGUCUUGCCAAUUGCUAAAUUGCUCUUUAUGUUAUUUAUGUUUGAUUAUAUCAUUUUGAGCACCCUUAAUAUACUCCUUAAAGUUCUAAACUUGAAUAUUUUCUAAAUUCAAAGGAGCAUAUAUUGAGGGGGAGCUUUUUAGCAACUUUGGUUUUGUCAUUAUAAAAAAUGGAGAGAUUGUGAAACCAAGGUUUGGUUAAUCUCGGUUUUGAUGAUAACAAAACAAGGUUUCAAACUAAUGAUUAUAUUUCAAGUGUGAUUAGGCAAGAUGAUUUUCAAAGUGACAAUCAUAAAGACAAAUCAAGCCAAAGAGAAAUCAUGAAGAAGAAGACCACCUCAAAGAGAAGUGUUUUUCAAGACCUAAACUUCAUUAGAUUUCUUUGUAAGGUUAGUGGUGCACUAGGAUUUUCAUGCAUUAUAUUCUUUACUUAUGCACCAAAAUCAUCCAAGAGUUAUUUUGUUUUAAAUAUUUUAAAAUUGGAUGAUUUCAUGUUUUCAACUAAAACCUUGUGUCAAAUGUUUUUCGAACUUGUUUAAAAGGUUUUAAGUUAAAAAAGUUGGUUGUUGAGCCAAAAAUGACUCAAUCGAUUGAACCGAAUGAGGAACCAGUCUACUGUCAACUCAAUCGAUCGACCUCCAGUUCAACUAGUUAAAGGUGUGAACAGUAAUCAGUCGAUCGCCAGCUCAACCGGUCGAGCGGUGCAAAAAAUCUUCUCUUUUUUCCAGAAUGGUUGUUCAACCGGAUGAGGAACUGGUCAACCCACACCUCAAUCAGUCAAGGUCCAAUCGAGGUCCAACGAUCACCUACCAAACAUUUAUUGCUAAUGGUUAGUCAAUCGGUCGACCCCUAGCUCGACAGGUCGAACCCCCAACAGCUAGUUUGGUCAUUUUCUUAUAUAAAAAGGCUUCAAAUCUUCAUUGUUGAAGACCUCAACCUUUCCAAACCUUUCUUGAAUAUAUUUGAGCCUUGGAAGAGUGCUUUUGAGUGCACCAUUGUUCUAAAACUUGCAUAUCUUUAGUGCACCAUUCAAUCCUAGUUUUCUUGUAUCAUUUGAGCUUAAAGUUUUUGUACUAGGAUUUUGUGAGAUCAAUUAUUUAUAUAUCUUUGAGAGUAAGAUUCUUAAGUGUGGGGUAUCACUUGAGAGGUUGUUCAAGAGUGGGGUAUCUCUUGAGGAUUAUAAAGGGUGCUUGGAGCCAAAAGUCUAAGAGGGUGGAUUGGAACCAUAAUUCAAUUGUAUUACUUGAAGGUUUGGUUUGGAAGCCUUGAAUUAGUAGAACCUCAAGCUUGGGAUUGAAGCUAGAGGAAAGUGGAUGUAGGCCGGGUUGUGUCGAACCACUAUAAAAUCUUGUGUUUGCAUUCUCUUUUCCCUACUUUUUUACUUUAUAUGUAAUUGUCUUUAUAUUGUUUUAUUAUAUACUUGCAUAUAUUUGUCUCUUACAUUCAUAUAGUUUAAAUUUGCAAAAAGAGAUCAUCACCCUUUUCACCCCCCCCCCCCCCCNNNNNNNNNNNNNNNNNNNNNNNNNNNNNNNNNNNNNNNNNNNNNNNNNNNNNNNNNNNNNNNNNNNNNNNNNNNNNNNNNNNNNNNNNNNNNNNNNNNNACCGGUACUUCACAUCUUAGGUGGAAAUAGAGUUGAAUACAAUCCUUUUGUGGCAUGGUGCUUACCCAACUAGCAUCAAUAUCUCUAUAUGAAUUAUCUAAUUUACUUACCAGCUUUGACAUCCAUUCAGAGCAGCAAAAUGCAUCAACAACAUUAGAUAUUAACCGCUUUUCUGCCAACCUAGUUGCAACAUCUCCAAAGCACAUGCAAAUAUCAGCACCUAAAUAUAUGACAAUCAGCAAGGUCAUAUCCUAUUUAAUGUUAGAGAAAGGGGAAGUGGUGGUAGUGGAGGUAACAAAAUGGGUCGUGGCAAUCAUCCACGAUGCCAAGUUUAUGGAAAGCUAAGUCAUCUUGCAAUCUCAUGCUACUACCGAUUGGAUUGUAAUUUUCAACCCCUAAAUAAUCAACACCACCAAAUGCAAGCUAUGACUACCACGCCUCAAACAAUAACUGACCCGUCUUGGUAUGUCAAUUAUGGAGUAACUCAUCACCUCAACUCCAACAUUAAUAACCUUAAUGCCAAAAAUCCAUGUAAUGGUGAAGACAAAAUAACAAUUCCCAAAGGCACAAAUUUAGUCAUAAAACACACUAGUUGUAACAUCCCAAAUUUCUAGAUGGGCAAUUUUCAGUUUUGAAAAAAAUAAUAAUAAUGACAUAAAUAAAAUAACUAAAAAUCUAAUUGAAUUAAAAAUAAUUAGGAAAUUUAAAUAACUUAAAAAAUUAGAGGUAAAUAAUCUCAUCUUAUAUUUUUCCUUUUUCACUUUUUCUUUGGGUAAGUGUUGUUAGAAAUUAGUUUUUGUAUGUGUAAAUUUUUUUUUAUAUAUUUUAAACCAUUUUUUUCUUACUUCUUAGAUUGUUUGGCUACCAAGAAAGUGAAGGAAAAUAUUUUAAUUUAAUUUUGAUUGACAUAUAAAUUGUUGGAAGUGAAUGAGAAUGAUAUCCUAUGAUGUUGAUACACAAAAGGAAUUUGGUGAUACCUUUCAACCCACAAUGGGUGAAGCCAAUUUGUUCAACAUUGGAAGGACCCAAAUCAAGUUCAAACAAUCUAAUAUAAUAAAUUGAGUUGGGAGGAAAUUUCAUGAGAAAAAAAAAAUCCUAACAAUGAGGAAUACAAUACUUUUUCUUUUUUUUUUUUAAUAUUCUAACCCAUUGGUGAUUUUUGAAUUUUUGUAAAUUUUUGGUAAAGUAUUAAAAUCCAAUUAAUUUUUUCAAACAAUAUACUUGAUAAUGAGUCUAAAAAUUCAAGUAUUGUUACAUUUGAACCACGUUUGUCUCAUGAGAAAAUUUCGAAUAUAUUGAAAAUUUCAAGGGAGAGGUUCACAGGAAUAGUUUGGACUUAUUAUAUUUCUCAAUUUUUUUGGGAUUAGUCUUAAAGAAAAUUAUAGUCUAAAUUAUUUUUAUAUAAUAUUAUACUCUCUAAGGAAUCUAACCUAUAAAUUUCAUCUCAUUUGGAAAUUGAUAGCUUAUUAUAAAAAUUCUAAGGAAAUGGGUAAGAAAAUAAAGUGGUUCAACUAAGACAGUUUUGACGCACUUAGGUUUCUUAAAGUUCUAGGAUAUUUUGGCUAAUUAUCAUCAUUCUUAAUUAUUUUUAUAUAUUAUUAAAAUAAAAAAUGAAACUAUAGAGUCUAAUUGCAUUCAAUUCUAAAUUUGUUUUGCAUAGAAAAAUAACUAAGAAAAUAUUUAAUAGAUUUUCAACAAGGUAUGCUAGGACAAUUUUUAUGUUUGAGACUUUUGGUACUAUUAAAAUUUGUGUAAGGCUUAUAAAUUAUUUAAAAAAUAUUCUAGACUCAUCAUGCAUUAUAUUUGGAUAGUUUCACAAUUAUUGGGAACUUGUUUGUUUAGUAAGAAAAAUCAAGAAAAUAAGUAGUAUUGCAACAUAUAUUGUUUUGGAUAAAUCUAGAACUAAAUUAGGUUGAGGCUUAAUUGAUGGUCUUUUGAUAACCAUUUGACUUAAAAAUUAAUUUCUAAGGUUCCUAGACUCAUAUAUAUAUAUAUAUAUAUUUGGCUCAAGUUUCACUUGAAUUGGACUUCAUUUACCUAACCUUUCAUUUUUAAGAAAAUUACAUAUUUUAGGGAGAGUGUUAUCAAAUUAAGAAAAAAAAUAGGAGAACCUUAGAAUCAUAGUUCCCUUUUUAUCGAAUUUCCAAUUCUCUAAGUCCACUUAAAAUUUGUUUGAGGAGAAUUCAGACUUUGUGGAGUCAUCAUACUACAAGUAGACUCUAGUGUUGAUUGCGAGAAUUUUUGUGAGUAGUUACGAUAUGCAUGCUUUUGUUAAGCUUUUUCUAAAAUAAACAUCUCUUGCCUAUGUAUUAUCUAUCACUUGUUUCAUUUUUUUCUAAAGGCAUGAAAUAUAUAUUGAAAUUCUUAUUUGAUCAAAAUGCACAUGAUUUAUGUUGAGUUGCAAAAAUAAAUGUCACUAUACUUUGAAGAAAUUAUUUAUUUCCAUGAAUAUAUUUACAACCAAUGACAUAUUGCAUACCUUGUUGUGGAUAUAAUAAAUUGUUAGACUUUUGGAUAUUAAUAUCUUACGGGCAUGAUAAUAUGUAUACUCGUGAGGUGUUUCAUGCAAUUUUGUUCUAAGACUCCAUAUUCUCUUAUGUAGCAAGGGGAAGGCCUUAAUACGAGAUUGUGAGUCUAAUGCUAAGCUAGGGGAUAGAUCUCGAAGUGACAAAGUAUGCUCUGUUGUGCCCCUAAUGAGAUGACUAAGAGAUGAACAUUUUGGUAUUGUGAUCCAUAGUAACGAGUCACUAAAAAAUUGUGUAGAUGUGGGGAUUCAUGGAUAGUAGGCUUUUGUAUAGUCGAUUGAUUGACCAAAGAUAUGUUCAGACCUAUGAUUGCAUAUUUUACAUUUCAUAUAUUUUUUAAAUACCAUUACGAUUAUUCUAUAAUAGUUUCUAAUUACCAAAGUUAUUAUAGAUAUAUUUUAUAAUUGUAUUUUUAUGUGGACUAACUAUCCUAACACUUAUGUAUCAUAACUAUUCAUUGGACCUUGUGUUCACCCCAUAGAAUUAUUAUUAUUAUUUUUUCAAAUAAGGGCUCAUGUAUUCCUAUUAAGGAGAUAAAAUCGACUUUAAAGGGCAUCUAGCUUUAAUUCUUUUCUUGUUAAACUUAUUGGGCAUCUAGUCUAUUUCAUUAUAUAUUUUAGUUCAAUUUAGUUAUUCUCAGCCAUGUGGCUAAUCUUGUAAACCUUGCUCUCGCUAUUUUUGUAUCUAAUUGUUGUUUAUUUAAUAUUAUCUAGUUAUAUGUUAAUCUUUCAAGACUACAUUUAUUUCUUAGGAUGGUGAUUACACUUUAAAUUUGUAGUUGGAGUGGGCUCACUAUCUUCAAACAGGUCGCUAUUAGAGCAAGUCAUUCUAGUCAAUUUCUUACUUCAAAUAAAUCCAAACAUAUUUACUCUCAAAAACAUUUUGCAUGUUCCUAAAAUUACAAAGGUUCUUUCUAAGCAUUGCAAAAUUCACAUUUGACUACAAUUUUUUUUCAAAAAGAAAAAUUUAUUGUAAUUUUUUUUCUUAUCCAGGAUUAGGUUUCGUAGAAGAUUUUGCUCUAUAGCCUCCUUGACCAUGGUCUUUACAAAUUUCAUCUUUCAACUUCUUAUACUAAACAAUCAAAACUUAUGUUAAAUAUUUUCUAUUUGUUCAAUCUAGCUAGUACAGUAUUACAACCAACUUGUUUUUCUACUUUCAAUAAGCUAAUUUCCUUGACUACUUCACCUUCUUAGGUUAUUUAACAUGCUAGAUUAGGUCAUCAUUCCCUUAGGAUUUUAUCUCAAGUUCUGUCCCAUUGUAAUUUGCUUUUCAGGUUAUUACAAAUAUUGAAUGUUGUGCUUCAUAUCAAUUUAGGAGACAUAAAUGUCAUUUUUUUCAAGUUUGUUGUUCAAAAAACAACCAAACCGACUACUUUAGCUUAUUCACAUUGACAUUUAAGGGUUUCCCCUAUGAUUUCCACAAAAGGCUUUUGAGACUACAUUCAUUUUAUUGAUGAUUUUUUAGGCUACACAUGGAUAUAUCCUUCAUAAAUAAAUUUGAAGCUAUCAUCUUUCAUAAAAUUUAAACUUCUUAUUGAAAAUCAAUUAAACACAAAAAUAAAAUCUUUACAAAUUGAUGAGGGUUAAGAAUUUUCAUCUACAAUCUUCCAAUUUUUUUUAAAUCCCAUAAAUACACCACCAAUUUUCUUAUCCACACACAUCAACAAAACGAUAAAGCAAAAUGCAAACAUCAUCACAUUGUCAAAAUAAGUCUUACUUGCCUUGCUCACACAUCUUUACCUCUGAAAUUCUAGGAUUUUGCCUUUGUCUUCUCUAUUUACACCAUUAAUCAUUUUUUAACCCCAAUUCCUCAAAACAAAUCACCUUUGAAGAAAUUAUUCCAUCAUAAACCCGACUACUUUUUUCACAUAUUUGGUUGUGUGUGUUAUCCAUUUGCUCAUCCUCUCAAUAGAUAAAUAUUUCAAUUUCACUCCUUAAAGGGGAUCUUUCUUGGCUGAAGCGCAUAUCAUAAAGGCUAUUUUAAUGCCAUGCUAUUUUUAAUAAAAGCAAUUUCCUGUUUUCCUUUGAUUUUUUCAAGCCUUCUAAUUUAUUUUCUAGUUGAACAAACCUGCCAUCUCAAACCUUGCAAAUGUUUCUCCCCUUAAUAUCACAAGUCUCAUCCCCCUCUUUGCCACACCCCACAAUUCCAUAUUCUCAUAUCACAUUCCAAUUUCUAUCACACCUUAACUUUACCACAUAAUCCAUCUCAUGCCUAAACACCAUCAUAAGACCACAUCUUAAGCAGCAUGUCCCCCUUAGAAACUCCCUCAUUGGAAUACAUGAUACCCACCAAUACUAUCCCAUGCAAACUUGUUCCAAAAUUGGCAUUAUUAAAUCCAAAUCCUUGCUUUCUCUGCUUCCUUCUUUACCCUUUCAUUCCAUCCCUUUUGAACUUCAUAGCUUUGUUGAAGUUUUUAAGUUCUUGAAAUGGCAUUAGGCUAGCUAUGUGUGCUGAAUUUGCUACUCUCAUGCAUAAUUUAACUUGAUUUCUCGUUCCACCACCUUUUAUUGCCAAUGUUGUCAACUACAAAUGGGCUUAUCGCAUAAAAUAGACAUGUAAUGGCAUUGUGAUAGAUUCAAAGUUCAGUUAAUUGUGAAAGAUUUUCAUUCUACAUAUGUAUUACAAUGAAAUAUUCAACCCAGUGGUCAAACCAACCACCAUCUGAAUUGUUCUAUCAUUCACAUUCUCAUACAAUUGGCACAUCUACCAAUUAGAUGUGCAUAAUGCCUUCUUGAAUGGACUUCUUAUGGAAGACAGAUAUAUGGCUCAACCCUUUGGUGUAUUCUUUCAAAUUAUGUUUGCAGAUUAAAAAAGACAUCAUAUGGUCUCAACCACUUGUUGAACUCUUCCAAAUUACGUUUGCAGAUUAAAGAAGACAUUAUAUGGUCUCAACUUAGGCUUGAUUCCAACGUUUGCAAAACAUUUUUGUCAAAUGGAGUUUUCAAUCUUCUAUUGUUGAUUCUUCCAUAUUUCUUUUUUAGAACAAGAACCAUACUAUGAUUUUACUUGUUUAUGUUGAUGACAUCCUCCUCAUAGAUGAUAGCAUGUUUCUCAUUCAAUCCUUAAUUUCAUAUCUAAACAAGAAUUUUGCCUUGAAAAGAUUUGGGAGAUCUUCAUUAUUUUUUGGAACUGGAAACCUCUUGCCUUAAUAAUGUUCUCUAUCUCACUCAAUCAAAGUAUACCCAUGAAUUGUUGGUUUGAACAAAAAUGAAUAGUGCUAAGCCACAAUUAAGCCCAAUUAUCAUCGGUAAACAACUUUCUCUUCACAAUGUUAGGCAAGAUAAGAUCGUGAUGGGCAAUGGAACAGAUUUGAACAUUAAGCAUAUUGGAGAAUCAUAUUUUUAGUCACAAUUUGCUUCGAAAUUGAUCUAUUUAAAUCAUCUUCUUCAUGUUCUUUCUAUUACCAAAAAUUUGUUCAAUGUCUCUAAAUUUGCCAAUGUUGUGCAUUUUGAGUUCUUUCCUAACUUUUAUUAUGUCAAAGAUUAGGCUUCCAAGGAAAUUCUCAUGGCAAGGAGAGUUAAGAAUGGACUUCAUGUAUUUGAUGACUUCACACUUCUACCUUCAUCAAAGCCAUUAUCAGUUCCAUCUUCCAUAGCCUCUUAUGAAUCAUCCACCUUUUCAUUUCAUAAUCAUGCUUCUAGUCUCUUUCAAUAUAAUCAAAAAAUUCUCUUGGUUCUUUGAAUAAUUUAGAUCUAUGGCAUCACAUACUUGGACAUGCAUCCCUUAAAAUUGUAAAGUUUGCUCUGUCUAACUGCAAUAUUUUCAUUCCUAAUAAAAUGCAAUUUUUCUUUUUGCUCAGCUUGUUGUUAUGGAAAAAUUCACAAACUUCUUUUUUCUUCUUAUAACACUGUUUACACUGAACCCCUUCAACUUAUACACUCUGAUUUAUGGGGUUCCUCUCCACUUCAAUUCUCUAGUGGUUGUUGCUACUACAUUCACUUUGUUGAUGCUUACUCAAGAUUUGCUUGGAUCUAUAUGCUUAGACAUAAAUCAGAUGCAUUUCAAGCCUUUCUUAAUUUUAAAACUCAAAUUCAAUUACAACUAGGUUUUAAAAUCAAGGCCAUACAAAUAGAUUAGGGUGGAGAAUAUAGAGCUUUCACAAAUUUUUUAACUUCAAAUGGCAUUCAUCAUAGAUAUUAUUGUUCUUAUACUCAUGAACAAUAUGGCUUGGCUAAAAAGAGGCAUAAAACCAUUGUAGAACAUGGUCUCACCUUGUUAGCAUUUACUUCAAUGCUAAUAAAAUAUUGGGAUGAAGCCUUUAAUUUAGAGCUUUUGUUUAUCUCAACAAUAGAUUGCCAACUUUUUUUCUUUAUCAUAGAACUCCUCUAAAGUUUUGUUCAAAACCCUACCGAAUUAUUCUUUCUUAAAAAUAUUCGGUUGCUCUUGUUUUCCUAAUAUUCGUUCAUAUAACAAAAACAAACUUUAAUUCUAGACCACUGAAUGUAGUUUUCUGGGUUAUAGUCUUAAUCAUAUAGGCUACAAAUGUCUUGAUUCUGAUGGAAAAAUUAUUAUUUCUCGAGAUGUCAUUUUCAAUGAAUCUUCAUUUCCUUUUGCUCAUAAAAUUCAAUCAUCCUCCUCAUCUAAUUUUGUUUCACCCUCUUUUCAUACUCGAACUACUUCCUCAAUAAUUCCUUCCUUUGGUAGCUUUACUCAUCCGAAAAUUGCUCAAUAUGUUAUUAAUGUUUUAGCACCUAUUGUCUAUCCUCUUGCUACUAAUACUUAUGAUAGUGUUGUUGGUCAUGGCUUUUUUCAUAGAACCAAAUAUAAGAAGAUUUAGCCUAUUCCAAUGCAACUUUACAAAAAUACUCUUUCUAUGGCCACUCGAUCUAAAGUUGGGAUUUUUAAACUAAAGGUUUUUGCUGCCACAUGUGAACCUACUUGUGUUGAGGAAGCUUUACGUAUACAUCACUGGAAAGAAACAAUGGUUAUUGAAUUUAUGUCUCUUUUGAAGAAUAAUACAUGGUCCUUAGUCCAUUACCACCUAGAAGAACACCUAUUAGCUACAAAUGGGUAUUUAAAGUGAAAGAAAACCCUGGUGGCUCAAUUUAGAAGUACAAAGAUAGGUUAGUGGAAAAAAGGUUUCAUCAAGUUGCUAGUUUUGAUUUCACCGAAACUUUCAAUCCAAUUGUUAAACCUCCAACUGUUCGAGUUAUACUUACUAUAGUAUUGUUUAGAGGUUGCUUAAUCCAUCAAUUAUAUGUUAAUAAUGUUUUUUUGAAUGGAGUAUUGCAUGAGGAAGUUUUCAUGGAACAACCUUUUGGAUUUAUUCAGCACAACUAGUCUCAUCUUGUUUGCAAAUUACAUAAAGUUUUAUAUGGCUUAAAACAAGCACCAAGGGCCUAGUUUGAAAAGUUAAGGCAUAACCCCAUAUCCCUUUGGAUUUAUCUCUACAAAGUCAUAUCAGUCUUUGUGCAUUCAUAUGACAAAAAGUCAUUCUACCUAUAUUCUUGUGUAUGUAGAUGACAUUCUUAUCACUAGUAGUAGUGACCAAGUUGUGAUGCAUCUCAUUACCAAUUUAAAUAGAGAGUUUGCCUUAAAAGAUCUUGAAGAAGUGAACUAUUUUUGAAGGAUUGAAGUGAAGCAUACUACUGAAGGCAUUCACCCCUCUCAACGAAAAUACUUAAUUGAUCUAUUACGCAAAACCAAAAUGGAAAGUGUCAAUCCUAUUUCUACUCCUAUGACCAAUGGGCAAAAACUUUCAGGCUAUGGAAGUGAAUUAGUUCAGGAUGUGAAGUUGUACACGUCAACUAUAGGAGCUUUGUAAUAUGUAAUAGUUACUAGGCCUGAAAUUGCCUAUAGUGUCAAUAAAGUUUGCCAAUAUAUGCAAGCUCCAUUAGAAUCUCGUUGGAAAGUAGUCAAAAGAAUUCUUAGAUAUUUGAAAGGAACUCUUCAUCAUGAAUUACAUUUAAGAAAGUCUUCUACUCUUAAUCUUGUAGCAUUUCAUGGUGCUAAUUGGGCCUUUGAUCCUGAUGACCAAAGAUCAACUUGAGGAUUUUGUGUAUAUUUUGGUUCAAACUUAGUCACUUGGCAAUCAAAGAAACAAUAUACUUUAUCUAGAUCAUGUAUAGAAGCAGAAUACAAAAGCCUAGCUAGUUUGGUUGCGUAAAUCACUUGGUUACAAUCUCUUCUCUCAAAAAUUAAAAUCACUUUGCCUACACCACCAAUUAUUUGGUGUGAUAAUCUUAGCACUCUUAUGUUGGCUACUAAUUCAAUAUUACGUACUUUGACAAAACACAUUGAAUUGGAUUUAUAUUUUGUGGGAAAAGGUUUUGCAAAAAGGUUUUAGUCCAACAUGUGCCUUCCAUUGAUCAAGUAGUAGAUUUCUUGACAAAAGCUGUCUUAAGCACUCAAUCUGUAAAUCUAAGAAACAAACUCAAAGUGCAAAAUAUUUUUACCUUAAGAUUGAGGGGGAAUAUUAAGAGAUAGUUUCAUAUGAUUACAAGAUGUACACAUGUUAUAUGCUCAUUGGUUUUCUUCUAUUAUUGUUAGAGAAUUUGUUAAUUAGGUUUGCUAUAUAUAUUCAGAAUAAACAGAGAAAGAAAAAUAAAAACAGAAAAGGUCAAAAAGAUUUCUCUCACUUUACUUUCUUUAUUUCUUUUACUUUGCUUUUUAUCUUUGUUACUUUCUUUAUAAGGAUGCGGUGCCCAUUAAUUUAUAGGUACAUCUUGUAGAAAAGUAUCAUGGAAUGAGUAGGCCUUAUCUGUCAUUGAAUGACUGUAGAAGUGGAAUUGUCAAAAAGCUAAGCGACCCAUUCAGAUUGGACAAGAUGCUACUGUCCCAAUAAGAUUUACAAGAAUCAAAAUUCCAUUUUGAAUUUUGUUUUUUUUUUUGCUCUUUAUUUGAUUGAAAUGGACAAAAUAAGCCUUAAAUCACCCAAACUGACUAGCCUUAGGAUAUGUUUAUUUUGUAAAUAUUUAAAUUAGCUAGGAAACAAGUAUGUCAUACGUAUAACUCGAAAUAUUUUUUAUUUUCUUAAAUAUGUAUCCUAAGAGAAAUUUCUUGUCUAUUUUAGCUCUUAGAGUUUCAAUCCCAUUCAAAGAUACUGAACAAAAAAGGAAAAAAUAAAUUAUCUUAUUAGGUUGGUUUUCAUAAGUGAAACUAAAUUUUAUAAAUAUGUAUAUAUAUAUUUUUCAUCUACAAGAAUCCUCACCCAAUUCCCAAGCUAAUCAAGGAUGAAAAAUAAUGAAAAAUUCGAGCUCUUGAUGCUAACAAAAUAUUGAAUUGGAAGUUCAUAUUAGUUCAAUUGAAGUGAUCCAUUUCUAAAAAUAUAUUUUUAUUCCUUUUUUAAAUUAAAAGUGUGUUUAACAAUAUUUUCGGGUCUUUAACUUUUUUUUUUUUUAAGUAUUUUUAAGAGAAUCAUCCAUAAAAAAAAAAAUACUAUAAGUAAUUUUUCAGAUUUUUAAAAGUAUUUCCCAAAUUUUGCAAUACACCUUUUUUUUUAUUUUUUAUUUUUAUCAAAAUAACUUUUUAAGCUAAAAGUUAUUCCCAAAAUCACUAUCAAACAUAUACUAAACAUCCUGAUUUUGUCUUUAGAUUUUGAUUUAUCAUUUCUUCCUCCUCCACAUUUAAAAUAUAAGUAGAACCCAAAGAAAAUUAGAAGGUAGAAUUCUGAGUCUCCAAAUGAGAAAGUUAAUUCCAACUUCCCCGCUUUGCUGAAAGUUUUGUGAUUACUUGUCCGGUAGAAAGUUUAAGAAGGUAGAAUUGAUGACUUCAGUUCACAUGCAUGGAAGUCUUCAUGAUUGAGAAAUAACGUGCAGGAGAGAGAUAUGAAGGGCAGGGCCGGCAUUUGUAUCGUAGCGGGAAGACUCAUUCUCUUGACUCUUGGGUCAAUGCCGGGGGAACAUCAUCAAAGAAAGGGGCCAUGCCACCACAUGUUGCAGAAAGUGGGUUACAAUUAUCAAGAAUUUUCUUCUUCUGUCUAUCGUUUUCCCGGCCAUCACGCACCGAUCAUGUGCAUGUAGUCAGUGCAUUCUUCUCUCAAGUCCUUUUGGAUCAUUUCUCUAUUUCUAUUAAGAUUUAAAUUUGGUCCGAUUCACAAUCCACAUAGAAAGAAACACCACCUAGUUUUACCAUAAAUUUGGCAUGAAUUACAGCCAUCAUUCUCGUCUUUUCUUAAGUGCUUAUAUGAAAGGGAUAAGUGAAACCAUUUAUUACUUUUCUAAGUGAAUAAGAGUGCAUCUGACCGUAAUUAUGAGAAGUGGUUUUCAGUCUUUCUUAUACUUAAACAAUAAAAAUUUUCAAAUAUUAAAAAAACUAAACACUUUCCAAAAUUAUUGUCUAACGCAUUCUAAGAUUCUAUCAAAUUUAGUUUUUGUUUUUGUUUGUUUUUUAUUAUUAUUUUUUUCCAUUUAGUAAAAUAAUUAUCAAUGCCGAAGUGUAUGGGUUUCAACACAUGGUAUUAGGAUUAGAAGAUCAUGCAAGAAAUUUAUAAUUUUCUUAAUGAAACCAUAGCUACAAAUUAUAAUUUAAUCAAACUAUAACUCUUGACAUUCAUAGGUAAGAAUUCUUGCAAUUGGCGCAUUCAUAUACAAGUCUUUUUUAGAUUCCACGUUUUAUGGAAUCUAGUGAAUAAUGACCGAAAGAAAGUAACUAUUAGAAGGAAUUUGAAAUCAAAGAAAUAGAAAAUUUUAUUAUAGGAUUUUUGAAGGGAAGUUUAGAAAAUGUUUAUACAAUAUUAUUUCAAGUAGUAGAUUAAUCCAUAAUUUAGAAGCAAAAAUAACAAGGCAUAAGAUAUUCUAAAAAAAGUUACACAUAUUUGAUGAUUGUGUCAAGUUAGUGAAAUUGCAACUAUUAAAAGGUGAUCGAAGUCGAAUCUUCAUGACUAACCAUGAAUCAAUAUCAUAUUAUUUUGAUCUAAUAUAGACCAUUGUGAAUUAAAUAUGGGUUAAUGUCGAUAAGUUCAAUGAUGGUAUCAAUUAUAUUGUGCCUUAAAUGGCCUUGUUAUGCUCUUAUUUACGAUUUCAAUUGUUUCUAUAGGGACUAUGACAUGGAUUUUUAUGGUGUGACUAUUUCCUGGUUAAUUUGUGGUUGGUCCAUUAUGUUGAUGUUCUUUGUCUGUCCUUUGGGUUGUAUGCUUUAAUAGUGGUUGCCCUCCUAUUUUAGGGCCGGCUUAUAUCUUGGCAUGAUGAUAGUGGUGGUCUCAUCACAUUUUUUGCAUGGUAGCAUGGUGGGCCCUUUAAUGGUGUUGUGGCAACUGCUGAUUGGUUGUAGCAUGUCGCUCUUGCUUUGCCACCAUGUGGCGGCGGAUCUAUGUGUCCUAUGUGAUUUAUGGUUCCAAUUUAUGCCCAUGAUCGAUAAUAAGAUAUCUUAUAGUAUAUAGGCUGAUAACCUAGAAAGGAUUAAGAUGAAGAAAAGGACACGCUUUGAAAAAGGUACACAUUUAUUAGACUUGGAAAUCAAGGAUGUCUCAUGACAAAAGGAAAAUAAAGCAACACACCAUAUUGUUCUGACCAAUAAUACUGAUCAGUUUAUUAUACAUCACCAUGCUCUAACAGUACCCAUACUUGGUUAGAAGUAGUUCCAUGAUGUUUAAUAAGGACGUUGUCCGAUAUAGUUGCCCCGUGGAUCGUAGUUGCAUGUGACGAACCACCCUCCAUUGUUGCAUUGAACCCUAGCGCACCCAAGACGCACUGAUUUGCUCCAAACAACUUGAGUAUAGUGCCCACAUUGCCCACCAACACAUGAGUUGGAGUUGUAGUCAUAAUUAGACUUCUCCCCCACCCACAAGUUCACCGCAUCGGUGCCUGUCAAUGAAGGGCUGCCCCAGGCAAGGUUCUCACCGUAAGGCCCACCUGAAUGCACUAGAUUGCAAUCGCCAAUCCUCUGGUUAGCAUAAUUCUGGGCGUAGGCAGCCACAGUGUUGUCCCAUGACAUAGGCCCAACACCAACUUGUGCGCGCGCGGUGUUGUGAGCAUUGAGGUAGUCUUGUGGAGAGUUCUGGGCACAGCAGAUGUGAGCUAGGGCUAACCCCAUGAAACAAAGGAGUGCUAAUGGACUCCUACACAACCCCAUUUUUUGGUUUCUUUGAUGAGAAGUGAGGCUAUUGAUGAGAACUGAAGCUUGGCUUGAAGGGUACUUAUAGGGCAAAGAACUUGGAAUAUCAAUAGCAUCGUACACAAACAUUUCCACCAAACGCCCCCUUGGACCAGUUUUCACACGUAAAAGGACACUACUGAUGAAAUGGCUUCCACGGAGAGCAAUAUUUGAAAUUUCUUCUUGUUGUAACUCAUGCGGGCCAUACCAGUUUAUCAAGACAACUUAUCUUCUAAAAGGAUAAAUGAAUCAACAUUAUUUGAAAUUUCUUCUUUUUGUAACUCAUGGGGCCAUACCAGUUUUAUCAAGACUACUUUUCUUCUAAAAGGAUAAAUGAAUCAACAUUAUUUGAAUUUCAUUCUUGUGUCAGAUUCCUUUUAGACUAUGUAUGAUAUCUUUUACACCUAUAUCAUAAUGGAUAAGAAUAAAUAAUGAAAAUUAAUAUUUUGUUUCUAUUCUCAUACUUAAAGAAAGUAAAAAUAAAUUUGAUGAUUUCGAUUCUUAUCUUCAAAUGCACUAAGAAUGAAAGAUUAAAAUAAUUCUUUGUUUAUACUUGAAUAUUUUGUAAUAAUUGAAAAAUGAAUGAAAAUAAUAAAUAAAUAAAUUGAUAAUAAUAUUCUUAUAUAUAAUUUAAAUUUUUAUUUUUAUUUUAAAAGAACAUCAUUUAAACAUUUUUUUUACUAAAUAAUAAGAUUAAAAAAUUAAUGUUUACUUAAUAAAUAAAAAUUAAUCAUAAAAAUAAUAAAAAAUUAAUGAAAAUAUAGGGAUAAAUAAGCAGUUUUAAGAUAUUAUAUAUCGUUUCGAUAGCCUCCUUUACAAGAUUAAUUCAAAUUUAACUUAUAAGUGGAAUUUUAUUAUUAUAGAAAUUAUUUUUUAUUCCACUUUUAUUGUCAUUUAAAUUAUUUUUUAUCAUACAAGAAUGGAAAAAAUAAUAAAAUAUCCCUUAUUCCCUCUCGUAAAAGACAGUUGUAAAUCCAAAGCCGCCAAAACAGUAUGAUUAAGACAUGUGUAAUAAUAAAAAUUUUAUAUCUUUUCAUAUUUGAUUUGUUGGUGAGAAAGCCUGGAGUUAAAAUUUUCAAUAAAUGAUUAUUUCACUCAUUCUUAAAAACUUAAUUUGUCCCGUAUAUUUGAUAAUGAUUUUAUGAAGCGUUUUAAAUAUUUUUAAUAUUUGAAAGAUAAAAUUUUUUAAAGUAUUAAAAAUGUUAAAAAUAUUUAUUAAAAUCAUUGUCAAACGCAUUAAUCAUCUAAAAAUAUCUUCAAAUGACCUUAAUUAAUAUGAUAAUUUAUCAAUAUAAUAAUAAUAAUUGAUGUUCCAGUAUUAUCUUUGAUUUAAAACUCGUUUGAUAGUGCUUUUAAAAAACACUUGGAGUGACUUAGGAUUGAAUCUCAGUGAUUCCAGAAGGUAUUUUUAAGGAGAAAAACAAGUUGGGUGUUUAAUAAAAUUUUAAAAAACACUUGUUAAAAUCUAAAAAGUUACUUUAUAAUGUUAAAAAAUCUCUUAUGAUGUGUUUCGGAUAAACACUUGAUCGAUGAUUUUCUUAAAAACAUUUUUAUUAAAAAUAUUUUUACUAAAAACAAGAACAUAUUCUUAAUUUACUUUUCUUGUUUGUUUCAUUUAAGCAAGAAAGUUGAGACAAAUCUUAUGUCAAGGAUGGGUUGAUAAUAUCGGAUUCUUCUCAAUAAUUUCAAAAUAUAUAUAGCUUGCCAAUUGUUGCUCUUAGUAUCAAAAUUAUAUUUCUUAUUUAUUUCAUUGGGGCAUGAAGCUCCAAAAUCAGAACUCUGAUCAAGGAUAAAUUCACAGCUACUAGACUAUCAACUUUGAUGGGAUUUAAAGAGAAAAGAAACAAUAUUUUUCAAAAUUUCUUUUUAAAAUGUCAUAAUUCAAAAAAAAAUUCUAAAAUUUAUUUCUAUAGGAAAGUAUCAAAUAAAAUAUUACUUUUGAAAAUUUUAACAAUGAAAUUUUUGCUUAUUUAUAGAAAUAAAAAAAUAAUAAUUUUGCGGUGAAAAUGCAACUUCAAUAUAAUAUAAAUUUUCAAAUCUAUUAGGGUGGAAAUGAGUAAAAUAGAAAAUUAAUUUUUCAAAGAAAACUUUAGUUUAAGAGCUAAAUUUUGAGAAUUUUCUUUUAAACAAACAAUUUUAAAGUUAAAAUUUUUUACUGAAAUUGUUUUUUAAGAGAUAACAAUUUUAUUAUAAAUUUUGAAAUUUGUUUUUAUUUUAAAUUCAAUACUUAAACAAAGUUAUCUUUUCAAAAAUAAUUUUCUUUUGCUUCAAAAAGUAUUAUAGAUUUAAAAAUAGAUUUUUAAUUGACUCGGAUAGGAGUCAUAUUGGCUCUGAGUACUACAACAUGUCAUUUCAGCUUGCAAGAGUAGUACUUUUCAAAAGGUUACUCCUACGGUCCAAUAAUUCAAUCAUUCAAGUUUAGACAUAAAUCACUAAAUAUUGUUUUCAAUUUCAAGCAUAUGUAUUUGGUUUGAUUGAUUAAGGUAGAAAAAUCCUAAAUAUCAAUUGUAAAAUGAGUUUCAUUUGAACAAAUUAACUAUGAUUACUUCUAAGUUGGGGCAUGCACCCCAAAGAAUGAUAUCUUAAAUAUUAAUGUAAUUAAUUUGUUCAAUCAUCAAAAUACAUCCAAACAUGACCUUAACUCCAUCAUUAUGUUUGGCUCGUGAAAUAUAAUGAGGAAAGAAAAAUAGAUCAUUGCAUCUAUAUUAUCUUGCCCCCAUCAAACAUUUCUCCUAUUUAUGCCCCCUAAACUCCAUCCGGGCUCCGCUAUUGGAGGAAAAUUUGUAAAAUGGGUUAAAAAAAAUAUAUAAAAAUAACUUAUUAAGUUUAAACAUAUCUUUAAUUUUUCUUCACUAUUUUUUCUUUUAACUUUUUUUAUAUAUCAAACUUCACAUGAAUAUAGAUGCAUGGCAGACAAUUCAGAUAUUUACCCUAGAAAACCAAAGGUAGCGUGAUGACCAAAUGGAAAGAAAGAAAGAAUAUGAAGAAAAUUCUUGGUAAUUAUAAGUCACUUUAUGCAAGAUGUGAUGCUCUCUUUCGAUGUUUUAACAGACGUAGCAAACGACAAUAGGCUUGGAAUCUGGCAUGGACACAAAGGAAUGGCUCUCCACGCUCUUUCAUACGGAUAUUUGUCUCUCUCCAGCACGUUAUAUCUCAAUCAUGUCCUCAGCCUUUCGUCAUCUGUUUACGUAAUCGUCCGAUGGCGACAUUAUGUCACCCUCGCAAAGAUAAGGCCUCAAGACAACUCAUCCAUCUCAAUCUUAUCAUCACUCAAAAAAAUUUAAACAUGAUGGGGAUGGUUAUAAGAAAUUAUCAUAUUAGUCUUAUUCACCCGUCUAAUUCUUUUAAUUUUUCUUUCAAAUUUUUUUAAUCUAUAAUAAAUUAAAAAUAAAUAUAAUUUAUAAAUAAAAAAUAUUAUAAAUAUUUAUGAUUUAUUUUUAUAUAAAAAAUAAUAUUUUAUUUACUUUUAAAAAAUAAAAAUAAAAAAAUUAACAAAAUUGUAACCAAAUCGGCUUUCAACGAGGGUUUUUAAAACUUCUCAAACUCAAUCAUAACAUUAUUUAUGUUUAUUUCAAAGUCUUACUAUGAGAGGCAGGAUACAUAAAAAUUCACCUCAUUAUAAUCCCUAAUAAUACAUGGUUUAUAUAAUUGAAUGCAUUGAUAAAGAGGAUUUUGAAAAAAAUAUAGGAGUUUAUAUCAUUGAAUGCAUGGGUGGAGAGGAUUUUAAAAAUCUAUAGCAACACUUUUAAAAAAACUUAUCUUCAAUUUUAUUUUUUAAAAAAUCAAUUAAAAUGGUAUAAAGUUAUUUUUGAAAAAAUAAUUUUCAUAUUUAAAUCGAAAUUAUUUCUUCAAAAAAUAUCUUUUGUUAUAAAAAGUGUUCCAAAUUUGAAAUAAUUUCAAAAAUAUUAUUUUUUAAAUAAAAAAAAAUUCCUUGAAGUGAAGAUUUUGAGUGAGGUAAAUGAGUGUGAAUUGAAGCAGUGUAAAUAAGAAAGAAAUAUUUGGUUAAAAUAGAUGAAUAAUCUCCAAAUUGUAAAUUAAACAUUUUCUUACGAGAAAAUAACCAAAUUUUAACAUAAAUAUCCUUUAUAAUUUCAAGUAUUUGAUUUUAAAAGAAAUAUUAUUUUUAAAAUGACCAAUAAAAAAAGUACAGGGAUCGGUACCUUAAAUAGCAAUCACAAACUUUCAACAUUGGAAAGUCGAAAUUUAACCUUAUGACAAGAAACAACAAAAUUCUAUCUAUGGUGUAUAUUUCAUUUUGUACUAAAAAAAAAUGAAAUAUGUAUAUAUAUAUAUGCUUUAUAUCUAACAUAAACUUGGAUUAAUUCCAAAUAUAAGUUUACGGUAUAGAAACUUAGGAGGAAAAGAUCUCUACUCAAACCAAAUAUCUAAAGAUAGAACCAGGAGCAUGUUCGGCUUGUUUGCAUGUAAGCAGUUCAGGGACUUAUAUUUUUUGAAAACGAAUUUUUAUAAUUGAACAAAGGAUCCAGUGAAAAAGGGAAAAAUACAACUGCAAUUCGUUUUGUUGCAGUGGAGUUUGAUAAAUUUUCGAACACGGGAAAAAGGGAUCCGGUGAGUGAUCAUGUUGGUAUUGAUAUUAACUCCAUGGUAUCUGUCAAAAUAGAGAACUGGACCAGCAAUAUAGAGGAAGGAAAGCUAAAUCAUGUUUCCAUCCGUUAUACUUCUAGUUCACAAAAUCUGAGUGUUGUUCUAAUUACUGAGUUUUUGGACGAUCAAACAUUCAAACUACCUCCCAAAGCCUCUACUACAAAGUUGAUCUGAGGGAAUACUUGCCAGAAUUCUUUAUUAUUGGCUUCUCAGGCGUAACAGGAAAAGCAUUCCAGAUAAACAACAUUUACUCAUGGAAUUUCAGUUCAACUUUGCCACCUCCCAAUCUUGUAGAACCAGGAGAUGGAAACAAAACAGGAAUUGUGGUGGGAUUGAGUGUUUGUGUAGUUAUUGUAGUAUGUGGGUUGGGAUUGGUUUGGCAUCACUUGUGGAAGAAGAGGGAUAGUGGGGGAGAAGAAGAUGGUACUGACUCUGACCUAGCCAUGGACGAAGACUUUGAGAAGGGUACUGGACCUAGGAAGUUUUCCUUUGACGAAUUGGCUCUUGCAACUAGUAACUUUGCAGAGGAAAUCUUGGCGGGAGGGUUCGGUGGGGUCUGUAGAGGCUUCUUGAGGGAACUGAACUCUCAUGUUGCAGUUAAGAGAGUAUCAAGGGGGUGCAAACAAGGGAUAAAGGAUUAUGCAUGCAUCUGAAGUGAAGAUCAUCAGUCGAUUGAGGCAUCGGAACUUGGUGCAGUUCAUGGGCUGGUGCCAUAAAAAAAGAGAGCUCCUAUUGGUUUAUGAGCUCAUGCCAAAUGGUAACUUAAACUCCUGUCCUUUGGAAGAAAAAACCAAAGGUAGCGUGAUGACCGAAUGGAAAGAAAGAAAGAAUCUGAAGAAAAUUCUUGGUAAUUGUAAGUCACUUUAUGCAAGAUGUGAUGCUCUCUUUUGAUGUUUUUAACAGACGUAGCAAACGACAAUAGGCUUGGAAUCUGGCAUGGACACAAAGGAAUGGCUUUCCACGCUCUUUCAUACGGAUAUUUGUCUCUCUCCAGCACGUUAUUUCUCAAUCAUGUCCUCAGCCUAUCGUCAUCUGUUUACGUAAUCGUCCGAUGGCGACAUUAUGUCACCCUCGCGAAGAUAAGGCCUCAAGACAGCUCAUCCAUCUCAAUCUUUAUCUAUAUCUAUUCUUAUCAUCACUCAAAAAAUUUUAAACAUGAUAGGAUGGUUAUAAGAAAUUCUCAGUCUUAUUCACUCGUCUAAUUAUUUUAAUUUUUGUUUCAAAAUUUUUUAAUUUAUAAUAAAUAAAAUAUAAAUACAAUUUAUAAAUAAAAAAUAUUAUAAAUAUUUAUGAUUUAUUUUUAUAUAAAAAGAUAAUAUUUUAUUUAUCUUUAAAAAUUGAAAACAAUAAAAAAAAUUGACAAAAUUGUAACUAAAUCCGCUUUCAACUUGGGUUUUUAAAACUUCUCAAACUCAAUCAUAACAUUUUUUAUGUUUAUUUCAAAGUCCUCCUACGAGAGGCCACCACGGAUACCGAAAAAGCUUACCUCAUUAUCAUCUUUGAUUAUACAUUGUUUAUAUAAUUGAAUGCAUUGAUAAAAAGGAUUUUGAAAAAAAUAUAGGAGUUUAUAUGAUUGAAUGCAUGGGUGGAAAGGAUUUUAAAAAACUAUAGCAACACUUUUAAAAAAACUUAUUUUUAAUUUUAUUUUUUAAAACAUCAAUUAAAAUGGUAUAAAGUUAGUUUUGAAAAAAUAAUUUUCACAUUUAAAUUGAAAUUAUUUCUUCAAAAAAUAAUUUUUUUUAUAAAAAGUGUUCCAAAUUUGAAAUAAUUUCAAAAAUAUUAUUUUUUUAAUAAAUAAUUUUUUUUUUUAAAUUGAUGCUCCUUUUUGAAAAAAAAAAAAAUCAUCCCUGAAGUGAAGAUUUUGAGUGAGGUAAAUGGGUGUGAAUUGAAACAGUGCAAAUAAGAAAAAAAAUAUUUGGUUAAAAUAAAUAAAUAAUCCCUAAAUUGUAAAUCAAACAUUUUUCAUGUUUUUUAAAAAAAAAAAUCAAAUUUUGAUAUAAAUGUCCUUUGACAUUUCAAGUAUUUAUAUGUAGGUUUUAAAAAAUGUUAUUUUUGUAAGAAAAUGAUAAGAGUAUUUUUACCUAAAUGAGGCAAAAAAAAAAGAAAGAUUAAAUUUCAAAAUUUGGGUUUUCAAGAACAUCGAACGAAAUGACACAAUAAAAAAAGUACACGCAAUCACAAACUUUCAACAUUGGAAAUUCGAAAUUAACCUUAUGACUAGAAACAACAAGAUUCUAUCUAUGGUGUAUAUUUCAUUUUGUACUAAAAAAAAAUAAAAUAUAUAUAUGCUUUAUAUCUAACAUAAACUUGGAUUAAUUCCAAAUAUAAGUUUACGGUAUAGAAACUCAGGAGGCAGAGAUCUCUACUCAAACCAAAUAUCUAAAGAUAGAACCAGUAGCAUGUUCAGCUUGUUUUAUUUUUUUAGACUUCAACAAUUUUCACACGUAAACGAACACUACUCAUGAAAUGACUUCAAUGGAGAUUAAUAUUUGAAAUUUCUUCUUGUAACUCAUGUAGGCCAUACCAGUUUUAUCAAGACUUAUAAUCUUUCUUCUUUGAAAUUUCUUUCUUGUGUUGAUUUCUUUUAGACUAUGUAUGAUAUGUUUUACAUUGUGUAUAGUAGGUGAGAAUGAAUAAUGAAAAUGAACAUUUUGUUUUUAUUUCCAUUUCUCCUUGAAUAUAAAUGAAUUUGAUAAUUUUAAUUCUUAUAUUUGAAUGCACUAAGAAUAAAAAGUUAAAACGAUUUUUUGUUUAUAUUUUGAUGUUUGGUAAUAAUUGGAAUAUGAAUGAAAAAAAGACAUUGAUAAUUUAAUUUUUUAUUUUUUUUACUAAAUAAUAAUAUUAAAAAUAAUAAUAUUUACUUAAUAAAUACAAAUUAAUUAUAAAAAUCAUUAAAAAUUAAUGAAAAUGUAAGGAUAAAGUAGUAAUUUUAAGAAAUUAUAUAUCAUUUCCUAUAACAUCCUUUAAUAGAUUGAUUCAAAUUUGACUUACAAGUAGAAUUUCAUUAUUAUAGGAAUUUUUUAAUUUUAUUUUUAUUGUCAUUUAAAUUUUUUUUAUCGUACAAUGAUGAAUGAAAAAAAUAAUAAAAUAUCCCUCCUUAUUCCUUAUCCCCUUUCAUAAAAGACAGUUGUAAUAAUAAUAAUUUUUAUCUUUUCAUAUUUGUUUUAUUGGUAAGAAAGUCUUGACUUAAAAUUUUCAAUAAAUGAUUAUUUGAUGGGUUUUUAGAAAUUUAAUUUGUCUUGUUAUGUUUAAUAGUGAUUUUAGAAACAUUUAGAAAAAAUUAUAUUUGAAAGAUAAAAUUUUUCAAGUGUUAAAAAGUUUAGAAAUAUUUUCUAAAAUUAUUAUCAAAUGCAUUAUUAAUCAUUUACACAUAUUUACAAAUGACUUUAAUUAACUUGAUGAUUCAUUAAUAUAAUAGUAGAAGCUAAAUUACUAUCCUUGAUUUAAAACUCAUUUGACAAUACUUUUGAAAAGCGCUCAGAUCGGAGAAGGUUGAAUCUCAAUGGGUUAAAAAAAGAAUUUUUGAGAAAAAAUUAGAUAUUUUAUAAAAUUUAAGAAACAUUUUUAGAUAUUUGAAAAAAAAUCCUUUAUGUUGCUUUUUAGCUAGACACAAGCCCACAGUUCUACAACAUGUCAUUUCAGCUUCCACGAUGAGUACUUUUCAAAAGGUUAUUCCUAGGAUUCAAUAAUUCAAUCAUUUAAGUUUAAACAUAAUCACUACAUGUGUUAUUAAUUUCAAGCAUAUAUAUUUGGUUUGAUUGAUUAAGGUAGAAAAAUCCUAAAUAUCAAUUGUAAAAUGAGUUUCAUUUGAACAAAUUAACUCAUGAUUACUUCUAAAUGGCAUGAACCCUAAAAAAUGAUAUCUUAAAUAUCAAUGUAAUUAAGUUACAUGUAUAUAUCCUCAAAAUGCAUCCAAACAUGAUCUUACUUCUAAAGUUAUGUUUGAUUCUUAAAAAGUAAUAAGAAAAAAAGUGUUAAAAAAAAUUAUUUUCUCAUAUUUGGUUUCAUAAUAAGAAAUAUAAAAAAAAAAUAUAUAAUUAAAAUUAGUAAAAAUUUAAUAUAUUUCUAAAUUAUUUAAUUUUUAUAUAGAGAGAAACACUAAUAUAUUUUGCACAUGACCCUUGGAAAAUAAAAUCAAAUAGUGGAAUAGAUUCUUUCAUCUAAGGUAUAAAGGAAAAACGAGUUUUUCAUUGAACUAAAUACAACAAUCUCCCCACGUCUUGCCCAUUCUCAAAUAUUUCUUCUAUUUAUGUCCCCCAAGACUGCAUUCUAGUUCUGCCACUAAAGAAAAAUAAAGUAAAAUGAGUUAAAAAAAACAUAUAAAAAUAAUUUAUUAAAUUUAAAUUUAUUUUUUUAUUUUUUAUUUCUUCUAUUUUCUUUAUUUCCUCCCUAUUUUCCUUUUUAGGAACAAACAUAACUUUAAAAAAUCACAAGUUGAAAGGAGAAUUAUAUGACUAACCUUGUUUGUAUAGAGCAUGGAGACUCAUUUUUUGGGUCCAUACUAGAAUCCAAGGCUAUUAGCUAUACAUUUGUGUUUUUAGCAACAUUAUCAAAGAAAGGUCCAUCACAUAAUAUAUAUUAAUAAUGUUCUUAUUUUCCAAGGAAACUAAGGAGGACCAAGUGUUUAUGUUCUUUUUUUAUUUUAUUUUAUUUGGAAAAAAAAUGUUGGUUUAGGGUUACAAAUAUACAUGGUUAAGGCUUUAACAAUAUGCACAUACAUAUAUCAAACUUCACAUGAAUAUAGAUGGCAAAUAGUUCAAAUUUUUAUCGAAGAAAACCGAAGGUAGCGUGACGACCGGGCGGGGAGAAAGAAAGAAUAAGAAGAAAAUUCUUGGUAAUUAUAAGUCAAGAUGUGAUGCCCUUUUUCGAUGUUUCUAACCGAUAUAGCAAAGAUUAAUAGGCUUGGAAGCUGGCAUAUUGACCCAAAGGAAUGACCUCCGGCGCGGUAUUUCUCAAUCAUGUCCUCAGCCUAUUUCAUCUGUCUACGUAAUCGUAUGAUGGUGACAUGAUGUGACCCUCGCGACCAAAGGCAAUCCCCCCAAAUGUUUCUUGUUUGUUUAUAUCCGUUCACGUGAUCGCAAAAGAAAAUUUAAGUGAGAUAAGAUGGAUUUGAGAAAUAGUCAUAAAAGGCGGCGAUAAGAAAUGUUCGUCUGAUCCCUCAAAGAAAUUUAAAUGGAAUAACACGGUGUGGGAAAUUUUCAUACCCACUCUAUCCCACUCAUGUAAUUCUUUUAUUUCUUUUUUAAAAUUUUUUAUUUUUUAUUUUUUAAAUUUAUAUUUUAUUAAAAAUAAAUAUAAUUGUAGACCCCUUGUUGGCUGGAAACUGAAGCAAGAAAAUAUUAUUUUUUUUGAGUGGAGUGGGUGAGAUUGAGAUGAUGGAAAGGAGCGGGAAAAGGAAGAUGGAGGUGGGGGCUGUUUGGGGGGCAGCAAGGACAGGACAGCAGGCUGGUUUUUAGGCAGAGGGAGAAAAGGUAAGGAAAAGGAAGAAACCGGGCAGCAGCGUUUUUUUUUUUGGGGAGAGGGGGAGGAGAGAAAAAUAUGAUGUUAAAAAUUUGGAUAUAAUGGACAAAAGAAAUACUUUUAAACACUCACUUUGAUAUAAUAAAACUCCUAAAAAUACAAAAUAAGAACAAGAAAGGCUCAAACAAGUUCUUGGAACUUUGUCCAAAAACUCUAUUUCCUCCCACCUCUAGAAAUCUUUAGGGAACUAAUGGAAAUAGUUUUGGGAUUGAUCAUGCUUUUUCACUUUUCUGCAUAAGAUUUCAAAAAAAAGAAAAGUCAUAUAUAGCACUCUUAGGGUUGAAAAAUGGUUACAAGGACGAGAAAAAACCCAUUGUCUUCCUUAAUUUCUUCAUCUUUGUAACAUUCAAAAAUUAAAUCAUAUGUUUAAUUCACACAUUAAACAUGAUUUAAUCUCAAAUGUGUAACUCUUUUACACAUAACCUCUUAAGUUUUAUAAAGUUACAAAUAUGAGAAGACUUAUUGUCUUCCUUAACCUUUCAAGUUUUGUAACAUUUCAAAACUUAAUCAUGUAUUUAUUCAUAUAUUAAAAGUGUAAUCCUUCUUACACUUUAUUUUCAAAAGUUAUUUUUCAAAAAUGUAACUUUUCUUACACUUUAUUUUUAACCAACAAUAUAUAUACAUUUAUAUAAAUAUAACAAUCCCCCACUUGGUUAAAAUUAAACAUCAACCCUUAUAACCUCAACAGUGAAAAUGCAUAAAAUAAAAUAUCUUUCAAUUUGAAUUUUACCUUAGUGUAAUUGUCACAAAGCUCCGUUGAAAUCCCAGGUUGCUUGUAGCAUUGAACCAGUUAUUCCUUGUAACGAAACCGGUAACAACACACACACUUCCACUAACCACAUGAGUGCCUAUUAUUUUCUUGCUUAACACUUUUAUGGUCAUGUGCUCAAUCCAUUCAUGAACUUUCUUGAAAGAAAACUCCAACUCUCAUGAGAGGCGGCACCACCCCUAAGUUCACAUAGGUGAAAUUCUUCCAGCAUCCUUGUUACCUUUAAGAUGCUUAUUACACAUAGACUAAAUUUCAUUAAAAGCUUUAAGCUUAACCCUCCAACGGUAACAACCAGCAUUAAUCAUCACAGAUGGAACUCACAUGUUCUAAUGCUGCCACAACCCACUUAUCAAUAACUUGUUUUUACCUAUUGAACUUAAGACUAGUCAUUUCGUAGUAUUAAGUUGGGUUACCAUCAUUGGUGAAUUUUAUUUAAGGAGUUUUAGUCACAUCCCUCUAGAUGUUAUCCUUACUAAAUCUCUUGUAAGAGGUUUAGUAAAAGGAUCCGCCAAGUUUCCACUUGACCUCACAAAUGAGAUUGAGAUGAUUCCAUAUUGAAUCAAUUGUCUCACAUACUCAUGUCUAAUGCUUAUAUGUCUAGACUUCUCAUUGUACACUCCACUGUACGCACGAGCUAGAAUGGCUUGACUGUCACAAUGUAUCGACACUGUUGACACAUUAUUUGCAGUAAAAGGGAUGUCCAUCAUGAGAUCCCUAAGCCACUCAACUUCUUUUCCAGUUGCAGCUAGAGCUAUAAACUCUGCCUCCAUGGUUGAGUGUGAUAUACAAGUCUGUUUCUUGGAUCCCCAAGAGACAGCCCCACCACCAAUUGUAAACACUCAACCUGUGGUAUAUAAAUUAUCUCACACACUCGAUAUCCAGCUUGCAUCUGAAUACCCUUCAAGUAUAGCAGGAAACUUUGAAUAUUGGAGGCUUAGUUCUUUGGUAUUCUUUAGGUAACCAAGAACUCUACCAAUAGCUUUCCAAUGUUCCACGCUUGGAUUGCUAAUAAACCUACUUAGUUUACUAACUGCAAAUGAAAUGUCAGCCCAAGUACACUGAGCAGCAUACAUAAGACUUCCAAUUGCACUUGCAUACUCAAGUAGAGCCACCAAUCUACCAUCAUUGUUUUCAAGUUUUAUACUUGAAUCAAAUGGAGUAUUAACAUCUUUAAUCUUGAGAUGACUAAAUUUGCUAACUACUUUCUCAAUAUAGUGGGUUUGGUUCAAAGCAUAACCCCCACUAUUUCUUUUCACUUUGAUACCCAAUAUAGUAUCAACUUCUCUAAGAUCUUUCAUCUUGAAGGUUGAGGAUAGAAACUUUUUCGUUUCUAUUAUUCCUUUCAUGUCAUCACUCAAGAUUAACAUAUCAUCCACAUAUAGACACACUAUGACUAUAUAGUCAUCACAAGUCUUAGAAUAUAAGCACUUGUCCACAUUGUUGUGUCUAAAUCCAUCCGAAAGAAUAGCAAGAUCAAAUUUUUCGUGCCAUUGUUUGGGAGCUUGUUUUAAACCAUAUAAUGAUUUGACAAGCUUACACACUUUGUUUUCAUUCCCCAGUAGAACAAAACCUUCCGGUUCUUCCAUGUAGACCUUCUCAUUGAGAUCCCCAUUCAAGAAUGCCGUUUUGACAUCCAUUUGAUGAACAAAUAGAUUAUGAAUUGAUGCCAAAGCAAACAAUGUCCUAAUCGAUGUUGUUCUAGCCACCGGCGCAUAGGUAUCAAAAUAAUCAAUACCUUCUCUUUGUUUAAACCCUUUAGCUACUAAUCUAGCCUUAAAGGUUUGAAUCAUGCCAUCGGUGUGAUAUUUCCUUCGAAAUACCCACUUGCACCCUAUUGGUUUAGAUCCUGGUGGAAGAUCUACCAAUUCCCAUGUUUGGUUGGACAUAAUUGAAUCCAUUUCAUCAUUGAUAGCCUCUUUCCAAAAAGCAACAUCUCUAGAAGCCAUAGCUUCUUUGUAUGUCUUGGGAUCCUCCUCUAUUUGAAGUACUAUAGAAAAUUUUCUUAUAAUAUCUUCUCUAUUUCCUUCUACUAAGUAAAAGGAAAUUCUUUGAGAGUCAAUCUCAUCCGAUCCCAACACUUUCUCUUUUCUAGCUCUUUGGCUUUUCUGAGGCACAAUGGGUUGUUCAACAACCUUUGAAGGUGUCUCCACUAGAGACUCUCCAACACUAGUAGGUACUUGAGAAUUGCUAUCAGUCAACAAAUUCUUAAAGAACUCUACCUCUCUUGAUUCAAUUAUCACAUUAGACUCCAAGUCUAAUAGCUUAUAAGCUUUGCUAUUUGAGGCAUAGCCUACAAAUGCACACUUAAUGGCUCUUGGACCCAAUUUUGUUUUAUUUGGAUCCGUUUUCUUGCAAUAAGCAAGACACCCCCACACUUUGAAGUAACCAAUAUUAGGCUUCCUUCCUUUCCAUAACUCAUAUGGAGAUAUCUCAUUUUUUUUCAUAGGAAUUCUAUUCAAAAUAUGGCAAGCAGUCAACAAAGCUUCACCCCACAAAUUGAAAUUCAAUUUAGCAUGCAAUAAAAUAGAAUUCACCAUUUCCAAGAAUGUUCUAUUCUUUCUCUCCACUAUGCCAUUGUGUUGAGGUGUAUGGGGUGCGGUGCACUCAUGUAUUAUGUCAUAUUCUUCACAAAAAGAAUUGAAUUCACUAGAGAAAUAUUCACCACCUCUAUCACUUCUAAGCACCUUAAUAAUUUUUUCUAGUUGAUUUUCAACUUCGGCUUUGUAAACUUUAAAGGCAUUGAAAGUUUCACUUUUGUUUUUCAACAAAAACACAUAGGUAAAUCUAGAACAAUCAUCUAUGAAUGUAAGAAAAUACCUAUUUCCACCUCUUGUUAACAUGCCAUUAAGUUCACAAAGAUCACUAUGUAUUAAAUCAAGAAAAUUAGAUGAUCUCUCAACACUAUGAAAAGGCUUUUUAAUCAUCUUUGAUUUAACACAUAUUUCACACUUUUCAAAUUUCUUGGUAUCAUAAGCAAUCAAACCACAUUUCACAAUCCUUUUAAUAGUGCUUAAACCAACAUGUGCAAGCCUAUUAUGCCACAAAAAUAAAGAAUUUGAAUCACACAUAUAAGCGGAAGUAGACGCCAUUUUAUUGAUAUUGUCAUUGGUACAAAGUUUGAUCAUCCCAUCACAAGAAUACCCCUUUCCCAUAAAGUUCCCCGAUUUGGAUAAAAUUAGCUUACCGGAUUCAAACAUCGCUUUGAUACCCGGUUUGCCAAGCAAAUCCCCACUAACCAAAUUUUUAUUCAUAUCGGGGACAUACAAUACAUUUAUAAGGGUAACCUUUUUGCUGAAGGUAAAAACAACUUCAAUAGUGCCCUUGCCAAGCACCUUGGAUCUUCCUUCAUUGCCCAUUUGAACCUCUUGAUCUCCCUUUGCAUCUUCAAAGGUCUUGAAAAGAGAUUUGUCAUAGGUAACAUGAACUGUGGCACAAGUAUCAUACCACCAUCCUUGCACCUUUCCUUGGACAACGCACACAUCGCUUAGUGUUGCAAUGAUCUCCUCAUCAAUUGCAUUCACCACAACACAUUUUAGGUCCUUUCGGUACCUACACUCCUUAGCAUAAUGCUCGGGUUUUCCACACACAAAACAAGGACCUUUCUUGCCCUUAAAUUGCUCUUGAUUUUUCUUGGGGCUCAUAUAAUUUCCGGACUUCCUUUUGUCAUUGUUAUUUUUACCUCUAGGAUGAUUGACCUUUGAAACCGCAUUGGCUUUGUUAGUCCCACCAUUGGACUCUUCCACCAUUUUGUCUCUUGAUCUCGAUUCUUCCUCAAUGCGAAGAUGUUUUUGAAUCUCUUCCAAGGAGUAAUCUUCACUCUUGUGGAGAAUCCUCUUCCGGUAACCUUUCCAACUUGAUGGUAAUUUAGCCACAAUAGCACCAACUUGGAAGGCCUCCGGAAGUUUAAUUUUGAGAACUUUCAACUUAUUCACAAUUACUUGCAACUCAUGAAUUUGUGGCAAGAGAGGCUUUUCAUCAAAAAAAUUUGAAAUCUAUGUAUUGAGAAAUAAGAAACUUUUUGGUACCUUCUUUCUCGGCUUUGUACUUGUUUUCAAGAGCCUCCCAAAUCUCCCUCGCGGAAUAGGUGUUGGUGUAGAGAUCAUAUAGCCUAUCGGAUAAGGAGUUCAAAAUAUGACCCCUACAUAUAAGCUCAUCAUCCUCCCUCUUCUUCCUUGCCGCCACCACUUGAGGUGUGUCAUUUUCCUUUGGUUCCGGUAAUGGUGCCAAGGUAGGAUCAAGGAUGUAGAAAAUCUUGAGUGCUGUGAGAAUGAAUCUCACCUUGUCUUGCCACCUAGUGAAGUUGGAACCAUCAAAACGAUCCAACCUCACAAGGUCUUGGUUCAUAAUCUUGAUAGUCUCUCCUUCCAUUGAAAAAUAGAGUCUUUGAUUGAUGUUAAAAAUUUGGAUACAAUGGAGAAAAGAAACACUCUAAAACACUCACUUUGAUACAAUAAAACUCUCAAAGAUACAAAAUAAGAACAAGAAGAAGAAGAACACAAGAAAUGCUCAAACAAGUUCUUGUAACUUUGUCCAAAGACUCUAUUUCUUCCUACCUCUAGAAAUCUUUAGGAAACUAAUGGAAAUAGUCUUGGGAUUGAUUAAGUCUUUUCACUUUUCUACAUAAGAUUUCAAAAAGAAGAAAAGUCAUAUAUAGCACUCUUAGGGUUGAAAAAUGGUUACAAGGAUGAGAAAAAACCCAUUGUCUUCCUCAAUCUCUUCAUCUUUGUAACAUUCAAAAAUUAAAUCAUAUGUUUAAUUCACACAUUAAACAUGAUUUAAUCUCAAAUGUGUAACUCUUUUACACAUAACCUCUUAAGUUUUAUAAAGUUACAAAGAUGAGAAGACUCGUUGUCUUCCUUAACCUUUCAAGUUUUGUAACAUUUUAAAACUUAAUCAUGUGUUUAUUCACACAUUAAAAGUGUAACCCUUCUUACACUUUAUUUUCAAAAGUUAUUUUUCAAAAGUAUAACUUUUCUUACACUUUAUUUUUAACCAACAAUAUAUAUACAUUUAUAUAAAUAUAACAAAAUCUGGAGAGAAAGAAACAGAAAGCAGUUGGGGAAAAAAAAAAAAAAAGAGGAAACCAGCAGAGGGGGAUCGGUUUCAGAAAAAAGAAGGCAACGGGCUUCAAACAAGGCUUGGGGUUCCUUUUUUUUGGAGAAAAGCGGGAGGAGAAAAGGAGCGCCUUCAGGUAUGGAUUAUUUUUUUUAAUCUCCUCAUUAUCCUGUCCUUUGCUAUUUUUGGAGAGAUUGAAAAAGAGUGAGCUAGGUAGAAAAGCAAAGUGGUAGGAAACUGGUUUGUGAAGAGAAAAACAGAGCCAGAACGGGAGUGUGAAAAAUAACAAUAAUAAUAAUAACUCUUUUUCUUCAAGAUUUGGGAAGGAAUUAAGGGCCCAAUUCCGUCUGCCAUUUAUUUCCCUAUGCCAUCAUGCACUGAAGGCUCUCAAAGCCUUUUUUUUUUUUAUUAUUUAUUUCUUGCAUGGGAAUCAUUACCUGGGCAGUGAAGACUUUUUUUAGUGGGCCAUCCUUGAAAUAUAAUGCCAAUUUUCCUUUGGGAGAAUUAUGUUUUAAGGGUAGAUGGGCCCCCAAAUUAAUAAAAAGUUCAUGUAACUCUUCAAAUUGAGCCCAAGACCCAAUGAAAGUAUGGAAAUUGAGUUGAAGGAUAUCAUCCUUUAGUAUUUCCAAAAAUGCCCUUUGUUGAUUUUGAGAAAAAAAUUAAUAUUUUUGAAAAAUACUUUUAUUUAAUUUAAUAUUUUUUUAAAAUGCUUUUAUGUAAUUUAAUAUUUUUAAAAAUACUUUUAUUUAAUUUAAUAUUUUUUAAAAAUAAAUUUAUUUAAUUUAAUAUUUUUUAAAUACUUUAAUUUAAUUUAAUAUUUUUGAAAAAAAAAUAAUUUAAUAUUUUUGGAAAAAAAAUAAUUUAAUAUUUUUGAAAAAAAAAAUUAUUUAAUUUAAUAUUUUUGAUAACUGCUUUUAUUUAAUUUAAUAUUUUUGAAAAAAAAAUUAUUGAAAAAAAUUAUUUAACUUAAUUUUAUAAAAUAUUUUAUAUGUGUUCUUAAAGGGUAUAUUUGUCCGUUACUAUUUCAUAUCCUUCAACUCAAUUUGAAAAGUUAUAUGGACCUUUUGUUAAUUUGGGGGCCCAUCUACCCCCAAAAGAUAAUUCUCCCUUUUCCUUUUGACCUCACACGUUUCCACAAAUUGGUUCCCUAAAAUAACUAACAAAAUUUUGGAUUUUCAAUUAUUUCAAUCUUCAAAUUAAUUUUUUUUUUUUUUAAAUUCUAAGGUCCAAAAUUAUUUCUUAAAAAAAAAUUCAUUCUCAAAUAAUUUUCAAAAUCCCGAUUUCUUUCAAAUUUAAUUUCUAAAACUCAAAAUUUUAAAUUUAAUUUUCAGAAUUUCAAUUCUCACAUAAUUUUUAAAGAAUUCCAAUUUCUUUCAAAUUUAAUUUUCAAAACUCCAAUUCUUAAAUUUAAUUUUCAAAAUUCUAAUUCUCAUAAUUUUCAAAAUUCAAAUUUCUUUCAAAUUUAAUUUCUAAAAUUCCAAUUCUUAAAUUUAAUUUUCAAAACUCCAAUUUUCAAAUACUUUUCGAGACUUCAAUUUUCAAAUUUAUGUUUUUUUAAAAUAAUUUUCAUUUUACUCCAAUUUUUAAAUACUUUUUAAUUCUACGACUUUUCAUCCUUCAUUAAGGUUUUAAGUCAUUAAAAAUCUCGUUUUAAAUAAACUUGCUACCUUUCCCUUCAGGUAAACACUUUCACAAAUUUUCUUUGAUUUUAAAAUGAUUUUCACACUUUCCAUGAUUUUUAAUAAGCAAGAAUUAAACUUUGUAAUUCCAAUUAAUGGAAUUUAUGAAAUUAAUUCAUGCAAAAAUAAAUCAGGCUUUGGUGGGAGCCUACAUACGUGAUUUUAUGACUGUUUGAUUGAUUUGAUGUGACUGAUUUACACUAUUCAAUGAUACACACACGAUUAUUCUGUGUUUAAUUGCUAACACUUGUUUCCCUUGAAAUAAACCGGUUCAUCACUCAGGUACAUAAUUUGUUUUUCCUGUUCAUUAAGUUAUUUCGUUUUGGGUGAUAUUCAUUUGAUAUCCAUACUCGAUUAAUCAAUUGCCAUGAUUACUUCAUUUUAUUAGUAGAAACUCGUUUUAGGGGCUUCAAGGGGUGCUACGGUAUUUACCGUACCUUCCCGAUAAGUAACCUGACCCCCGAAUUUGAUCUGGUUUUUCACAGACCACCUUUUCCAAAAUAAAGAGUCACACUUAGGGUUUUUCUUUCUUAUUUUGUUUACCCUUUGAAAAUAAAACAAAAAUAAGUGGCGACUCUAAGUCAUUUUACAAUAAAUCAAUUUUUUAAAAUAAAAAUCGAGCUCGUCAUCGAGUGGAAGCGCAUGAGCCAAAAUGCGGGGUCCACAAUAAUUCAUAAAUAAAAAAUAUUAUAAAUAUUUAUAAUUUAUUUUUGUAAAAAAAAUAUUUUAUUUAUAUUUAAAAAAUGAAAACAAUCAAUUAAAAUUAAUAAUUUUUUUUUACACUAAACUACUCCUAAUUUGUUCUAAAAUUUUAAAAACUUCUCAAGCAUAUCUUAAACUUGUUUAUAUUUAUUUCAAGUCAUUUUCAUCUCUAAAUGGGAUAAAUAUUAAAAAAUUCUGUUUUAUUGUCAUCUCUAAUUAUACAUGGUUUAUAUCAUUGAAUACAUUUGUAGAGGGGAGAAUUUUUAAAUUAUUUUCAAUUUUAUAGCUUUUUUUAAAAAAUAGUUUCAAUUAAAAUUGUUUUAAAAAAUUUUAAAUUAUCUUUUAAAAAAUUAAUUUUCAUAUUUAAAUUGAAAUUAUCUCUUCAAAAAAUAACUUCCAUUAAUGUUAUAAAAAGUAUUUUAAAUUUGAAAAUAAUUUUAAAAAUAUUAUAUUUUAAUUUAUAUAUAUAUAUAUAUGUAAAAAAUCAUGGGUGAAGUGAAGAUUUUGAUAGAGGUAAAUGAGUGUGAAUUGGAGUGGUGGUGCAAGUAAGAAAAAGAAUUUGGGGUCAAAAUGGCCCUUUUAUUACAAAAAUUGUAACAACAUCUAGGCACUUUGUUGAAACUUAUGUUCAAAAUGACCUCUUUAGUGCCAUGUAGGAGCUAUGUCAUUAAAAAAUAUUUUUUUUCAUUAUUUUAAUUGAAGCCGUAGUUGGCAAAUGCAGCUUCAUUUUUGAAUUGAAGCCGCAUUUGCCAACUGCGGCUUCAUUUUUUAACCAAAGCCGCAUUUGCCAAUUGCGGCUUUAGUUUAAAAUUAAAGUCGCAUUUGUCAAUUGCGACUUCAAUUUAAAAAUGAAGCCUCAUUUGCCAACUACGGUUUCAAUUCAAAAAUGAAGCCUCAUUUGCUAACUACGACUUUAGUUAAUUUUUUUUUAAAAUUUAAAAUUUAAUUAAAAAUUAUUAAAUUAUAAAUUGAAAUUUAAAAAAUAUACUUAAAUAAUAAAUUAUUUAUAUUUAAACUUAAAAAUCAACUAUUACUUUCAAUAAACAUAAAUUGAUAAAUAGAAGAUAUUAUAAAUAAAUAUUUUUAUUUAUUAAUAAAUUAAUAAAUUAAAAAAAUAAUGAAGUGCUAAUAUUUUAUAACUUAAAAUUAAUUUGAUUAGAUAAAUUGUUAAUAAUUUUAAUUAUUUAAAGAAAUUGUGGCUCAACCCCCAAUUAGUUUGUUAUGGGUUUCUAAAUGAAAUUGUGGUUCAUCCAUGUUCACAUGGGGGUCCUAGAAACACUAGGAUCGAAUGUACCAAAUUUAACAUAUACAUAAUUUUAUUUAAGAUAUUAAUUUAUUUGUAUUAUGAAAAAUUUAUCUUUAUCAUAAAAGUAGUAUACUCUUAAGCCAUAGUCAUCAUACAUAGAUUUUUUGACAAAAUUAGUUAAUGAAAUUAAUUACAAAAAGUCUACUACAAAAUGUAAUUUUUAAUAGUUUAAUCAAAGUCGCAUAAAAUAUCCAGUAAACAUUAAUAUAGUGGAAAAUAAAAAACAUAUAUAAUCUCACAUGCCUCCACAAGGAGAGAACCUAUGUCUAACUGGUACUUUCUUCCUUUUUGAACGGUCCUCUAUAACUGUAGCAGGUACUACAUGUGACACAUGAAGAACAUUUGUCUGUGAUGGGAUUGGAGCUGGAAAUAGAGGUGGUGGUGGAGGUAGCAAUCUAGGUCGACGUAAGCCCCGCCUAUCCCUCGGAAUGGCUGGCGGCAAAUCUAGCUUGGUAGAUGUGUCAAUCUACAUUGAUGAUGGGUCUGAAGAGGUAGGAGGUUGUAAUGGAGGUAGGUCUAAAGAGGUAGGGGGUUGUAUUGAUGGUGGGUCUGAAGAGGUAAGGGGUUAGGCUGAUGGUGGGUCUGAAGAGGUAAGGGGUUGGGCUGAUGGUGGGCCUGAAGAAGUAGGAGUCUGAACUGAAGAUAAGUCUAAAGAAAUAGGAGGUUGUACUGAGGGUGGGUCUAAAGAGGUAGAGGUUUGCACUGAUGGUAGGUCUAAAUAAGUAGGGUGCUGCACUGAUGGUGGUUGAGCAACUGUCGACUGAGCUAGUGACCUACCUCCUCCAUGCUCUACAUGUGGGAUACGAUAAUCCUCCCGAAUAAUGCACAUAACAUCAGUGGCCCUAUGAAUAAUAUCAACAAUACCAGUGCGGCAAGCAUCACUAUCAGAGUCCUCCAAUGCAUGACCUCCUCGAGAUAUGAUAAAUGUCAUAGUCUCAAUCUGUCACAUAAAAUGUUAUAUAAUUAUUUGUUGGAAUAAAUAUUAUAAAGAAUAUGUACAUAAUAUUAAAGUGAUACAAACCAAUAAGUGGGCAAAUAAGGCAGUAGCCGAUACCGCAUAGGUUCAAAAUCAUCCAUAGGUGUAAUAAAAUGACGUAUAAUAGGAUGAUACCAUGUCAUGUACGGAGCAUGGUAGUCCAUAUGAGGCUCUAUAGCCUCCGCGGUGACAAUGUGGUCCCCUCUAGCCUCCCAAAAUGCCACGUAGUGGUCAUAAUACAACCUCCAAUCAAAUUGAGCUCGACCACGUCGAUCUAUGGAGUGAAGGUCAAAAUCUAUAAGGGGUGUCGAAGGAAUACCUUGUAUGAGUCCAAACUAUUGCAACACACGCUCAGGACGAUGCCACUUAACAAUAUAAAAAAAAAAAAAAGUGGUGACAUCGUUCGCCAAAUAUCCUGAUCAGCUAAACAAAUGUCUGAAAGCAACGCUAGUAUAUCAUCUGUGUAAGGCUGCCAUAAUACCUGACAUAUUCAAAUCUUAGUAUGUAUUUAAUAAAUUUUAAAUUAUAUUAUUAAUAUUAAUAAUCUUGUUAAAGAAUACUAAUAUUUAACCCAAACUUGAUCAGAUCGCUGUUGAUUAAACUCAUCUCUGUAUGUGACCAACACAUGAUGAGGAGUGUCUGCAUGAGAUAAGGAAACUCUCCACCUACUCCCUAGUGCAUCUUGCGGGAAUCUGUCAUUUAUAGGCACUGGUGCAUGGGCAAGUGAUCUACUAGGACGAUCAACAUGUAAUCGCUCCCAUGACCAUAGCUAAAAUUGAAAUAAAAUUAUGUUUAAAUGCACAUAAUUAUGACAAAAUUACAUAAUUAAUAAGACUUGUAGUUAUACUUGCAACAACUCUAAUGGUCUUGCAAUAGUUUCUGCAUUAUCUAAGCUAGCUCGACAUAACUCUUGAUAAAGAUGUGCUAGUGUAGCACUCCCCCAACUAUAUUGCGCAGUCUCACCAAAAUCUCUUAACAUGGGUAGAAUUGCUAAUUGGAUGUAAACCCCCUUCUUAUCUGGAAAUAGUGAACCACCAACUAACAAUAAAAGAUAGACUCUAGCAUGACGAUGUAACAUGACCUCAUCUACAACCCCUGGUGGUAAAUGGGAGAAAUGGGUAGUAAUAAAACGAACUGUAAGGGAUGCUCCACGAAUAUCAGUCUCUAUCGGUCGAACACCCAAUAACUCCUCACAAAGUGCAUGCCAAUCAAUAUCUGUAGAACCGGUGAAAGGAUAACCAUGUACACGCAAUCCAAAUAAGAUGGCUACGUCCUGCAAUGUGAUGGUCAUUUCACCACCUGGCAUGUGGAAUGUGUGCGUCUUUGGGCGCCAUCUCUCUACCAGUGCAGUAAUCAAAGGCCAAUCAACCUUAACAUGGCCCACUCAAUGAAAGACAUAAAAUCCUGACUGUAUAACGUAUGACCGAACACGAUCAUCCAAAAUCCACUCUCAACGAAACCCUUGUCGGUAACGCAAAACACUACCCAUAUCUGGAUCAACACGAAUGGUGGAUGAUCGAUGUCGAUGUUGAAGAGUAAGCACAGAUGUAUCCUCAAGGUCAGGACGAGCAGGAAACAACGGAGUAUCCAUGUCUGCAUUUACAUCAAUACAUGAUAUAAACAAAAUAUGAAUGAAUUGACAAGAAACAACAAUAUCUAACAACAUGAAUUUCAUGAUUAAAAUUGUAAAAAUAUGACCAGUAUUUUCCCUAAACAGUAGAGAUUCAAAAUUUUUCAAUGUAACCUGAUAUAAACAAAAUAUGAAUGAAUUGACCAAAAACAACAAUUUCCAACAACAUUAAUUUCAUUAUUAAAAUUUUAAAUAUUUGAACAGCAUCUCCCCUAAAUAAUAGAGAUUAAUAUUUUUUUUCAUGUAACCUUAUAUAAGGAAAAUAAGAAUGAAUUGACAAAAAAUAACAAUUUCAAACAAACAAACAUCAAUAAGAUGUUCAAUAAAAUAGUUUUUACAAAUAUCUUAAAACGAUUAAGGUCAAUACUAGUAAAUUAAAAAAAUAAAGUACAAUAAGAUGUUCAUGAAGUUCAUAAACUCCUCCUAUCAUUGGUUUCUCUAUUAGGACAAGAACGUCGAUUGUGACCUGAUUGCUUGCAAAGUCCACAUGUUUAUGGAGUUCUAGCUUCCCUUGCAUCCAUCUCAUUAUGCAAACGACUUGAUUUUGGUCGACCAGAAGUUAGCCAUUUCAUUGAGUCCGAAGGCACAAUUAUCGGCCCAUUAUAUUGAGGUCACUCCAACUCAUCAAAUAUGGGAUAAAACAAGGGAGCCCAUGUUGAUAGGUAAGCACAUGUGGUGUAAUAACCUUGUACAAAUUGUCGAAAAUCAAUUGCUCAACAAUGACAAGCAGCAAGAAUGUGCAAACAUGGGAAUCCCAACAAAAGUGUUUUGUUAAAUGUGCAAGACCCUGUUUGAAGGGUAACAUGAUAUGUGCGAGGUUUCCUAUUACUGCUUCCAACAAAGUGUCUAGUUUAACAUGAAAACGUCCCGCCACAUGAUCAUACAAAAGAACCUCAUGUGAACCCGUCUUAACAACUUUAGCUUUUAUCUUGGCAUCAAUAUGUGGAGUGAAUUCUUCACCUAAAGCGAGCCGACUUGCACCAUGCUCCCGCCUGACUGUGAAGUAACUGUUCACCCGAUAGAAAGUUAAUUGGACUAAAGCUGUUAUUGGUAAGGUACAAGCACCCUUAAGGACACAAUUAAAAACUUUAGACAUGUUAGUUAUCAUAAUCCCAUAUCUCUGCCCACCAUCAUGUGAGAGUGCCCAUUUUCCAAGAGGAAUUUGCUCCAACCAAUUUCUAGCAUCGGCAUUUAUCCGACCAAUUGUAUCCAUGUGAGAAAUAAAUUUUUUAACUUUACUCUCCAUAGCAGCCCUACACAUGAGAUCCUUUAAAGUCUUAUCUUUGAACUUGUGUUGAAGUUACUCGCUAAAUGACGCAUGCAAAAUCUAUGAUAAGCAUCUGGCUCAGUCCAUCCCGAAUAUGUGUCAUUGACAACAACUAUAAUGUCAGGAUGACGAUUAGAGAUCAGACACAAGCCUUUCCUUUGUCUCACUCCAACUCUGAUACAUGCCAAAAACCAACUCCAACUAUCUGUAUUCUCUCAUUCUAUAAUGGCAAAUGCAAGUGGAAACAAUUGGUUAUUACCAUCACAUCCUAUAGCAAUCAACAAAGUCCUUUUAUAUUUUCCAUACAAAUGUGUCCCAUCAAUACUAAGAAUUGGUCGACAGUGAGUAAACCCUUGAAUAGAUGGAGUGAAUGCCCAAAAAACACGUUGGAAAAUUUCUUCAUUUGGGUUUUUUCCAGGAACCAUUUUGGAAUACAUUAUACAUCCAGGAUUUGACUACUCCAAAGCAAGAAAGAAGCAAGACAACUCUGCAUAAGACUUGUACCAAUCACCAAAUAAUCACGUCAUUGCUUUCCUUUUUGCCUUCAUUGCUUUUUGAUAAGAAAUUUGAUAACCAAAUUGUUCGGCAACAACAACUUGAAUUGCAGCAACUGUAAUGGUCAUUUUUGCUUUCACCAAUGUUUCAAUAUACUCGGAUAUAAAGCUAGAAUCCAAUUGAGAAUGAUCUUGAUUUAUACAUGGAUCGACACAUGUAUGAGGACCUUCGUAAUUUGUGAUUCUAAACAUACUUGUAUUUUUCACUAUCAUUGCCCUUAGUCGCCAUUGACACUCUGGUGCUUUUUUACAUUUAAGAACUAACACAUUUGCAUUUGAUCUAUAAACAGUAAACUCUUGGUGCGACUUUAUGGAAAACAUCUUCACAGCAUGUUGCAAAUCUGAUUUUGAGGAAAAUAUUUGGUCAUUUGAUAACUCCCCAUCAACAUUUCCUAAAGUUGGGUUUUUCCAUGGAGUCUAAUCACUUACAACACAAUUAAUUGCCUCAUCCAUAUUUAAAAAUUGUUGUCUAGGUGGCAUAUGGUAUGAAACGGGUGCAACUAGUGAUGUGUUUUCAACCUCAAACUCAACCUCGGGAUUAUUAGACCUAUCACCAACUUCAAGGUUCACAUAUCUUGUGCUUUCACAUUCCACAACUUGUUGGACCAUCACCAAAUCAAUAUUUUCUCUUUCACAACAAUUUUCAUCAUCAUUAGGUAAAUUAAUCUCAUUUGUAUUUAUUGCAUCAUCUCUGUCAUCUUCCUCAUCUCUUUCAUUUUCGUCAUCAACAUCAGUAUCACCUGCCGACAACCAUGUCACAUGGCCCAUUUCAUUACUCAAAUGAUAGUGAUUGGGAGUUAGCUCGAUGAAUAAUUGAACUGAAGACAUUUCAUACUUUGAUGGCACCGCUAACAUACGUGCAACUGUCCGAUCAUUCCUGACCACUAAUGGUUGAAAUUUGUUAAUUUCAGUUGGAUGUCGAAAUUUCAAGACUAACUGAUACUGUCUGUCAACACCAAUGAUAUCAUAUAUCAUGUUCAACAACACCGCAAAGGUCGUAUCAAUGGGCACAUCUAUAGGCUCAAUCUCUACAUUAUUUCCAAUAUAUCUCAAAUCUGUUUCUGUCCUUAAAAUUGUUCCAUUCCAAUAACAUAACACUUCUACCGUGGAAUCAGUCAUAAUUGUCUUCAUAUAGAUAAUAACAAAUGGUUAUUAUAUAAAAAAUAAUAUUUAUUAAAAAAAAAUAAUACUUUACGGUCAAUGAUUCAUAAAAUACAAUAAUAAACCAAAUAAAUAUUGGAAUGUAACAAAGCUUCAUGUCUAAAUACCAAGUUCAACUCAAAUUAAAGUAAUUUAUAAGCAAAUAAGUAUAUAAGUAAAUAGUAAGAUGAUAUUAUGAAUUAAUAUGAUAAUAUCAAUAAAAAAAUCAUGAGUAUGUCUUUAAGAAUAAAUUUAUGUUUGAGAAUUGAAAUGAAAUUAAUAUUUUUAUAUUAAAAAUUAAAUUUUAAAAUAAAUAUAUGUUAAAUAUGUUAAUUUUUUUACAAUUAAAAAUUAUAUGUUAAAUAUAUUUUUAAAAAUAAAUAUAUGUUAAAUAUGUUUUUUUUUUAAAAAAAAAAAAUUAAAGCAUCUUGUAAAAAAAAUAAUUUCAAUAUCUCAUAAUGAUAAAAAUGCUUUCUUGGCAUUUUUUUUUAUAUUCCCUGGCAUCACACCCUACUUGAACAUCUAGACGUGUCCAAGGGCCUCACCAUUUGUAUGAUUAAAAUAUUAUUUAUUUUAAUAAUAUUUUUAUUAAAAGUAUGGGUAAUUUUGAUAUCUUUAAAAAUUAUAAUUAAAAAAAAUUAAAUUUUUGGAUAUAACCAAAUACAAAAGUCUUUUUAAAGAGAAAGUGUCUAUACUUUAAGAAUCUGUUUUUUUUUUUUUUAAGUGUUUACUCAUAAUUGAGAAGUUUUCUAAACAUGAAUUAUAAAAUAUAAGUAAUUAUUUUAUUAUCUUAUCAUAUCUUUUUUUAAUAAAUGUUUGUAUUUUCAAAAUAUAGAUAAAUUACAUUGAAAGGUAUAAGAUUUAUAUUUAAGAGUUUUAUUUAAAUAUCUUUAAAAAUUAUGUUUCUCUUUUUAACAUUCUAGAAACUUUUAUUAUCGAGAUUCAUUAACAAACACUAUCUAAUGUCAUCAAUCACCUCUAACAUAACAACAAAUAUUAUCUAAAGUCACUAAUCGCCUUUAACAUAUUGUUACUAUCAUCAAUUAUUAAGUAUUUACUUUGAUUUUUCCAAUCGAUAUAAAAAACAAACAAUAAAACAACUAUUCCAAUUCCAAAGUUUCAAAUUUCAAACCAACUAACUACCCUUUUUUGAAAUCUAAUAAUAUUGGCCUUUUUUGUACACACCCAAACCAUCAUAAUUGAAUCUCCUCCAAUUUAUUGCCUAUUGGAGCUAAUCAUAGAUUUUAGUAAUAGCAAGAAAUCCACCCUAGUCCACAAGCUAAGGAAUAAUUUUUAGAAUAUACAGAUUUUGAAUAGUGAACUCUAGUACCUCCUAACCACACAAUCAACCAUAGAUUAGGAUUCCCACAAAAUCAAAUGUGUAAUGAGAAAAAAAAAAAUCAACCAAUACGAGAACUACCUAAGAUGAAGAUACAAAUAUUCUGAAAUUUAGGUUGAGGAUAAGAAAUAAUACAAAGAAAGUGAAGCAAUGACGUGGAUGAAUUGACAAUACCUGCUAAAGAAAGGAAUUAAAUGAAAUCCUAAAUUACUCUAUAAAGUGCAUUUAUGUAAUUUUGCAGAUUUGACGUUUUUUAAUGUUAUUAGUCAAAAAUUGGUACUUGAACUGUAUUCAUAAUUUGAAAAGUUUUUUUAUUGAAAAUUUCUUCUUAAAAGAAGUGUCAAUAUUUCUAAACUUUCUAUUUUAUAAAUUAAUCUCUUUUCUCUUAAGUUUCUAGUUUGAGUCUUCAGAAUUUUGAAGUCUUUGUUAUUAGAAAUUUUAUUCGAAGGUGUUUCUAUAAAGUAGGAUGUUAAUUCUAAAAAGGGAGUUUUUGUUUUUGUUUUUUUAUUUUUUUUUUAUUUUUCAAAGAUUUAGGAGUUCUCAAAAAUGAACAAUAGUCCUAACAAGUUGCUACAUAGGUUAGGUUUGCUUUCCAUAAUUUUUUUUAGUUUUAAGGGUUCUAAAACUUCAUAAAUAAGGCUAAUGGAUGUAAAAGGGGAUGAUGAUUGAUGAUCCAAAGAUUUUUAUUUUUAUUUUUUUAUGGGUGCAACUUUUGCAAUUUUCAUGGUAGGACUUAAUUAUUUUACUUCUAAGUGAGACUCCUAGGGCCUAUGUAAGUUUGUAAGAUUGCUUCUUUAUUAUUUUUUUUUCCUAUUUUUUAUUUUAUUUUUUCCCUACUAUUAUAAUUUUAUCUUUCUUCUCCUUAAAUCUCAAAAGAUUGAAGUCCUAGUCCGCCUAUUUGAUUAUAGAAAACCAUCCUAAUGUUGUCAAAUAUCAAGCAAUCAAUUACACACAAAAUGUAAUCACAGCAUUCAAAAGAUCACCAACCAAAUCACAAAUGAAAUUUAAUGUCAAUGAAAGUACGUAUUUUCAUCUUUUGAAUGGCUCAUAAUGAUCAUGAUGAUACAAUAAGUUUCUUGAUGAACUUAACACUGUCGAAGAGUUCUAAGCAGGAUGAAAAAUAAAUAAAAAGUGAAACCAUGACUAGUUAGCAACUUAGCUUACCUCAAGUGAAUCAAGAUGUUCCAAGGUUUCAAUAGUUAUAUUUGCAAGAAUGACAGAUGAAGCUUUUGUGAACAGUCUUUGCAUGUGAAAGGCAAUUGAAUCUGGCCAAAUAGACAACAAGAAUAAAAGAAAAUUAUAUAAGUCCAUGUUGUUCAAGAAGAUGGUUGGUGUGUGCAUUACUAAAACACAAUUGGAUAUUUACUGACUCAUGUUUGUGAACUUAAAUGCUCCUUAAUAUCAAUUCAAUAUUAGAUUUAACAGUAAAAGUAUCUUCCCUGGACAACAGAAUUUAAGAAUAAAGUACUUGGCUAAUCCCAAAUAGGUGUAUUAUGUUAACAGGGAAGAAGAAUCAGAGCACCUAAUUCAUAUGAUAAAAACUUUUGUAAAGAUAUAGGAUUUAGUUAGUAAAUUGAUCUUCAUUUGAGGAAUUACUAUGAAUUUCUAUACGACGUAGCCCAAAAGGUCAUAUAAGGAAUGAUUACAGGGAGAGAGAGAGAGAGAGAGAGAGAGAGAGAAAAAGCUGGUCGUACUUCCUAAAAGUUUGAAGCAAAGGUUGCCUCUUACCAAAGUGUUCUGGUUAUUGUUUUUGGUGUUUAAAUUUAAUUGCAUUUUCUUUUGAAUUAGUCAAACCAUUCAUAUAAAAGUUAGCAAAGGGAUUCAUGCAAUUGGGCUUCAAACUAGUAACUUUUUACUUUUUCCUAUUUGCCCCUUUCAAUAUUAGCAUUAGUACUAUCAAUAUGAACAACAAUUACUGAAUUAGUUCAACAUCAGUAAUAUUAUUUGUGAGGAAGAAAUAAAUAAAAGUUGCAAACCAAUAUAACUAACUAGCAUCAUAUGCAGCAUCAUAGUAACCCCUUCCAAUCUUGAAAAUCACGGAUUUGUCAUUUUUCCCCAGAAAAUAUCAUUUUCCCCACAAAAUAUUUAUUUCCCUAGAAAUUAUUCAUUUCCCGAGAAAUUAUUAAUUUCCCCAUAAAAUUACAUUUUUCCCAGAAAAUUAUAUUUUUCCCAGAAAAUUAUAUUUUUCCCAGAAAAUUAUAUUUUCCUCAAAAAAUUUUAUUUUUCCCAGAAAAUUUCAUUUUUCCCAUAAACUUCAACAAAUGUUUGCAUCUUAAAAGGCUUUAAUCUUUGGAUCAUAACAAACCAUUUUUGCUAAAAUAGCCGUGAAGAAAAUAAUAGAGAAAACCAAAAGCAAUGGAAACAAAAAUAUUUUUCUAAAAACCAAGAUUCCGGUAUGGGAAAAAAAAUGGGAAAGUGCCAAAAACUUUACAUAAAAUAAGUCAAAUAAAAUAUUGGGACUAACCUUAAGGUUGAUGUAGCUCCAACAAUGCUCUCUCAAUGGCCCACUGGUGGGGCUAGGGUUUUGAGGGAAAAAAAAAAUCAAAGAACACCACGGGCGGGAAGAUAACUUGGUAAAGUAAAACAAAUGGUGUAAAAAAAUGGGUUUUAUGGCUUAUGUGGAUCAAAGGGGCUAUUUUGAACAAUAGUUAUAGAGAUAGCCCAGUUUUAAUAUUAAGUUUGGCCCGUGGCCCAUUUUGGCCCAAAAGUCUAUGAAAAGCCUAUGUCACAUGCAUUAGUACAUUGGAAAAGCAAUCACAAAGAUCUCAACAAAGCAACAAAGUUGGAAAGGUAGAAGCAAGGUAGAAGCACGAGCAUGUUCAACUUGUUUGCAUUUAAGCAGUUUAAAGAAUUAAGUGGUAUUUGUUUUUUUUUAUUGAAUAAAAAGACUUAAAAUAUUUUAUUUUUUUAUAUUAAAAUAAAAAUAACUUAUUAAUAUCCAUUAAUAUAAUUAAAGUGAACUUGUUAUUGAUAAAUUCACUUUAAUUAUGUUGGUUGAUAUUAACAUAUUAUUUUUAAUUGAAUAUAAAAAAUAAAAUAUUUUGAUUUUUUUAUUCAACAAAAAAAAUAAACAUCAUCUUAUAUUUUAUGAAAACGAAUUUUUUUAAUUGAAGAAAUAUGAUAAUUAUAUUUUUGAAAAUGGAUCUUUCAAAUUGAACAAGUAUGAGAGGUUCAAUAUUUUGUCAGAAUUAAAAAUAUCAGUGGAUUUUCAUCCUUGGUUGUCUUAAGGGAUUAAUUUAAAUAUAUAAAAUAACCUUGAAAUUAGUCAUGUAUUUAAUAAGAAGUCCAUCAGCAAGCCUCUGUACUCAGCCAUGGAUUGCAGCGCUGGGAUUACCCCUAUCCAAUCUCACAAACUUCUCUCAUUUCAUCUCUGCUUCAUGAUUUCCUUUUUUUUCUUCCUAAUAUUGCCUUAUGCAACCUCACUGUCUUUCAACUUCACCACCUUUAAUAUAAAUUGAAGAAUUUGAAGAAAAAUAUGAAGAAUUUGAAGACAAACUAUGGAGGAACACCUCAAUUCAUUCUGUGAUACCUUCCUUUACAAUGAAUGAAAGCAUAAAUAAAUAGCCUACAGAUAUGAGACAAUUCCGGAAUGGAAUUUCCCUUACAUGGAAAGUGAAUAAAUUCUUACAUGGGAAGUGAAUAAACUACUCUUACAUGGAAAGUGAAUAAACUACCUUGCUAGAAUUACUCCUAAGAAUAAACUCUUACAUGGGAAGUGAAUAAACUACCUUGCUAGAAUUACUCCUAAAUCAAUUAUAAUAAAGGCUGUACAUUACACUAAUUAGGGAAGUAAACAAAGGAUGCUGGCUUGAUUUCCAACACUCCCCCUCAAGCCGCGUUGUAGAUGUUGAUCAUUCCAAGUUUUUCUGUCAAAUCUUCGAAGUUAACUCGAGCAAGAGCUUUUGUGAGAAUGUCAGUCGUUUGACAGUUUGUCGGAGUGUAGCUGACUUUGAAAACUCCUUCUUCAAUCUUUUCCUUGAUAAAGUGUCGAUCUAUCUCCACGUGCUUAGUUCGAUCAUGAUGAACCGGAUUCUUAGCGAUACUGAUGGCAGCUUGAUUGUCGCAGUAUAACACCAUGGGAUGCUUUAAUGGAACCCGUAAUUCUUCUAACAGCCUGUUCAACCAGAUUCCCUCGCAGAUACCUUGUGUCAUAGCACGAAAUUCUGCCUCAGCACUGCUACGGGCUACCAUUGACUGUUUCUUGCUUCGCCAUGUAACCAAGUUCCCCCAGACAAAUGAACAAUAGCCUGAAGUUGAUCUCCGAUCAGUCAAUGAACCUGCCCAAUCUGCAUUUGAAAAAAUCUCAAUCUCUUUCUUUGUUGUUCUUUGAAAGAAGAGACCAUUUCCCGGUGUCAUCUUGAGGUAUCUCAAUAUUCUGAUCACAACAGUCAUGUGGUUUUCGGUUGGAUUAUUCAUGAAUUGACUUACCACACUAACGAAGAAGCCGAUGUCUGGCCUUGUAUGAGAAAGAUAGAUGAGUUUCCCCACAAGACGUUGAUAUCUUCCUUUAUCAACUGGCACACUUCCAUCACUUUCUUCCAGUUUGACAGUUGUAUCCAUAGGUGUUUCUGUCGGCUUGCAUCCUAGCAUUCCUGUUUCAUUCAAUAAGUCCAGAACGUAUUUGCGUUGUGAGACUGCUAUACCUUUCUUUGACCUAGCAAUCUCCAUUCCGAGAAAGUACUUGAGGUUUCCAAGAUCCUUGAUCUCAAAUUCCUUUGUCAGUAAUUUUUUAAGUAAGUCAAUUUUCUCUUCAUGAUCACCUGUCAAAAUUAUGUCGUCCACAUAUACAAUGAUAAUUGUCAGUUUCCCUUCUGGGAAGUGUUUCACAAAUAAUGUGUGAUCGGAUUGACAUUGAACAAAUCUGUACCCUUUCACUACCUUAGUGAACCGUUCAAACCAGGCCCUGGGAGAUUGUUUGAGACCAUACAAGGAUUUUCGAAGUCUGUAAACCUUGUUGAAAUUUGUUGUCGUCUCAAGUCCAGCAGGAAUGUCCAUGUAAACUUCUUCCUCUAAGUCACCAUUGAGGAAGGCAUUCUUCACAUCAAGUUGGUGAAGCGACCAAUCGAGAUUAGCUGCCAAGGAUAAAAGUACACGAACAGUAUUGAGCUUGGCAACUGGAGCAAAAGUUUCUUGAUAGUCAAUGCCAUAGGAUUGGGUGAAUCCUUUGGCGACCAACCGAGCCUUAUACCUGUCCACAUUACCAUCUGCCUUGUACUUUACUGUGAAAAUCCACUUACACCCAACUGGUUUCUUACCUCUUGGGAGGUCAGUAAUUUCCCACGUACCAUUCUUUUCCAGUGCCCGAACUUCCUCAUCGACUGCCGCCUUCCACUUAGGAUACUUGAAAGCUUCCUGAAUAUUCUGAGGAACUUGUAUCUCUGUGAUGCUAGAAGUGAAUGCACGAAACGUAGGUGAUAGCUUAUCAUAAGAAAUAAAAUUUCCAAUGGGAUGCUGAGUGCAUGAUCUAACUCCUUUCCUCUAAGCUAUGAGCAUAUUAAGAAUAUCAUUUUCUAACUCGGAAUCGACAGUACCAUCAGGAGCGUUGUUACCUGGAAGUUUGCUUGGAUUAGGACCCGGUUCUGCCUCAUGGGUUUGUUGAGAAAGUGUUCUUUCCUCCGUUUCCUCUUGGAUGUGCUCCUUAUCCCGCAAGUCAACAAUGGACUCAGGUUGAUUAAAUGACUCUGGAGGAAUGUGAUUUUCAGUGGUGAUGGGUUACUCACUGAAUGACUCAAGAUCCCAAAAUUGAUAUUCCUGAGUUGAAUUCUCCCCCUGAAUAUCGUUUUUGGGAUAGUAAGGCUGAGUUUCAAAAAAGGUGACAACCAUUGAAUUGUAGAAUUUUCUUGUGACCGGAGAGUAACACUUAUACCCUUUUUGAUUUGAAGAAUACCCAAGAAAGAUGCACUUGAGUGACCUAGGAUCAAGUUUACUUCUAUGUUGUUGAUUGAUAUGAACAAAGACAGAGCACCCGAAAAUUUUGGGUGGGACGGUGGAGAUGAGACGAGUAGUCGGAAAGGAUUUUAGGAGUGUUUGACAAGGUGUUUGGAAUUUUAGUACCCUAGACGGCAUCCUAUUGAUGAGGUAGGCUGCCGUAAGGACAGCUUGCCCCCAGAAUAAUUUUGGAACAUUCAUGGAGAACAUUAGUGAUCUAGCCACCUCUAACAAAUGCCUAUUUUUCCUUUCAGCGAUUUCGUUUUGUUGUGGGGUAUCAACACAUGAACUUAAGUGAACUAUCCCUUCUUGUGCUAGAAAUUCUCCUAGAAUGGAGUUGAAAUAAUCCCUAGCAUUAUCAGACUUUAGAAUUUGUAUUUUUGACUGGAAUUGGGUCUGAAUCAUAUUUUUAAAAUUUUUGAAAAUUUGACUCNNNNNNNNNNNNNNNNNNNNNNNNNNNNNNNNNNNNNNNNNNNNNNNNNNNNNNNNNNNNNNNNNNNNNNNNNNNNNNNNNNNNNNNNNNNNNNNNNNNNNNNNNNNNNNNNNNNNNNNNNNNNNNNNNNNNNNNNNNNNNNNNNNNNNNNNNNNNNNNNNNNNNNNNNNNNNNNNNNNNNNNNNNNNNNNNNNNNNNNNNNNNNNNNNNNNNNNNNNNNNNNNNNNNNNNNNNNNNNNNNNNNNNNNNNNNNNNNNNNNNNNNNNNNNNNNNNNNNNNNNNNNNNNNNNNNNNNNNNNNNNNNNNNNNNNNNNNNNNNNNNNNNNNNNNNNNNNNNNNNNNNNNNNNNNNNNNNNNNNNNNNNNNNNNNNNNNNNNNNNNNNNNNNNNNNNNNNNNNNNNNNNNNNNNNNNNNNNNNNNNNNNNNNNNNNNNNNNNNNNNNNNNNNNNNNNNNNNNNNNNNNNNNNNNNNNNNNNNNNNNNNNNNNNNNNNNNNNNNNNNNNNNNNNNNNNNNNNNNNNNNNNNNNNNNNNNNNNNNNNNNNNNNNNNNNNNNNNNNNNNNNNNNNNNNNNNNNNNNNNNNNNNNNNNNNNNNNNNNNNNNNNNNNNNNNNNNNNNNNNNNNNNNNNNNNNNNNNNNNNNNNNNNNNNNNNNNNNNNNNNNNNNNNNNNNNNNNNNNNNNNNNNNNNNNNNNNNNNNNNNNNNNNNNNNNNNNNNNNNNNNNNNNNNNNNNNNNNNNNNNNNNNNNNNNNNNNNNNNNNNNNNNNNNNNNNNNNNNNNNNNNNNNNNNNNNNNNNNNNNNNNNNNNNNNNNNNNNNNNNNNNNNNNNNNNNNNNNNNNNNNNNNNNNNNNNNNNNNNNNNNNNNNNNNNNNNNNNNNNNNNNNNNNNNNNNNNNNNNNNNNNNNNNNNNNNNNNNNNNNNNNNNNNNNNNNNNNNNNNNNNNNNNNNNNNNNNNNNNNNNNNNNNNNNNNNNNNNNNNNNNNNNNNNNNNNNNNNNNNNNNNNNNNNNNNNNNNNNNNNNNNNNNNNNNNNNNNNNNNNNNNNNNNNNNNNNNNNNNNNNNNNNNNNNNNNNNNNNNNNNNNNNNNNNNNNNNNNNNNNNNNNNNNNNNNNNNNNNNNNNNNNNNNNNNNNNNNNNNNNNNNNNNNNNNNNNNNNNNNNNNNNNNNNNNNNNNNNNNNNNNNNNNNNNNNNNNNNNNNNNNNNNNNNNNNNNNNNNNNNNNNNNNNNNNNNNNNNNNNNNNNNNNNNNNNNNNNNNNNNNNNNNNNNNNNNNNNNNNNNNNNNNNNNUGGUUUCUGGUGCUGCCGAAGCUCCGGUGAUGUAGUCAUCUUUCUCCUUUCCCCGUAUAAACAUUAAUAUGGACUGAGACCAUUGCAAAUAAUUUUGCCCAUUCAGUUUAUGGGCUGUGAUUGGAAGAUGAGAGGUUUCCAUCUGAUGAGAGGAUGAAGACGAUGAGAUGAUGAUAUCAAAGUAGAGGAUGAUGAGUUGGUAGCCAUUCUAAAGGCUGGACCGUAUUUAGGCAUAAAUUAGAAGAAUAGAAUUGAGUAAAAAAAAACUGACUAAAGAUGAAGACGAUGAGACAGGAUUAAACCUUCUUUGAUACCAUGAAGAAUUUGAAGAAAAAUAUGAAGAAUUUGAAGACAAACUAUGGAGGAACACCUCAAUUCAUUCUGUGAUACCUUCCUUUACAAUGAAUGAAAGCAUAAAUAAAUAGCCUACAGAUAUGAGACAAUUCCGGAAUGGAAUUUCCCUUACAUGGAAAGUGAAUAAACUCUUACAUGGGAAGUGAAUAAACUACUCUUACAUGGAAAGUGAAUAAGCUACCUUGCUAGAAUUACUCCUAAGAAUAAACUCUUACAUGGGAAGUGAAUAAACUACCUUGUUAGAAUUACUCCUAAAUCAAUUAUAAUAAAGGCUGUACAUUACACUAAUUAGGGAAGUAAACAAAGGAUGCUGGCUUGAUUUCCAACAUAAAUAAUCAUCAAGUUUACUUUGAAGGAGAUGCUCAACCUUCCUCAGGUGGAGGCAUCCAACUGACCAGAAACGAGCAGGGUAAAGGAAUGGAUUAUAGUUGGGGUCGAGCCAUCUAUGGUGAGCAGUUGUAUCUCUGGGAUCCUAACUCCAGAAAUCUAACUGAUUUAACUACCAACUUCUCCUUUGUCAUUGAUUCACUUAACAGCAGUUCAUAUGCUGAUGGCCUCACCUUCUUCCUUAACGACACCCAAUUGCCUUCACGUGUGUGGGGAGAAAACAUCGGUCUCACGGAGUUUAACGUGACAAAUACAACUGCAAUUCAUUUUGUCGUAGUGGAGUUUGAUACAUUUUCGAACACGGGAAAAAGGGAUCCGGUGAGUGAUCAUGUUGGAAUUGAUAUUAACUCCAUGAUAUCUGUCAAAACAGUGAACUGGUCCAGCAAUAUAAAGGAAGGAAAGCUAAAUCAUGUUUCCAUCUGUUAUACUUCUAGUUCACAAAAUCUGAGUGUUGUUCUAAUCACUGAGUUUAUGGGCGAUCGAACUACCUCCCAAAGCCUCUACUACAAAGUUGAUCUGAGAGAAUACUUGCCAGAAUUCGUUAAUAUUGGCUUCUCAGGAGCAACAGGAAGAGCAUUCCAGAAAAACAACAUUCACUCAUGGAAUUUCAGUUCAACUUUGCAACCUCCUAGUCCUGUAGAACCAGGAGAUGGAAAGAAUGGAAAGAAAACAGGAUUUGUGGUGGGAUUGAGUGUUUGUGCAGUUGUUGUAGUAUGUGGGUUGGGAUUGGUUUGGCAUCACUUGCGGAAGAAGAGGAAUAGUGGGGGAGAAGAUGAUACUGACUCUGACCCAACCAUGGACGAAGACUUUGAAAAGGGUAUUGGACUUGGGAAAUUUUCCUUCCAAGAAUUGGCUCUUGCAACCAGUAACUUUGCAGAGGAGGAAAAGCUUGGAGAGGGAGGGUUCGGUGGGGUCUAUAGAGGCUUCUUAAGGAAACUGAACUCUUACGUUGUAAUUAAGAGAGUAUCAAGGGGGUCCAUGAUUACUACUCAAAAAGUGCUAUUUGAUAGCCUUUAAUUAAUCCUUUUUAACACUUUUGAGUAGUAGUUUAGGCCUUUUAACUCAAUUGACAUGUUAAGGAUCCUUUAAAGCAAUUUUGAUCACUUUGUGUAAGUUUUGGUGUUUUUGUUAGUAUUUUGAUCACCAAAGCAAGUCAAGAAUGAGGAGAGCUAUGAGGAAUCUUGGGCAAAGUUUAGAAUUCAAUUGCCAAGAGUGAAUCCGGAUUGCAAGGAGAAAAAGCAAAGAGAAUCUGUCAUGAAGCCUAUUCUUGAUGACAGUCGUAGCAGCCACUUUUGGAGCACUUUCUGAAGUCUAAAUGAUGCAAGCUAUAUACCAUUUCAAAGCUCAGGAAGUCAACAAUCCAAUGCUUCAAACGGUGCGCGAUUUGGAGUUGAAACGAAGAAGUUGCAGCCAUUACAAGCCAGUCACUCUGAAGUGCUGCGGAAUCAACCUUUUGUUGCGAGAAUUUCGCAACACUUUUGUACAGUAAGGUGUUUCUCCUUCUGACGAUGCACGAACCAUGCCGCGAGAGGGAAGCUAGAAACUUCAAGAUGGAAGCCAACUUUGCAGCCUGGUGAAGAUAGCUCGGUCUUGCGAAAUAAUUUCGCAGCCCUCUUGGGUGUCUGCGAAAUUUCGCAGACACCACUUUUCUCCUGCGAAAUGGCUCCUGAAGCCUCCCGAAGCUUGCUACCGACAUUGGGAGAUAUUUUCCAUUAGAUUUUUGUUGUCUAAAUCCCAAAAUACUCCUUGUAAACCACCAAUUACAUGAUUCCUUAGUUUUUAAGUUAGUAAAAAGACCAAAUAUCUUUGUAACAAUUAGUUUUAUAUUUUGUUGAUAUAAAUACCUCUCGGGAGCCUGUUCUCGGGGAGGAGUUCCUUCUGUAACCUUUUGGUAAGCAAGUAAAGUAUUUUCUUUCUACUGCCUUACCUUCUCACUUUGUAUUUUCAUUUUAUUUCUAAGUUAUGAAUUCUUUGAGGAGUUUUCCCCAGAGAAUGAGUAACUAAACCUCCAAUUCCUUGGAGCUAAGGUUGCCGGGGAAGGUUCCAAGUGCAAAAAUGCAAAACUCUGUGGUUUUAGCUAAUAAUGAAGAGGAAGUGAAAUCCUUUAGUGAUUUCAAUGUUUUUAGUUAACUUAAAACACUUUGGAGUCACCUAGGCCAACACUUGGUAAGGCAAGUGAUUUCCAACCGUGGAAAUGCACUAGUUUACCCCUUGCGAGCCUCUGGUAGGUGACUUCAAGGUAGGAUUUUCUGGAAUUACCAACACUUGGUAAGCUUUUGGACUCCUAGGAGACAUCCAUUAGUUAUCUCUUGCGAGUUUGUGAAGGGAAGUCCAAGGUUAAAGAUCACCUUGAAUGGUAAGUGCUCGUGAGAGGCAUGAACCAUUGCAAGUUGUAUCAGUGAGAGAAUUAAAGUGAAAUCUAAUUGAAGGAGUCUCUGUACAUCACCGGUUAGAGAAUUGACUAUAAGUUGAAUCUCUAAUGCGAGGAAAUGAACCAUCUGACCGGAGCUAUGUCUUUUGCAUGAGGAACCACCCCAGUGAACCUAAAUCUCCAAGGAAUGCUUUUCUUCCUAAAUUAUUCCAAACUUCUGUUAAGUUAGUUAGUUUAAGUCUCAACCUUUACCAAUCAAAGUUUGUGUUUUAUUUCUUAAACUAACCGUGAAAUGAAACAAAACCAAUUCACUUGGAAUUGGUAUCCUUGAUUGCUUGCAAAUCAUUCCCAGUGAACGAUCCUUAGAGCCACUAUACUAUAGUAGCUUUGUAUUUGCUACCCUAGUGUAUGGUGUUAUAGGUAUAAAUUUUGUUGAUCACUUCCUCAAUCAAGGAGCACCAGCUGAACACAAAUCAGCUGAGACACCAAUUGGGCAUGAGUCAGUCCAAACAAGGGAUGAAGGAGUAUGCAUUUGAAGUGAAGAUCAUCAGUCCAUUGAGGCAUCAGAACUUGGUGCAGCUCAUGGGCUGGUGCCAUAACAAAAGAGAGCUCGUAUUGGUUUGUGAGCUCAUUCCAAAUGGCAACUUAAGCUCCUGUCUUUUGGAAGAAAAAACCCUGCUAACAUGGGCAAUGAGGUAUAAAAUUGCUCUUGGCUUGGCCUCUUCGUUGCUCUACCUACAUGAAGAAUGGGAACAAUGUGUGGCACAUAGGGAUAUCAAAUCGAGUAAUGUGAUGUUGGACUCAGAUUUCAAUGCCAAGCUUGGAGAUUUUGGACUAGCCAGGCUUGUUGAUCAUGGGAAAGGGUCACAAACCACAGUUUUAGCUGGAACAUGGGAUACAUGGCUCCUGAAUGUCUCAUGACAGGCAAGGCCAAUAAGGAAACUGAUGUCUAUACUUUUGGGAUUGUUGCCUUAGAAAUCUGCUGUGGGAGAAGUCCUGUGGAACCAAUAGCUAAAGAGAAGCAGAUCAGAUUGGUGGAAUGGGUCUGGGACCUCUAUGGAUUAGGAAAGCUUUUCGAUGACGCUGAUCUAAGACUAUCCAAUGAUUUUGAUGAAUAACAAAUGGAACGAUUGAUGAUUUUUGGGCUUUGGUGUGCUCACCCAGAUUGCGAUCUUCGACCUUCAAUAAGGCAAGCAAUUAAUGUCCUUAAUUUGGAAGCUUCACUACCAAGGCUUCCUUUAAAAAUGUUUGUGCCAAUGUAUUAUUCUCCUCUAGUGCUACAAACAAUAUCGGGUGGCGCCACCAUCUCUGAGAGCAGCCACACCCAGUUUUCCGACUUCUCAAACAACACAACCUCAUCAUCAAAGCUCUUUGAAUCUCCUAGUUCAGCCUCUACUCCAUCUGUAUCCCUUUUGCACUGUCAUGUGAAGUAAUUUUAAUUAAUUUAUUUAAAGAUAUUUUGGUUUAUUGAGUUAGUUCAAAUAACCAGUAGUGGUGGGCUAGAGAGUGGAUAACGUGAGCUAUUCUUUAGCUAGCUAUUGUUUAGUAAUUGUUGUUGUUUAAUCUCUAAUUUGUUGAGUUUGUUAAGUUAUAAAUUUCCUUAGUCUUGAGCAAUAAAAUCAUUAGAUGAAAAUUUUCCAAAAACAUGUCUUUGUUUUCUACUUUCCAAAUUCUUUCAAUUCUGCUCAUAUUUUGUCUUAGCAACAUAGCUCGAGGGCGAGGGAGGGGACGGGAUCAUGCCAUUAACUUAGAACAUGACAAAGUGGUAUCAGAGCUAGUUAUGGCUGACGAUCAACGACUCCAAAGGCAUGAAAAUCAGGUUGAGAACCUGAGUUCAGGUCGAGAACCUGAGUUCAGGUCAAGAAAGGCUCCUUAAGCAAAUGGAAGAACCAGUAGGGGCAAUGAACUCCCUAUUCAACUUGCCAGAAGAAGGGUCCAUCAAUAGGAAUUAGGGACCACAUGGACAGGGUGGUGCUGGGUAUGCAGGUGGACUAGUGGUUCCUAAGCUUGCAAAGCUUGAUUUUCCUUGCUAUGAUGGCUCGGAAGAUCCAACUCUAUGGAUUUGCCGCGCAGAACAAGUCUUUGAAUUUCAAGGGACAUCAUUGGAAGAUCAAGUCAAAUUAGCAACCUAUCACUUGGAAAAAGAUGCUCAAUUGUGGUACCAACAAUGGAAAAAUCAAGGUCACUUGGUUACUUGGAUGGAAUGAAGGCGGGAUUGCUAGAGAGGUUUGUUGUAACUGAAUAUGAAGAUUCCUUUGGAGACUUAUGCAAGCUUAAGCAGACAGGAACUAUUUUCGACUAUCAAACUCAAUUUGAAAGGCUUCUAGCAUGGGCCGACACUUUAACAAAUAGACAAGAAGCUGAGUGUUUCAUUAGUGGAUUGAACGAUGGGCUAAGGAUGAUGUAAGAGUCCAAAACCCUCAAAAUUUGUCUACUACAAUUAGGUUAGCAUGUACUUAUGAACUCAAAGCCCAAGAAGUGAGGCGCCCAACCAAUUCUCCUCUUUAGUUCGCAACUCCAACAACCAACGGAACACCUUAACCCCUAGUGGUGCGAAAGGCACCAAUCCAGAGAGAAUUUUACCAAUCCAUAAAUUAUCUUCAACCGAACUCUAAAGGCGCCGAUAGCAAGGGUUGUGCUACAACUGUGAUGAAAACUAUACAAUGGGUCAUAUAUGCAAGAAAUCGUUCUUCAUUAAACUAGAAGAAGAGAAUGAAGAAGCCAUAGAAGAAGACUAUGUAGAAGAGACACUAGUUAUCUCUUUACAUGCCUUGGCUAGAGUCAAUCUCCACAAACUAUGCGGAUCCACUCACAGAUGGGUAAGACUUCACUGACAAUUUUAAUUGAUUCUGGUUCCACUCAUAAUUUUUUGCAUCACAAAUUUGCCAAAAUCAUCGGACUUAAGUUGGAAAGGAGCUGUUUGUUUAGCUUGGUGGUUGCCAAUGAGGAGAGGUUGUCAAGUCCUGGGCGUUGUAAUGGAGUAAAAUUAUCCUUGCAAGGCAUCCCAAUUGAGGUAGAUUUUUUCUUACUUCCUUCAGAAGGUUGUGAUGUUAUUCUAGGAGUACAACAGUUAGGUACUCUUGGUCCAAUUUUGUGGGAUUUUGGAAGAAUGCAAAUGCAAUUCACUAUAGCUGGGUGAAAGGUGUUGCUACAAGGUUCAACCUCCUCAGAACUUCGGGCUCUUGAAUGUGAUACUAUUUUUAGAACAUUGAGGCAAAGUGAUGGUAGGGGAAUUAUCUUAUAGCUUUGUGCAAUCCGACAUGAGCCUACAAAUCAUAAGGAGUUACUAUCGGAUGCAAUGGCGCCAUUGCUCAUUGAGUUCAGUGAAUUGUUUAAAGCACCUACGAGAUUACCACAUCCACGCUCUCAUGACCACAGGAUUCCCCUCCAGCCAAGAGCAAGUCCAAUUUGAGUACACCCUUAUCAAUACAUGCAUUUUCAAAAACAAGAGAUUGAAUGGUUGGUGGAGGAGAUGUUAUCAUAGGGUAUAAUUCGUCCUAACCAAAGCCCAUUUUCCUCUCCGGUACUUUUGGUGUGAAAACAUGAUGGGAGUUGGAGGUUUUAUGUGGACUAUUGAGCGCUAAGCUGGGUUACGAUCAAAGAUAAGUUUCCAAUUCCGGUUAUAGAUGAAUUGUUAGAUGAGAUACAUGGUGCCAAAUGCUUCACCAAAUUGGAUCGUAGAUCUAGUUAUUUUCAAAUUCUUCACCAAACAGCCUUCUGAACUCACCACGGGCACUUUGAAUUUUUGGUAAUGCCUUUCGGCCCCUCUAACACCCCAUCUACAUUUCAAUCACUCAUGAAUGAGAUUUUUAAGGCUCAUCUAAGAAAAUUCAUUUUUGUAUUCUUUGAUGACAUUCUAAUUUAUAGUAGCACAUGGGUUGAACAUUUGAAACAUGUUAGAAUUGCAUUUUCCAUCUCAUCAUCUUGUAGUCAAGAAAGAAAAAUGUCAGUUUGGGCAUACACAAAUCAAAUAUUUGGGGCAUAUCAUUUGUCAAAAUGGUGUGAAUGUGGAUCUAGAAAAAAUAAAGGCAAUGAUGGAAUGGCCAAAACCAACAAUUAUCAAAGCUUUGAGGGGUUUUUUAGGACUAACGGGUUAUUAUCAAAAGUUUAUUGUAGGUUAUGGCAAAAUUGCAGCUCCUUUGGCUGACAUGUUGCGAAAAAAUGUUUUUUCUUAGUCUCAAAAAGCGGAAGAAGCAUUUGAAUUAUUGAAACAAACCAUGAUAUAGGCUCCAGUUUUAGCCUUGCUAAAUUUCCAGCUCUUAUUUUUGGUGGAAUGUGAUACAUCGGGGAAUGGAUUAGGAGUUGUUCUAAUGCAAGAACAAAGACCUAUUGCUUAUUUCAGCACUGUCUUGAAGGAAAAACACCUUUUGUUGUCCACUUAUGAAAAAGAACAUAUGACACUUGUUCUUGUGGUAAAAAAAAUGGCGACCUUACUUGCUUGGCCGUCAUUUUAUGGUCCGAAUUGACCAAUGCAACCUCAAAUUUAUUUGGGAGCAAGGAAUAAUGAUUGAACUGCAACAAAAAUGGUUGCUCAAAUUAAUGGGUUAUGACUUCUCCAUCGAAUUCAAGAGGGGUAAGAAUAAUAUGGCAACAGAUGCUUUAUCAAGAAAGGACACACAAGGGGAAUUCAAUGCAGUCUCUAGUCUCCUACCCCAAUGGUUGGAAUCCAUUAAGGUUGAGAAUCAAUCACACCUGGAGCUGCAACAAAUUCAUCACUUGCAUGAGCAAGGAGAGACUAUUGGACCAUGGGAAAAUCGAAAUGGCAUAAUAUUCUUUAAGAAACAUAUCUAACUUCCAUCUAACUCAAAACUCAUCCCAAUCAUUCUCCAAGAAAUUCAUGGCAUUGGGAAUGAGGGUCUUUACAAAAAUCUUCAUCGAGUGAAGGAGGUAUUUUAUUGGAGGAAAUGAGGAAGGUUACACUAGAUUACAUCAAGUAAUGUGAUGUUUGUCAAAGCCAUAAGAUAGAUCACCAAAAGCCAACAGGUCUUCCCCAACCAUUGCCUAUUCCUACAUAGGUAUGGGCAGACAUCUCUAUGGAUUUUAUUGAUGGCCUACCCCCUUAUAAGGGGAAGACAAUACUCCUUGUGGUGGUGGAUCGAUUUUCCAAAUAUGCACAUUUUAUUCCAAUGUCUCACCUUUACAUUGCACCAAAAGUGGCUCAAACAUUCUUUGAAAAUGUGUUUAAACUCCAUGGCAUGCCAAGUUCAAUAGUAUGUGAUUGGGACUCUACUUUUAUAAGUGCUUUUUGGAAAGAGCUUUUCAAAUUGCAGGGCACUAGCUUCAAUUUCAGCUCAUCUUACCACCCCCAAACAGAUGGCCAAACUGAAGCAGUGAAUUGGGCUCUUGAGAUGUACCUGUGUUGUUUUACUAGUUCAAGACCAAAGGAGUGGGUUCAAUGGGUUCCUUGGGCUGAAUUCUAUUACAACACCAAUCUAAAAGCUUCUACUCGCAAAACUCUCUUCAAAGUGGUGUAUGAAAAAGAGCCCCCCAACUUGCUUCCUAUUUUCCUAGUACAUCAAAAGUUGAAGUUGUAGAUAACAUGCUCCAAGUAAGAGAUAAAGUUGUAAAAGACUUAAGAUGUCAGCUCCAAUAAGCACAAGCUAGAAUGAAGACCCCUUAUGACCAAGGGAGAGUUGAGAGAGAAUUUGUUGUUGGUAAUUGGGUAUAUCUACGGCUACAACCUUAUCGACAAACUUCGUUGGCUUUGAGACAGUCACAUAAACUCUUCCCGCGAUUUUAUGGGCUAUACCAUGUGCUAGAACGAAUUGGUUCGGUGGCUUAUUGACUUGAUCGGGACCAGGAAGUAAGAUUCAUCUAAUUUUCCAUGUGUUGACCCUAAAAAAAUGGUAAGGUACAACUGAUAAAAUUGAUUAUCCUUUUCCAUUAGUAUCAGAAACAUUAGGUCACUUGCAACCUCAGCCUAUAGUAGUUCUAAAUUCUCUCAGCAAUGGGCAUAAACAUGAACUACUUUAUUUAGUGGCAGAGGCUCCUAACAACAGAUCCUACUUGGAAGGAUGAGUACCAACUUCGAAACAAAUUUCCAGACUUUGUGUGUCCUUGAGGACAAGGACGAUUCCAAGGAGGGAGGAAAUGUCAUGUGCAACAAUUUUAAUUUAUUUAUUUCAAAUAUUUUGGUUUAUUGAGUUAGUUCAAAUAACUAGCAGUAGUAGGGCUAGAGAGUGGUUAACAUGAGUUAUUCUUUAACUAGCUAUUUUUUAAUAAUUGUUGUUGUUUAAUCUCUAAGUUGUUGAGUUUGUUAAGUUAUAAAUUUCCUUAUUCUUGAGCAAUAAAAUCAUUAGAUAAAAAAUUUCCAAAAACUUGUCUUUGUUUUCUGAUUUCCAAAUUCUUUCAAUUCUGUUCAUAUUUUGUCUUAGUUACAUAGCUCGAGGGCAAGAUAGGGGACAAGGGAGGGGAUGGGAUUAUGCCAUUAACUUAGAAUGUGACAUGCACACAUGCUAAUUGGGUUGGAAACAUCGCCUCUAUGCUUUUGAAUUUGUAAUAUAUUUGCAAUUGUGGUCAUAUAUGAUUCCAGUUCUCUAUUUAUUUGACAUCUUGUUCAACUUUGUUAUAUACAUAAAGAAAAUCAUUUUAAGCAAUUUUUUAGGAUAUGAAAUUAAGUCUAUACUCAAGGAGGAAAAAAUCGGCGAAAUAUCGCCGAUAUAUCUCGUGUCGACGGGUGGCGACAUGACAAAUGGAGGAGAUAAGUCGGCUGGGCGAUUUUUCGCCAAAAAUCGCCAAAAAAAUCGGCGAUAAAUCGCCGAUAUAUCGACGACAUAGGAUAAAUCGGCGAUUUAUCGCCGAUUUUUUGGCGAAAAAUCGCCCCUCUCUCUCCAGUGUGAUCUGACGGCCCAGAUCACGCCCGUGUUGAUCCAACGCCCAGAUUUGAAUCCCAACAUUAACAAAGAGAUCCAACGGCCAGAUUGCUUCCAAAUUGUGAUCCAACGGCCAAAAUUAAUUUUAAACGGUAACUUAAGGUUCCAACGGCUAUUUUGGCCCAAAUUUCAUCUAUAAAUAGCCAAUUUUGCAUCAAUUUCAUCCAUCUUUGCUUUGAUUCUUCAUUUGCUCUCUUACUACUCCAAUUUUUUCCAAGAUUGCUCAAUUAUUCAAUCAUUUUAAGGUAUGUUUGUUUGAAAUUAUAAUUAAUUUUGUUUGCAAUAAUUAAUUCAUGUAUUUUUAAUUAAUUAGUAUGUUUACAUUCAAUUGUAAUUAUUUUGUAUAUUUUUAUUGAAUUAAUUUAGGUUAUGAUAUAUUUAUUUUAGAUGAUUAUUUGUGAUUUAAAUUCGUAUUUAGAAUUACAUUAAACUAAUUAACUUAGCUAAAUUGUUUAAUUAAUUUAAUUAACAUAGUAAAUUAUGUAAUUAAUUUAAUUAACAUGGUUAAAUAUGCUCAAUUUUUUAUAUUGUCGCGAUUUUUUUUUCAUAUUCAAUUAUGAUUAAUUUCAAUAUUUAGUAAAUUUGUCAUAAAAUUACAUUUAGAUUUUAAAAAUUAACUUAGGUAAUUUAUUUAAUUAGUUUAAUUAACAUGAACUACUAUAUAUGGAAUAUUAAAUAUGCUCAAUUUUUUAUAUUAUCGCGAUUUUUUUUCAUAUUCAAUUAUGAUUAAUUUCAAUAUUUAGUAAAUUUGUCAUAAAAUUACAUUUAGAUUUUAAAAAUUAACUUAGGUAAUUUAUUUAAUUAGCUAAAUUAACAUGAACUACUAUAUAUGGAAUAUUAAAUAUGCUCAAUUUUUUAUAUUAUCGCGAUUUAUUUUCAUAUUCAAUUAUAAUUAAUUUCAAUAUUUAGUAAAUUUGUCAUAAAAUUACAUUUAGAUUUUAAAAAUUAACUUAGGUAAUUUAUUUAAUUAGCUAAAUUAACAUGAACUACUAUAUAUGGAAUAUUAAAUAUGCUCAAUUUUUUAUAUUAUCGCGAUUUAUUUUCAUAUUCAAUUAUAAUUAAUUUCAAUAUUUAGUAAAUUUGUCAUAAAAUUACAUUUAGAUUUUAAAAAUUAACUUAGGUAAUUUAUUUAAUUAGCUAAAUUAACAUGAAAUACUAUAUAUGGAAUAUUAAAUAUGCUCAAUUUUUUAUAUUAUCGCGAUUUAUUUUCAUAUUCAAUUAUGAUUAAUUUCAAUAUUUAGUAAAUUUGUCAUAAAAUUACAUUUAGAUUUUAAAAAUUAACUUAGGUAAUUUAUUUAAUUUGUUUAAUUAACAUAGAUUUAAAUUUAAGCGUAUUUUUCUUGCAAUAGAUUUAGCAUGGCUAGUGAAGGUGGUUUUGCCGUGCCAGGGCGAGAUCCGGCUUGGAAGUAUUGUUUACAAAUUGAGGGUAAUCGAAAUGGAACAAUUUGUAAUUUUUGUGGGUUGGUAAUGAAAAGUGGAGGCAUCACACGAUUCAAGUCUCAUUUAAUGCAUAAGGACCCGCAUAACAACACCAAAAAGUGUCCAAGAGUACCGCCCGAAGUGAAAGAAGAGAUACGAUUGUUGGUGCAUGACAAACAAAAAGCAAAAGCAAAGAAAAAUGCUGAUAUUGAAGAAAUUUGUAGUCAAUUACGUGGCACAAUGGGGACGCAUCAUACACAUUUGGUAAACGAAGAUGAUGAUGAUGAAUAUGCUGAGGAUGAAGAUGUGUAUAUGUAUCCGACAGAUAUGCACCCAGAUGAGCGAGAUGCAUAUCGAUCUACAGUUCGUGCCUCGAAAGCAUCUAAUUGGGAACGUGAACAACAUGAGAAUAUUGUAGGAAGCAAACGCAAAUCGGGAGAGUCUUCUACUGGUAUACCAUCGACGAUGCGAAAAUCACAGAGUAUGUGACAUUCACAUGAUUCACCCCCUAUUGCCCCUUCGCUUUACAAGUCUUCUGCAGCAAAACAAAAAAAUAUCAAAGAUAUAUUCAAGGGUGGUGCAAUUAAAGAAACGAUGGGACGCUUAAUCAGCAAAUUCUUCAUUUAUGAGAGUGUCGCACCCGCAAAAGCAAAGUCUCAUCACUUCAAGAAUAUGAUUAUUGGUGCACAACAAGCAGGUAAUUACUAAUUUAUCAAAUGUUAUAUUGUGUUAUACUUUUAGUAAGUAUAGUAUUUUGUGACAUGUUUUACAUAUGAAGUGCAGGAAUGAGAAUUGAACCUCCAUCUCCAUAUGAAAUGAAGAACAAAUACUUGGAAAUGGAGUACAAAGAAAUGGAAGCUUAUGUGAACCAACAAAGGGAAAAAUGGAAGACAUAUGGGUGCACAAUAAUGUCAGAUGGAUGGACAGGGCCCACGAAAUUAAGUAUUAUUAAUUUCAUGGUUUAUUCUAAAGGGACCAUGGUGUUCCUUAAGUCAGUCGAUGCAUCGAACUAUAUCAAAGACCACAAGUAUAUAUAUGAGCUUUUGAAGACUAUUAUCAAAGAAGUCGGUAAGGAAAAUGUGGUCCAAAUUUUCACAGAUAAUGGGUCGGCAUUCAUGAAAGCAGGGAAACAAUUGAUGAAGAAGUAUAACUUAUAUUGGACUCCGUGUGCGGCACACUGCAUCGACUUAAUCUUUGAAGACAUCGGUAAAAGACCCAAUGUUAUCGAGGUGAUAAACAAUGCUCGCAAGAUAACUAACUUCAUUUACAAUCAUGGUUGGUUACUAGCACAAAUGAGAAAGUAUUGUGGUGGAGACAUUGUUCGACCAGGAGCUACAAGGUUUGCUACCAAUUAUAUUGCUCUUGACAGUCUUCUAAAAAAAAGGGCUGAUUUGAAAAAAUUGUUUAUGAGUGAUGAAUGGGCACAACACAAACUCAGUCGAACAAAACUUGGAUGAGAAUUGGAGCAAUUAUUGUUUGACCAUACGUAUUGGGACAGAUUGACAAAUAUAGUUUCAUUAUAUGAGUCAUUAUACGUGGUGCUUCGACUUGUGGAUUCUGAAGUUGUUCCCACAAUGCCAUUUGUGUACGAGCUUAUGCACGUGAUGAAAGAGAACCUUAUUCGUCAAGGAGCUGGAGAUUGGAUGUUCAAAAUAAUACAAGAUCGUUGGCAGAAAACACUAAAACAUCCACUUCAUGCAGCAGGUACUUAAAUACUAUAUAUCUUUAUAAGUUUUUACUUUGUAUUUAAGUUUCUUUUUUUUUAAAAAUACUAACUCUACUAAAUUUUAUGGUAGCAUACUUCUUGAAUCCAAGAUUUCAAUAUAGGCGUGGAGUUGGUAGUGAUCCGGAACUACUUCAAGUUGUCCAUGAUGUUUUUGCGAAAUUAGAUCCAACUACUGAAUCGCUUGGUCAAUUUGGAAAUGAGGUGAAUAAAAAAUUGUUAUUUUUGUCAAUAAAACAAUAAUUUCAUUCAUCAAUUUAUUUGAACGUUUACUAACAAAUUAAAUGUUGAAUACAUAGCUUGUACUUUUUCGAGAUGCAAAAAGAGGAUUCGGUGAUCGAGCGGCAAUUGCAUCAAGGUCAACCAUGGUGCCCGGUGAGUCUUUAUAGGAAAAAUUUGAUUAUUAUUAUUGUAAGUUCACCACAUAAGUAUUUAUAUGAUUAUCAAAUUCGUUGCAGCUGAAUGGUGGUUUAUGUAUGGGAAUCAAACACCUACAUUGAGAAAGUUAGCCAUCAAAGUUCUCUCACAAACUGCGUCAUCUUCUGCAUGUGAGAGAAAUUGGAGCACGUUUGCUCUCAUCCACACAAAGCAACGAAAUCGUUUGGCUUACUCUUGAUUGGAGCAAUUAGUGUUUUGUUACUAUAAUAUGAGGCUAAAGUUACGCGAUAUGGAGGCAGAAAAUGAUCGAGUUGCUGAAAAAGAUUACCUUGAUCUUCUUGACAUUUUAGCCGAGGUGGGUGAAGAAGAAGAUAAUCAGUUGUUCCAGUGGGUUAGGCCUAUACACUUGGAUGACGAAGUUGGAAAUCCUGAUCCAUGAAUUGCCGCUCAUGCUCGAGAAUUUGGAGUUAAUGUUGAACGUGUGUUGUCCGAAGAAGUUCACUCUGAAAGUUUUAGCAAAGAUACUGAUGAUUCCCUUCAUGCGACAUAUUCCCACCAAGAGAUUGACUCCACAAGUGCUGGCCAUAGUAGUAGACCUAGUGCUGCAGGUACUUCUGCUUCUGGUUACGAUGGUUCAAGAGGUGGAACUGAUGAUGGCGGUGAUAAUGGGGGAGGAGAUAUUGAUGAACGUCGACAUAGUCAAUAUCCAAUCAACCAAUUUACUUGUGAAAAUGAUUUCACACACUGCACACAGGAUGAAGACCAUGGCUCUAGAAGAGCUGGUCCAGGCAUAGGAGCUAUUGGGAGGCCUUAUAGAGGAAGAGAACGAAUGAUGGAACCAUAUAACGAGGAGUUACUUUCAGGGAGUUUUGAAUUUAUGAGUAUAGGGACUCAAUUUAGUGACUCCUCGAAUGAGGCUAACGUCUACCCUCCUCAUGUGAUGAGUUAUGGUCAACCUUCAAGUUCAACAGAUGAAGAGUAUGGUAUGUCGUAUUAUUCCCCUUCCAGACAAAUGCCAUACCAAAUUCCAUAUCAGAUGGAAGAAGGAUUUGGCGUUAACACAUGGGUGAACUUUGAGUAUCCUAUCCAUGUAGAAGCAGUAGGCAGGACUCAAGAGAUAUAUGCAUGGCAUGUUAGAAUUUAUAACCAAUAUUAUCGAGGCUCAUUGACUUGGUACCAAUAUUGUCUCCAACAGCAAGCCGGGGUUCCUUCAUCUAUCAAUCCCAUUGAACCACAUCGAAACUCAUUUUGGUACUAAAGGGACAUUGCAAUGUAAUGUGUACAAAUUAUUGUUAUUUAAUGAAAUGAAGUAUUUGAUGUGACUUUAUAAUGAGAACAAUUAUGAAAUUAACAUUUCUUAUAGAUCGACAUGAUAUAAUUACAUCUAAUAUCGCAAAUUAUAUCAUAUAUAUAUCAAAUUUUUCAAUAAAACAAUUUUAAAAUGUCUAUUAUACUUCUAAUUAUAUUAUUAUGAGGUUUUUCUUGCAUUUCCAUGAGUUUUUAACAAUUUUAAGCCUACCAAUAAUAUCCACCGAUAUAUCUCCGAUAUAUCCAAAAAUAUCUCCGAUAUAUCCGAUAUAUCUUUAAAAUCGAAUUACCGAUAUAUCCGUGAUUACCGAUAUUUUCAUCCUUGUCUAUACUAAUUUUGCAUGGUUGGAAAUGAUUGGUUAACUUAUCUGAAUUUGAUGAAUUGUGCUUUAAAUUGGUAGCAUAAGAAACUUGAUUCAUUAAGACUCCAGCUUGAUUACAUAUAUAACAGACUUUAAAUUUCCAAAGAGUUUAAAUGGCUUAUAUGAAAUAGGUAGGAACAAUAUAAUGCUAGUGCAAGCUUGUUUUCAUGAUCUGCUGUUCACUGCAUGUUAGCAUAUAUAUAUAUAUAUACUCAAGGUCUUCCAUUCCACUAACCUAAGAGAUGCCAAGAAAUCUCUAUUUGAAGUUCUUUUCAAAGGACUUAAUCACUCACCAUUUAAAGGAAUUGCUCACCAUGUGUCGAAAAAAUAAAAAAUAAAUAAACAAGAAAUCUCUAGUUGAAGCUUUAUCAUUGGAUGAAUUGCUCUUCAUUUGUUAAAAAAAUAACAAUAAAAAUAAAAUGUAAGUAAAAAAUAAAGCCUUGUCUGGAGUUUUUCUCUUUGGAAGGAUUUCUCAACAAUUGGGAAAUGUAGACAACGAAUAAGAAAACAUACUUUGAUGUUUAUUUGCUGCUAAUGAAAGCAACUCAGGGGAUGUUAUUAGGGCUUAGCAUAUGGAGUGAUUGACCAUUGUGAAUAGAUGUGCUAGAGUCUAACAGACUUAAUUUGAUGCUUGACAUGGUGGUCAUUUUGCAUUCGUCCUAAGGUUGAGCCUCGACUGAUGGGUUGAUGUGGACAUGUAGAGAACCUUUUUUGUACUAGGCUCAUUGUUUGCCUUGAUGGAACAAGGACUUUAAUUUUUUUUUUUUUAAAUGUAACUAUGAAGGAUGUUACAUUACUCCUAAUGCAUAAAGAAAAUGAUAAAGAAAAACGCACUAUGGUUAAGUUUACAAUACAAUUUUUACCUGAACUUAAUUAUAGUUGAGUUGCAUUAACAAAGAACUUAACUAGGUUUAAGUUCGUAGUCACAAUACUCACUUAAACUUAAUUAUAGUUAAGUUGUAUUAAUUGAGAACUUAACUAGGGUUAAGUUCUUAGUCACAUUUUUUACUUGAACUUAAUUAUGGUCGAGUUGCCUUAAUUAAGUACUUAAAUUCUAGUUAAGUUGUCAACUAAAAUGUUUAUAUGACCUUUAACUUAUGAUUGAUUUUCAUUUAGAAAGAGUUUACACAUUAAUUUAUUAAGUUUUAUGGACCUCAUACGGUUUGGAUAUUGAUUAAAUAAGUCAAUUACACAUAGGGAGUGUGGAAUUGAUGCUUGGAAAAAUCAAAAUCGAAAAAUACUAAAAAAAUUAAAUCAUCACAUUCUUUGUACCCUCCCAAAUCUCCACUUCUUUUGAUUUUUUUUUUAAAUUGGACCUCACAUGGCUUGGAUAUUGAUCAAAUAGGUUAAUUACACUUAAGGGGAGUUCAAUUGAUGCCUAGAAAAAUCGAAAUCCAAAAAUAUUAAAAAAUUAGCAAAGGUCUGAAGAAUGUGAGGAAUAGGGUAAUUCUUGGUACCCUUCAAAAUCUCCACUUCUUUGAACCUUAAAAAAAGAAAAAAAAACAAUUCCUCAUAUGACUUAGAUAUUGUUUAAAUAGGUCAAUUACACUUAGAGGGUGUGCAAUUGAUACCCGAAAAAAUUGAAAUUGAAAAAUAUUAAAAAAUUAUCAAGGGUAUGAAGAAUGUGAGGAAUCCUCACAUUCUUCGUACCCUCCAAAAUCUCCACUUCUUUGAGUUUCUUUAAAAAAAAAAAAAAAAAAAAAAAACCUCAUAUGGCUUGGAUAUUUAUUAAAUAGGUUAAUUACAUUUAAGGAAUGUGCAAUUGAUGCUUAGAAAAAUAAAAAAAAAAUUCCAAAAAUACUAAAAAUUUCCACUUCUUUGAGUUUUUUUUUUUUUUUUUUUUUUUUUUUAUAAUUUGAACCUCAUAUAGUUUGGAUAUUGAUCAAAUAGGUUAAUUACACUUAAGGGGUGUUCAAUUGAUGUCCAGGAAAAUCAAAACCGAAAACUACUAAAAAAAAAUUAAAUCCUCACACUCUUCGUAUCCUCCCAAAUCUCCACUUCUUUGAGUUUUUAUUUUUUAUUUUUUAAUUGGACCUUACAUGGGUUGGAUAUUGAUUAAAUAGGUUAAUUACAUUUAAGGAUUGUUCAAUUGAUACUCGAAAAAGUCAAAAUCCAAAAAUACUAAAAAAAAUAACAAAGGAACGAAGACAUUCUUUUUACCAUCCAAAAUCUCCAAUUCUUUAAACUUUUCAAAAAACAAAAACUUUCUAUCUCAUAUGGCUUGGAUAUUAUUUAAAAAGGUUUAUUACAUUUAGGGGUGUGGAAUUAAUACCCAAAAAAAUCAAAAUAAAAAAUACAAAAAAUUAGCAAGGGUACAAAGAAAGUGAGGUCACAUUCUUCGUAUCCUCCAAAAUCUCCAUUUCUUUGAGUUUUUUUGAAAAAAAAAUAAAAAAUGGACCCCAUAUGAAUUAGAUAUUAAUUAAAUAGGUUAAUUACACUUAGAGGGUGGUCAAUUGAUGUCCUAGAAAAUCGAAAUCCAAAAAUAUUAAAAAAUUAGCAAGAAUACGAAAAACAUGAAGAAUCCGCAAAUUCUUCCUACCAUCCAAAAUCUCCACUUCUUUAAGUUUCUUUAAAAAAAAGUUGGACCUCAUAUGACUUGGAUAUUGUUUAAAUUGGUCCAUCAUAGUAAGGGCAUAUGGAAUUGAUGCUAAAAAAAAAAUCAAAAUUGAAAAAUACUAAAAAAAAAUUAAAUUCCUACCUUCUAUGUACCCUCCCAAAUCUCUACUUCUUUGAGGUUUUUUUUUUCAAAAUAAAUAAAUAAAUAAAUUGGACCUCAUAUGCUUGAAUAUUGAUUAAAUAGGUUAAUUACAUUUACGGGUGUUCAAUUGAUGUUCAAAAAAAUUGAAAUCUAAAUAUACUAAAAAAAUUAGCAAAAGUACAAAGACAUUCUUCGUACCUUCCAAAUCUUCAUUUCUAUGAGUAAAAAAAAAAAUAUAUAUGUCUCAUAUGGAUUGGAUAUUGUUUAAAUAUGUUAAUUAUAAUUAGGGGGUGUGAAAUUGAUGUCCAAAAAAAUCGAAAUCCAAAAAUAUUAAAAAAUUAUCAAGAAUACAAAUAAUGUGAGGAAUGUCUCACAUUCUUCAUACCCUAAAAAAUCUCCACUUCUUUGAGUUGUUUAAAAAAAAAUUUGGACCUCAUAUGGCUUGUAUAUUGAUUAAAUAGGUCCAUUACACUAAGAGUGUUCGGAAUUGAUGCCCCAAAAAAUUGAAAUCGAAAAAUACUAAAAAAUUAAAUCCUUACAUUCUUCAUACCCUCCUAAAUCUCCACUUAUUUGAGUUUCUCAAAAAAAGUUUUUGACCUCAUAUGACUUGGAUAUUGAUUAAAUUGGUCCAUUACACUAAAAAAAAAAUUAAAUAAAAAAAUACUAAAAAAAUUAAAUCGAAAAAUACUAAAAAAAUUAAAUUCUUACAUUCUUCAUACCCUCCCAAAUCUUCACUUUUUAAAAUUUAUAAAAAAAAAAAAAUUAUACCUCAUAUGGCUUGGAUAUUGUUUAAAUAGGUUAAUUUUCACUUAGGGGGUGUGGAAUUAAUGCCAAAAAAAAAAUCAAAAUACUAAAAUACUAAAAAAUUAGCGAGGGUAUGAAAAAUGUGACAUCACAGUCUUUGUACCUUCCAAAAUCUUCACUUCUUUAAGUUUCUAAAAAAAAUAAAAAUUGGACCUCAUAUGGCUUGGAUACUGAUUAAAUAAGUUAAUUGCACUUAAGAGGUAUUCAAUUAAUGCCCUGAAAAAUCAAAAUCCUAAAACACUAAAAAUUAGCAAAGAUACAGAGAAUGUGAAAAAUCCCUCACAUUCUUCAUACCGUCCAAAAUCUUCACUUCUUUGACUUUAAAAUACUAAAAAAAUUAGCAAGGGUAUGAAGAAUGUGAGGAAUCCUCACCUCAUAUUCUUCAUACCCUCCAAAAUCUCCACUUCUUUGACUUACAAAAUUUUUUUUAGACCUCAUAUGACUUUAAUAUUGAUUAUAUAGGUUAAGUACACUUAGGGGGUGUUAAAUUGUUGCUUGAAAAAAUUGAAAUCUAAAAAUACUAAAAAAUUAGCAAUGUAAUGAAUAAUGUAAGGAAUUCUCACAUUCUUUGUACCCUCCCAAAAUCUCCACUUCUUUAAACUUCUUUAAAAAAAAAAAUUAUACCUCAAAUGGUUUGGAUAUUGUUUAAAUAGGUUAAUUACACUUAGGAGGUGUGAAAUUGAUGUUCAGAAAAAUCGAAAUCGAAUAAUACUGAAAAAUUUGUAAGGGUAUAGAGAAUAUGAAAAAUCCUCACAUUAUUCGUACCCUCUAAAAUUUUUAUUUUUUUUUUAGUUUAUAAAAAUAUUUUUGGAUCUCAUAUUGCUUGGAUAUUGAUUAAAUAAGUCAAUUACACUUACGGGGUAUUCAAUUGAUGCUUGGAAAAAUCCAAAUCCAAAAGUACUAAAAAAAUUAGCAAGGGUACGAAGAGUAUGAGGAAUCCUCAUGUUCUUUAUACCUUCCAAAAUCUCCACUUUUUUUAAGUUUAAAAAAAUUUCUUUGGAUCUUAUGCUAAAAUACUAAUAAAGGGUAUGAAGAAUACGUGGAAUCCUCACAUUAUUCAUAUCCUCCAAAAUCUCCACUUCUUUGAGUUUUUUUUUUUUUUUAUUUAAAAAAAUGGACCUUAUAUGGCUUAGAUAUUGAUUAAAAAGAUUAUUUACACUUAGGGCUGGUAAAAUUGAGGUCUAGAAAAAUUGAAAUCGAAAAAUACUAAAUAAUUAGUAAGGGUAUGAAGAAUGUGAGGAAUCCUCACAUUUGUAACUUCCCAAAUCUCCUCUUAUUUGUGAUUUUAAAUCAUUUUUUGACCUUAUAUGGUUUAGAUAUUGAUCAAAUAGAUUAAUUACACUUCAAGGGUGUCCAAUUGAUGUCUAAAAAAAAAAAAAAAAAAAUUCUAAAUCCAAAACUACUUAAAAAUUAGUAAGAGUGCGAAGAAUGUGAGAAAUCUUCACAUUCUUCGUACCCUCCAAAAUCUCCGCUUCCUUCAAUUUUUACAAAUUUUUUGCACCUCAAUUGGUUUGGAUAUUGAUUAAAUAGGUCAAUUAUACUUAAGGGGUAUUGAAUUGAUGUCCAAAAAUUUUGAAAUCCAAAAAUACUAAAAAAAUUGCGAAGGAUGUGGAAUUUCAUAUUGUUACUAAUUAUAUAUAUAUAUAUAUAUAUUUGGUAUUUUCAAUAUUUCAACCAAUAUUUUAUGUAAUUAAAUUCAAAUUAUAAGAAAUAGUUUAUUAAUACAAUUUUCAAUUAUUAAUUAGUACAUAACAAUUUUAUUUUUUGACAAUGUAUACUUAUUUAAAUUUAUUUUCAUAUUUUUUAAAAAGUUUAAUUAAACUUACAAUUCAUUGAAAUGAUUCAAUUUUUUUUUUCAUUUUAAAAAUCAAUUAUAUUGUUUUUCACUCUUUCAAUAUUCAUCCAAUUUUUUCCACAAAUAAUUUCAAAUUAAAAUAAAAUUAGUUAACUAAUUCUCAAUUUAUUAAUUAUAUAUAUCACCAAAUUAUAUUUUUUUUUACAAUAUAUAGUUUAUUUCAAAUUUUAUUUUAUUUUUCUUCACCUCUUAGGUUUAUUACUUUAUAUUACAAAAUAAAAUAAAUUACAAUAUCUCUUUCACAAAUUUGUUAUUUUUAAAAAAUUUUCAAUAUUUUCCAACUUUUAUAGAAUAAUUCCUAAAAUUAUAUAACUGGUUGUUGUAAAGAUUUUAAAUUUUGUGUUGCCUGGGAUUAUUUUCUUAACGGAAUAAGUUUUUUUAUUUUUUUAUUCACCUAACCUUCACAUGUGGCUAUUACCGUUGGUGGAAAAUUAUGGGUAUGGUACCAAAAAGGAGAAUUCAGACCCAUGAAUUCAUUGGUGUAAAAUGGUUUUGAGUUAAACUUAGUCCAUAUCACAAGAUUCAAGUUGAAAUUAUGACUCUCUAUAAAUGGAAUAACUCUCUUAUCAGAUUCAUUAGUAUAAAAUGAUCCCUUUUAGCAUAGAUAUUAUUCAUUCUAUAUUCGUUGUAUAUAGAUAAUAUUUGUAAUGACCUACUUCCUCUCUUAAAUAUUGUUCGGUAUAAAGUUUCAUAAUUUUAGAACAUAUCAACUUAAUCAAAAGAAACUAAUCACAUAUGAUGUAAAUAAUUUUUUUCUUAAUCAAUGUGAAAUGUGAAAUAUCGUAUAAAUAAUAUUCACACAAUCAUCCAUUUUCAUGAGUAUUUGGAAAUAAGAUCAUAUGAUCUAGAAGAUUGAAAAUUAAUUUUGAUACCCGUUCUUGUGUACGUGCUUUAAGAAGGCGGCGUUGACAAGUUCUUUGUAAUUGUUUUUCUUGUAUGCAACAUGUCAUAAUUUUUUUUUUUUCCUUUUUUCCCUCAAACAAAAGAUACAUAUAAAUAUCCAUAUAAUACGUCAAUACAUUGACUUAUAAUAGGCUAGAUCAUCACACUCUUAAGGUUGUAGAUGCUCAAUCAAAAAGCCAAAACUCCUAGUAAGGGUGCUGGCCGAUGAUGUUGCCCUGUGGGCUGUAGUUGCAGCUGACGAACCACCAGCCAUUGUUGCACUGCACUCUUGCACACCCUAGACUUACCGAAUUGCGCCAAACCACCUGAGUAUAAUGUCCACACUCUCCUCCAACACAUGAGUUAGAGUUAUAGUCAUAAUUAGACUUCUCUCCAACCCACAGGUUGGCAGCAUCCGUGGCGGUGAAAUCACCACUGCCCAUGGCGAGGUUCUCGCCAUAAGGACCAUUUGAAUGCACCAUGUUGCAGUCGCCACUCCUUUGGCUAGCAUAGUCCCUCGCAUAGGCCGCCACAUUGUCAUCCCAUGUCAUGGGCUCAACGCCAACGUCCGCCCGAGCUGCGUUGUGGACAUCGAGGUAGUCUUGUUGGGAGUUUUGGGCAUGGGAGGGAUGGACUAGGGCUAAUAUUCCAAUGAAGCAGAUGAGGGCUAAUUCUCUCUUGCACAGCCCCAUUUUGGCUUCUGUAAUACUAUUCAAUACAGGAACGAUCGACUUUUGGCAAGGAUUAAGGAUGAGGUGCCCAUUAAUUUAUAGGCACAUCUUGUAGAAAAGUAUCAUCGAAUGAGUAGGCCUUACGUACGCCUCAUCUGUCAUUGAAUGACUCUAGAAGUGGGAUUGUCAAAAAGCUAAGCAACCCAUUCAGAUUGGACAAGAUGCCACUGUCCCAAUAAGAUUUACAAAAAUCAAAAUUCCAUUUUGAAUUUUUUGCUUUUUAUUUGAUUGAAAUGAGCAAAUAUAUUUCCAACAUCUUAGGAUAUGUUUAUUUUGUAAAUAUUUAAAUUAGGAAACAAGUAUGUCAUAUGUAUAACUUGAAAUAUUUUUUAUUUUCUUAAAUAUGUAUCCUUGGCUAGGGAAAUUUCUUGCCUAUUUUAGCUGUUAUAGUUUUAGUCCCAUUCAAAGAUACUGAACCAUGAAAGGAAAAUAUAAAUUAUCUUAUUAGGUUGAUUUUUAUAUAUGAACCUACAUUUUAUAAAUAAUAUUUUCAAGGUUUUUUGUGCAUCUACAAGAAUCCUCACCCAAUUCCUAGUGCUAACAAAAUAUUGAAGAGGAAGCUCAUAUUAGUUUAAUUUAAUUUAUCUAUUUCUAAAAAUGUAUUUCUCUUCAUCUCUUAAAUUAAGAGUGUAUUUGAUAAUGAUUUUAAAAAAUAUUUUUAAUAUUUUUAAUAAUUAAAAGAUAAAAAUUUUCAAGUAUUGGAAAGAUUAGAAAUACUUCCUAAAAUCACUAUCAAACACCCUAAAAACCUAUUUGGUAGUGAUUCUAGGAAACGUUUUGAACAUUUCUAAUACUUGAAAUUUUUUAUUAUUCAAAUGUUAAAAAUGUUUCCCAAAAUCACUCCUAAACAUACUUUAAGUGUCCGUUUGACAGUAUUUUUAUUUGAAAUAUUUUUAGUGAAAAUAUUUUAUAUGAAAGUGUUUUUAAAAGAAUAACCUCUUAAAUAUUUCUUAUAAAAACAUUUUAAGUGAAUUUUUAAUAUUAUAAGUGAUUUUUCAUAUUCUUACAAGUAUUUCUUAAAUUUUAUAAUAUCUUUUUUUUUUUAAAAAACACUAUUUAAAUUAAAAAUGCUUCCUAAAAUUAAUGUAAAAUGGACACUAAACAUCCUCCUCAUUUUGUCUUUAGAUAUUUGGUUUAUCAUCUCUCCCUCCUUCACUCUUAAAUUAUAAGUAGUAAAGAAAGAAAAUGAGAAGGAAGAAUUCUGAAGCUCCAAAUGAGAAAGUUAAUUCCAACUUCCCCGCUUUGUUGAAAGUUUUGUGAUGACUUUUCCGGUGGAAAGUUUAGGAAGGUAGGAAUUCAUUACUCCAGUUCACAUGCAUGGAAGUCUUCAUGAUUGAGAAAUAACGUGCAGGUGAGAGAUGGGAAGGGGCCGGCAUUUGUAUAGUUGCAGGAAGACUCAUUCUCCAGACUCUUGGGUCAAUGGCGGGGGAUCAAAGAAAGUGGGUUGCAAUUAUUAAGAAUUUUCUUCAUCUUCUGUCUUUUUCCCGGCCAUCACGCAUCGAUCACGUUUGUCUUUCUAGGUAAAAUACCUCAAUUAUCUGCCUUAUGAUGUGAACUUUGAUACAUGCAUGUGCAUGUAGUCAGCCCAUUCUUCUCUCAAGUCUUCUUGGAUCAUUCAUCUAUUUCUUCACACUCCACAUGGAGAGAAACACCACCUAGAAUUAAUUACCACAAAUUUGGCAUGAAUUACAGCCAUCAUUCUCGCCUCUUCUUAAGUGCCCAUAUAUGUUUCUUUUAGCUAAUAAAAAAAAAAACAGUAGGAGAAAUCAUUAGUUGUGUUUUAGAUUUCCAAAAACACAAAAGAAAGGGAAAUGUUAUUAAAAAGACAAAGAUUUAUACUGUGAAAUUUUUGUAAGUGGAACCAGUUCUUACUUUUCUAAGUGAAUAAAGAUUCCAUCAAUUUUAGGUUUUAUUUUUUUAUUUUUUUAUUUAACGUUUCAUUCUCAUUUCUAUUUAACUUUAGUAAUGGUUGGCCUCCUAUUUUAAGGUGGGCCUGUAUCUUGGUAUGAUGAUGAUAGUGGUUUCAUCACAUUCAUCGAAUGAUAGCAUGGUGGCCCUUCCAUGGUGUUGUGGCAGCUGCUGAUUGGUUAUUGCAUGUAGCUCUUGCUUAGGCACCAUGUGGCGGCGGAUCUAUGUGUCCUAAUCAGCAAUCUCCUUAAUUUCUUAUCUUCUCUCCUUAGGAUAUAAUAAUUUCGUCUUUAUCUCAUAGAUAAUAAAUUCAUUCUUCACAUGCAGCAUUCAACGGUUACAAAUUUUUGAAGAACAAAAAUUUAUAAAUAAAUAAAAAAUUAAUUUAAAAAAUAUAUAUAUUAUAUCACAUUCAGUAUAAUGUGAUGAAAUGAAAUAUCAUUUGUAAUCAAUGUAAUAUUUAAAAAUAUUAUAUUUUAUUAGAAAUAAUAUCUUAUAAUAUAUUUAUCGUAUCCUCUUAUCCCGUCAACCAAACAUGAUAUUAAUGAAGAAAACUCUAAUUUUCCUUGUUAUAAAAGAACUCGAACAACUUUUUGCAACUAUGAUACGCUUUUGAGUCCUUUUUCAUCCUUAGUUCUUUUAUACGUCACUAGCUUUUGAUGUGAUUUAUGGUUCCAAUUUACACCCAUAGUGGGUUUUGAUCCUCUCAUCUUCUCCACAAUUUCUACUCCAAUAUUACCUUUUUUUCCAUUACCAAUUACCCAAAUAGCUUAGUCUCAACAUGAUCUUAGAGUUGUCUCAAAGUUUCCAUGGGAUUCACUUCGAGACUAUUCAUUUAUCUUCAAUUUAAACGAGUUUGUUCAUAAGCUGACAAAAUAUCCAACUCGAGUAUCGGUCCGGUACGGCCAUGGUCGAGGCGGAUACUACUCGACCGAGUCGUACUGUCUCAACCAAGAUUUUGAACCUUAAUCUCAUCUUGUUUAUUUAUAUUUAUUCUUAUCAUCACUCAAAAAAAAUUAAACAAGAUGAGAUAAGUAUAAGAAAUUCUUAUAAUCAUUUUAUCCACUCGUUUAAUUCUUUUAAUUCUUUUUCAAAAAAAAUUUAUUUUUAUUUUUUUUAAAUUUAAAUUUUAUUAAAAAUAAAUAUAAUUUAUAAAUAAAUAAUAUUAUAAAUGUUUAUAAUUUAUUUUUAUAGAAAAUAAUAUUUUAUUUAUGUUGAAAAAAAAAUAAAAUAUGAAAAAAAAUCAAUAAAAUCAUAGCUAAACCCACUUUAAAUUUGUUUGGGACUUUUAAAAACUUCUCAAACUCAUCCUAAACCUAUUUAUAUUUAUCAAACCCUUCUGGAUAGGACGCAUAACCGAAAAACCCACCCCAUUGUCAUCCCUAAUUAUACAUAGUUUAUAUCAUUGAAUGCAUUGAUGGAGAGAAUUUUAACAAAAAAAAUAUAACAAUUUAUAUCAUUGAAUGCGUGGGUGGGGGAGGAUUUUGAAAAAAUAUAGCAAUAUUUUUUAAAAAAGAACAUUUUUAAAUUAUUUUCAAUUCUAUAGCUUUUAAUUUAAAAAAAUCAAUUAAAAUUGUUUUUUAAAAUUUUAAAGUUAUCUUUUAAAAAAAUAAAUUUUAUAUUUAAAUUAAAAUUAUUUCUUCAAAGAAAUAACUUCCAAUUGAUGUUAUAAAAAGUAUUCUAAAUUUGAAAAUAAUUUCAAAAAUAUUAUAUUUUAAUAAAUGUUUAAAAAAAAAAAUUGAUGUACUCUAGUUUUUUUUUCUUUUUCAAAAAUUGUUGGUGAAGUGAAGAUUUUGAGCGAGGUAAAUGGGUGUGAAUUGGAGUGGUGUAAGUAAGAAAAACCCAUAUCACAGGCAUUAGUACACUAGAAAAGCAAUCACAAACUUUCAACAAAGGAAAGUCGGAAUUAACCUUAUGACUAGAAGCAACAAAAUUCUAUCUAUGGUGUAUAUUUUAUUUUCUACUUAAAAAAUGAAAUCUAUAUAUAUAUAUAGAUGCUUUAUAGCUAACAUAAACUUGGAUUAAUUCCAAAUAUAAGUUUACGAUUUACAAAUUCAGGAGGAAGAGAUCUCCACUCAAACCAAAUAUGUAAAGAUAGAAUUAGGAGCAUGUUCAGCUUGUUUGCAUUUAAGCAGUUCAGAGAAUUAUAUUUUUUUGAAAAUUUGAACAAGUAUGAGAGGUUGAAUAUUUUUGUCAAAAUUUAAAAUCUGGGUUAAUUUUCAUCCUUGGUUAUCGUAAGGGAUUAAUUUAAAUAUAUAAAAUAACCUUGAAAAUUCUAUCUAUGAAAAAUAGGUUUCUAUAUCGAUAAAUGGUAACAUAAUUACUCGUUUACUUUCUUUUUUUAUUCAGGAAUCUAAAAAUUGGACCACACACCUCAAAUUCUAAAACUAUGAUUUCAUUAUAAAACAAAUAGGUUAACUCAUAAUUUUAGAAUUUUGAAAUGUCAAUCUAAAGAAUAAUAAUAUAAUAUUUGAAAUAUAAACUCUCUAUUUAAUUUCAAACCGAGAAAUUUAGUCGUGAUGUAUAAAUAACAAUUAGAUUUUUUUUUAUAAAACAUAUAUUUUCAAAUAAUAGCAAUAACAUUUUGUAAUUUUCAAAUUUAAAAUUUUAUUUCUUUACAAAUUUGGAAUGGCAUGACCCAGUAGAGAGUUUUCCGGUAUGCCUUGUUUGUUGCCUUAGUUGUGCAUAAAUUUCACUAAGUAUGAAAAACUAGUCAUUUUCAAGAGUACUAUGUAUUCAGCUUCCAUGGCAAGAUGCCAGUUGUGCUCUCCCAUAGCUUGUUGGAAUGUUUGUGGUUCAACAGGUGAAGUUGUAAUUAAGGCUUUCUUCUUGACAAUUCCGGCCUUUGAUAUGGUAAUAUCAUGGGAUGGCAGUUGGAGGGUAGAACUGUAGAAGAGCGGAAGAAUGGUUGGAUGUGGAAAUAUCAAUAAAGGGGACUUGAAUCACAAAUUUAAUGGAGGCAUUGGAUAGACAUGGAGAAUCUGGUGGUAAGGGGCACACACUAGUAGUGGAAUUGGAAAUUUGGUUCGUUGUAGCAUGUAAUCUACAAAGAGCAAGAAAUACUUUGCACCGGUUAUGGAAUAUGUGGGGACAGGACCCCAUAAAUCAGUGUGAACGAGGGCAAGAGGAUAUUGGGCUCGAGAUGUAGAUAGUGGGAAUGAUGACUUGUGACUUUUAGCAUAUUGAUAAGCAUAGUAAAUGUGAUUUUUAUUAAGAGAAUAAGAAAUUUUACGGAAAGAAAGAAUUUGUUUCAAUAUAGGUACACAAUCAUUUUGGGUCCUAGCAGUGAGAGCUAAGUAGCUGGAUGAAGUAGAAGCUAAGGAGGAACCAGGGCUAGAGUUGGGGAAUCUAUAUAAGCCACGCUCAAGGAAUCCCUUGAAGAAGAAUCACCUUCGUAAUCUUGUAAUGUCUCGCACCUAACCAUGUAGAUAUUGUCCGCUUUGGGCCCAAGGGGCCUUCAUGGUUUUAAAACGCGUUUACUUGGUUAAGAUGAGCUUCUACAUAUAUAGCACCAGGAACAUUCUCUCCUAUCCGAUGUGGGACAUCACAAACAGCCCCCCCUCUUCCCCAUGCAGACACAACGUCCUCGUUGUGUCCCAUGGGAUUGCGGGGUCAAACAAACAAACACCCCUUACGGGGCUAAACAAACCCCUACACCAGGGUCGAGGAUCGGCUCUGAUACCAUUUGUAACAACCCAUUCCCAACUGUGUAGAUAUUGUUCGCUUUGGACCAAAGAGGCCCUCACGGCUUUAAAACACGUCUACUUGGUUAAGAUGAGUCUCUACAUAUAUAGCGCCAAGAACAUUCUCCCUUAUUCGAUGUGAAACAUUACAAAUUAUAAAUGGUAUCAGAGUCGAUCCCCGACCCUGAUGUGGGGGUUUGUUUGGCUCUGUAAGGGGUGUUUAUCUGUUUGAUCCUGCAAUCCCAUGGAACACAACGAGGACGUUGUGUCUACAUGGGGGAGUGUUUGUAAUGUCCCACAUCGGAUAGGGGAGAAUGUUCCUGCCGCUAUAUAUGUAGAGGUUCAUCUUAACCAAGUAGACGCGUUUUAAAACCAUGAGGGCCCCCUUGGGCCCAAAAACGGACAAUAUCUACAUGGUUGGGUGCGGGUCGUUACAAAUCUUGUCCUUAAUAACAAAGAAAUGAGGGUGAAACUCACAAAAUUAAUUGUUGUCAAUGCAAAAAUGAAAGACACUUAUAAGAUUUGUUGUAAGAUAAGGAACAUGAAACAUAUUUUUUAAUUGGAAAGAUUUGUGAAUAGUGUGAAAAUUUAGAACAAAUGUGAGAGAUGGAUAGCUGCUUACCAUUUCCAACCGUGACCUUGUCAUUGCCUUGAUAAGGAAUGUUGUUUGAAAGAUUUUCAGAAGUUUGGGAGUGAUGAUGGAUUGCACCUGUGUCAAGAAACCAUGAGUUGUUGCAGCUUGAGGAAGGUGAAGCCAUCACUGCUUGAAUGUUGUUGCUGGCGGGUUGUAUUAGAUGAAGGUUUGAAAGGGUUUGUAGUUAAAGAAUCUAGUCCUUGAAAGUUGAUAUCAAAUCUGUGACAACAUGAUAUCAUUAUAUUACCAAAUUUGCCACAAAGUUGGCAUUAAGGUCUGUUACCAGUGUGGUUUGUGCGAGGGUCUUGGCCACGACCACCAGUGCGUCCUUGGCGCUGAGAGUUAUUCUGUUUGUGAAAGGAAGAGUUAUGUCUUCCAUUUUGAUGGUUUCUCGGACGACCUUGGGUUGCUAUAUGUGUAGAAAUAACUUUGUCUUCUACCAUUGAUGUUUGAAGAUUGAGUUUUUGUUCAUGAGUGAGUAGGAUGCUAUGCAUUGAGUAAAUAUUUACAUCAUCUUCACAAACUGCAAGAGAAGCCACUAUAGGGUUGUAGUCAGCUCUAAGACCACUAAGAAGUUGCAAGACUUGAUCUCUUUCUGCUACCAACUCUAUAAUGGCAACAAGAUUAUUAGGUUAAAGAUAUAUUCCAUCAUGGAGAGGAAGCCUUUCUGAGUAGUCUGAAAUGCUAGUCGAAGCUGCAUUAUUUGUGCCUUGGAUGAGGUGGAAAAAAAUUUCUCUAGGGUAGUCCAUGCUACAUGAGAUGUCUGGUCCUAGAUUAUUUGUCCCAUAAUAUCUGAGAUAAAGGAAGAAUAGAUCCAACUUAGAAUCAUGUGACCAAAGCAUCACCAGUUGAUGAAAUUUUGAUUGAUUCCUCCGGUUGUGGUUGUCUUGGGAGGACAGAUUUUGAAUCCUUCAAUGUGUUCUUCAAAUCCAUUUGCAUAGAUUACAUUCUCCAUUUGAGUAUGCCAAAGGAUGUAAUUGUUCCUAUCCAGCUUAAUAGGAAGAGGAUGGUUCAACAUGUGCAUUGACUGCGCCGUGCUAGGUGACUGGAAAGAUUAUAUCUGGAGUACUGUUUUGUGGAUUCAAGUUCUGUGUUGAAAAGGCCAUGUGAUCGGUGGUUGUUCUUUGGAGAGAAGAAUGGUUGCAAUCAAAUUAGUUAGAGGAAAUGCAGGGAAGUUGUGGAUGAAGAAGAGAAGCUGAGCACUAAUACCAUGAAAGAGUUUCAGCUAUCAAGAAAAGCAACCACUGCUUCUGUUAUCUAGAGAGUUUUAUAUUCAUUACACAGGUUUGUUUCUAACUAAAGUAACAACUAACAGAUGAUGGCAACUAAUCUAAGUUAACAAUAAGGUGUUUAUUCUAUUAAGAGUGCUGAAGAUCAAUUGUUGAUCUUGAUGGCUUGUUGUAUCAUGAUGAACUUUGAUGUGCUAAAGUUGAAACAAGUUUGUACAUUUUAACAAAGAGAGGGAGGGAGCAAAUCAAUUUUUGAAUUCUUGAAUAAGUUCCUGCAUGAUUUAUUUUUCAUCCUAGCUAAGUUUUUUGUCAAUCAAUUGGUACUGUUAAUAUGGUUUAUGAUCUCCAUCUGCUUCAACAAUCUGGAUAUUAAUUUAUUAAAAUAGGCCUGCAUGCUUGUACUCUUAUUAUCUCCCUUCAUGUAAGGUAACACUAGAAAUGAAAAAAAAAAAAAAAAAAAAAAGGAAGAAGAAAUGUGCUUGUAUAUAUCACAAACAUGGAUCCACUACUUUGUGAAAAUUGAGGAUGACUCUUAAGUCUUGACAAAGGAAAAAAGGGAGAAUAAAAGAACUUCUUACUAGAAAGCUCCAUUUAUGCCUUCCUUGGUCACAUAAAAGCACAAUUUAAGUCACACAAUGCGUGAGUUUUAUUUGUACUGACCAAUGCUUAUGAUUAGCUUAUUACAUAUUAGUAUAUCACUACGAUGAUAAGAUAAUACUUGAUUAGAGGUAGUUCGAUAAUCUUCAGUAAGGAUGCUGUCUGAUGUAGUUGUUCGGUGGAUAGUAGUUGCAUAUGAUGAACCACCAUCCAUUGUUGUAAUGAGCCCUAGCAUACCCAAGACUCACUGAGUUACAGCAAACAACUUGAGUAUAGUGCCUGCAUUCCCCACCAACGCAUGAGUUGGAGUUAUAAUAAUAAUAAAUUAGGCUUUUUUGCCACCCACAAGUUCACUUUCGCAGUGCCUAUAAAUGAAUUAACCACUGCCCUUGGCAAAGUUCUCCCCAGAAGACCCAUUCGAAUGCCUGAGAUUGCAGUCCCCGAUCCAUUUGUUGGCAUAGUUCUGAGCAUAGGAGGCUAUGGUGUUGUUCCAUGUCAUAGACCGAACGCCAAAUUGUGCCUGAUUAGUAUUGUGAGCAUUGAGGUAGUCCUGUUGUGAGUUUUGGGCAUAGGAGGUGUGAACCAAGGCUAAGCCCAUGAGACAAGCAAGUGCUACUGAAAUAUUCUUACACAACCCCAUUUUCAGUUGUGAUAUUUGAUGCAGAAUAAGGAUUUCUUCGAUGGGUAUUCAUAGGAAAAAGGACUUGAAAUUAAGGUGAUCAAGGGCAUCACAAUUAAACCAACUCCAAAUGGUCAAGGACACAGAAGACUUUGUUGUCACUUGCACAUGUAAAAGGACAAUAAUUGAUAAAAUAAUUGCCACUAUGAUCAAAAUUAUUGAACUAUCGAUUUUCCUCAAAACUUAAGGUAGAUGGAUAAGAUAUACAAACCAUAGUCCUCCCCAAUAUCCAAAUUAGGGAGAAGCAACUCAAACAUAUGACUUUCUGUCAAAUCAAAUUCUGAUACCAUGUUGAACAACGAAUUUUUCUAAAAGUUUAACCUUGUAGGAUUUAGGUUUAAUAUGCAUAUCAUGUUCUUUAACAAAAAUGACUUCCAUCAUCACCUUGUUCUUAGCAUUUGAUAAACAUUAUUGAAAAAGUUUUAGUAUAUCUUCUAGGUUUUAGCCUAGGCGUCCAAACCAGUUUGAUCAAGACUAGUAAUAAGUUUCUAUUUUCAACAUAAAACCAAAUUAAUUAGAAGGAAACUAUAUAUGAUUUUACAAUUAAUAUAAAAAUUUAGCAAAAUGUGACAGUUUGGCCUUUUUGGUGACAUGUCCAAUACUGACAGAUUGGUUCUUUACUAAUUCAAUCACCCUUCUAAGAAUCAAACACAUAUUCAAAUCAAGGAUCUAAUCUACAUAUAUCCAAUGUUUUAAAAACCGGACGGGACCAGCCGGUCUAACCGGUUCAACCGUCGACCGGUGGCAUUUUCGGUCUGGUUUGCCUUAUUAAACCGGUCACGAACUACCUAAACCGACGAUCAAACCGGUGAACCGGACGGUUCUAAUCAAACCGAACAGUUCAUUUUGCUAGCAUGGAAGGUUUCCUUGUAUAAAAAACUUUGGCUAAAGCCCACACCCCACUCAACCAUAGUGUGGGCUGAGUCUUAAGCCCACCAAGGUGUGGGCUGAGUCUUGAGCCCACCAGAUGAGGUAGUGCCUUGGCCUCAAUGAGGAUAGCUUUUAGGGAGAAUUACCCAAAAGGGUGGGCUAGGCAGAACAAUUACUAGAAAGGGUGAUAUCUUUUAAUAAUUCUUAGAGAAGACUUUAAUAGGCUUAAUAUACCAAAAUUGUCCUUUAACUAAAACUUUUAAAAUUCAAAGCAUUUAAAGCACUUCACUUGAUUUGUCAAUACAUUUAUGGUACAUGGGUCCCACAUUUAUUGUAAUUAUUGAUAUUUAAAUUUUAAAUCAAAAUUUUGGGUUUAACUCUUAUAAUUAUAUAUAAUUUGUUAUUUACAUUUACUAUUUAAAACAAAAAUACUUUUAAAAAAUAUUUUCAAAAUAUCAUUUAUUGUUUUUUUACCUUUUUUAUUUUUAUUCUCAUUUUUAAUUUUAUGAAGAAAAAAAUAAGUUUUAUAAUUAUAUAAUAAAAAUGAUGAUUUUUUUCAUAUAUAUAUAUUAUAAUUUUAAAUUGAUAAAUUAUGUUUGUGUAUUAAAUUUAAGGAAGAUAAAAUGUUUAAUUUUUCAUUUAGAUUCUCUAAAAAGAAUAAGAAAAUGAUAGAGAAGGUUUAAUCAUUUUUUAUUUUUAUAAUAAAAUAAUUUUAAAAAAUUUAUAUGAUUUUUUUUCCUUUGCAUUGUGUUUUUUUUUUUUUUUUCAUAUAAAUUUUUUUUUCUCAAUGCAUCAAGUGGAUGAUGUUAAUAUAUUUGAUAUGUUGAAUAUUAAUAAGGUAUAAAAGGUGAUCCUCAAAAUUAUUACUUUUAUUAUAAAAUACAAGCACAACAAAAAUAUGUUAUAAUUACAAUAUAAAUACACUUACAUUACAAUACAUUACAAUAAAACCUAAUUAAGAAAUUUAUGAAAUUUUUUAUAAAAAUGGUAAUUUUAUAUGAUCAUACCAUAUUUUACAACAUACAUAUAUCAUAAAUAAUUUAUGAAACCAAAUGAAAUACUAAUUUGAAUUCACGUAGUUUAUAUAUAUAUAUAUAUAUAUAUACAAAGUUAUUAAAUAAUUUCAAAACACUAAAUAAAUGUUGUUAAUAUAUUGAUACGAUGUAUUAAUACCAAUAGGGUAUGAAUAAACAUUUUUAAAAUUAUUACUUUUGUAAUGAAAUAUAGAUACGACAUAAAUGUAUUAUACUUACAAUAUAAAUCCACUAUCAUUACAAUAUAUUACAACAUAAUUUAAUUUAUUUUUAUUUAAUUUUUUCACGUGCUAUAUUACCCAAUGAAUAAUUCUGAGUUAUUCCAUUUAAUAGGUGUGUGUUAAUCAAUUGAAUAUUUAUAUAUUAUUCAAUUGAUGAGUGCUCGUAAAAAAUAAUUAUUCAUUAUAUUAUGAUAACAAAGUUUUUAAUUGUAUGUUUUAUAUAUAAAACGAUAUAAUAAUUUUAGGAUAUGGUUUUUAUUUAGGAGACAUUAAAAAUUAUUUUUUUUUUACAAGGUUCUUUAAAAAAUCUCAAUUUUUUUGAAAAAAAAAAAAGCAAAUUUUUAAAUAGUCAUUUGAUUGUUCAAAAGUGAACAAUUUUUUCAAGCUGAGAAAUGUACCGUUGAUUGCCUAUCAACCUGUAUUUAUCAUCAUGUAUGGGCCCCACAUCAUUGACAAUCUCAAUUUAUUUAUAAAUUAUAUAGAAAACAUAUUCAAGGACAAAAUUGUCCUCUAAAAGAGUAAGCCUUCAUAGUCAUUAUUUUUUCCAACCUACCCUAUUCAGUAAUUCUCCCUAGCUUUUAUAGGCAUCCUUUGCAUCCUCAUUCCUCUUAGAAACCAAUAUGGGAUCGCACCCAAGAGGAUUUGAACUUGGACCCCAGAUUCAAUAGCCAUCUUAGGACACCACAUGACUACACAACUUUUGUUACCUAAUAUGCCAAACAAAAUAAUAUAUAUUGGAUUUUAAAAAUUUUUAUAAUAUUAAAUAAAAAUAAUAUAAUAUUUUUAAAAAUUAUAAAAUUAGUUUAAAUUUUCAUUUUUAAUAUAUUCACAUUUAAAUAUUUUACAUAUUUCAUUUAAUAAAAUUAAAAAUAUUAAUAUGAUUUAAUUUGAUAAUAUUAUUGAUUUUUAAUUUAUUCAUAUAUAUUUUAAAAUUUUAUAAUUAUUUUUAAUUUUAAUAAUAUAUAAAUUAUAUAUUUAUGACAUCAUGGGUUCGACCGUGGUUCGACCGUCGGUCCGACCAGUAAACCGUGAACUGAUAACUUUUUCGGUUCGAUCACCGGUCUGAUUAUGAAAACAUUACAUAUAUCACCAAAAGCAGGCACAAAAUUGAGAAGUAUAUAAUACGAUUUCAUCUGCAACUAUAAAACAUAUAUAUUUUCACUUAAGUGCAUGUCUCUUUAGUGUGUAAAGAUCUUAUUGAAUACGCAAAAAUUUAAAAUUAUGAAACUUCUUUGUCUUAGAAGCCUUUUAAUUUAUAAAAGCAUCUAGCUCCUUAGAUUCAUAAAAGGCUUGGAAGUUACUUAUAUUUUUUUAGCCCUAAUUAAACAUCUUUAGUAUGUUUAGAAACAUAGUAUAAAGUAUCUUAAUAUUAUUCAUUUCAAACACUCAAUAAGACCAAGUAUUUAGAGGAGUUUCUGAAAAACAUUUGAUAAAAAUCAAAUGCUUAUAAAUUACUUUGUGGAUCGUCUUACACAAUUCUACUCCAUAGUUGGCAAUGAAAAAUCUAGUUAAUUUAUGUCAUAAUUGAUUUAACUCUAAGGCCAUAUUUGCUACAUGGGAAUGAGGAAUGAGAAUGAAAAUUUUCUUUUCGUUUUUUUUUCUUCUUGAAUAUGAAUGAAUUUGGUGAUUCCAAUUUUUGUGAUUGGAUGUAUAUAGGAAUGUAAGUUUUUGUUCCAUUUCAAUGUUAAUUAAGUAACAACGGAAAUGAGGAUUAAAAAAGAAAUAAAUUGAUAGUAAUAUUCAUACAUCUAGUUUAACAUAAUCUUUUAUUUUCAUUUUUAAGAAAACUGUCACACUAUACAUAGUUUAAAAUAAUUUUUUAUUUUCAUUUAAAAAAGAACAUCUUUGAAAGUUCUUUUUGUUAAAUAAUAAAAAUCUAUUUGGGUUUAUGAUUUACAAAUAAAAUUAUUUUCAAAAAUUAAUAUCACUGUUUGGUUGUUGUUCUUGAAAAAUAAUUUUAAAAACAAACUAAUAAGUUUAAUAAUUAUUAAAAUAGGAUUAACAAUUUUAAUUUUAAAUUAUUAUUAUUUAUUUUUAAUAAAAUAAAUCAAUUAUACUUUUCUAAUAUGUUAAUAUCCAUAUUUUGUAAUAUUUAUAAAAAUAUAAUUUAUAAUUUUAUUAUAAUAUUAUUAUUCAUAUUCUAUUAAAAACGAUUUAUUUUUUAUUAUAUAAAUUGAAUUUACAAUUUAUUUAUUUUUAAAAAAAAUAUUCUUAAAAACAACUUAUCUAAAAAGAUUUUCGGUUUUUUAAUUUUUGAAAAGUUUUUCUAAAAUGAAUUUGCCUAAAAAAAUAAAAAUACCUCCUCCUAUGAUCUUUUAGAAUCAUUCUUGAUUUCAUUCUCAUCAUCAUUUAAAUUAUUUAGAAAAAGAAAUGAGAUUCCAAUUUUCAUUCCUCAUUUUCGUAUACCAAACACGAGAUAAUUGAAAUGGGAAAUUGAACAAAGAUACAACAAUUUGCUUUUUUAAUAUUUCUUGCUUGGUUGAAAUGUUGUGACUACUUUUCCAAUAUUAAUUCGUAAGGAAUUGGAUUUUCUUCACAAAUUUUAACCAAUCAAGUUCACAAAAUUUUCUCCGCAAAUUUUGCGGUAGUGGCUUAUUUCCUGUCAUCAAUGUCCGCUGCAAUUUGCUUGAACUGUUCUAUACAAUCAGAUCGAAAAAUCGGGACCAUCACGUGCUUCACAUGAUGGAGAAGUCCCCCGCAAUGUUUUUCAUCCAUCCUUUCUUUUCGUCUGACACCACAUUUAAACCUUUGGUCUUGUGCAUAUGGGAAUAACGUUUGAAUUAUAUUCCUUUCAUAUGUACUAUGUUCAUCUUCCUAGUCUCAAAAGUUUAAUAUGCAUCGAAGUCGUUACUGCUUCAAUCGUUUAAGGACAUGUUUGGUUUCUGAAAAGUGUUAGAAAAAGAAAAAAAAAAUAUGAAGAAAAAUGGUUUUUUUUAUAUUUGAUUUUAUUAUGAAAAAUAUAAAAAAAAAUUAAGUAUAAUUAAAAUUAUUAAGAAACUUGUAUAUUAUUAAAUUAUUUAAUUUUUAUAUAGAAGAAUUAAAUAAGUAAAAAAAAAUUAAAAUGAUAUAUAAAAAUGAUUUAUUUAAUUUAAAUCUAUUUUUAUUUUUUUUCAUUUUUUUUUUAUUUUCUUUUUCUUGCAUUUUCCUUCAAACUUUUCAUGAACCAAACAUAGUCUAAGGAUGCCUAUGGUACACACAUAAGAUUAAUGAUACUAGAUAUGAAAAUUGAAGACAACAAAAAUCAAAAUCUAGAGCUAUGAAUUUUUUUUUUAAUUCCAAUAUUGUUUCUAUUAAGAAACGAAAAUGUUGUAAUAAAUAGGAAAUGAAGUUAGAAAAUAAUUAAAAAUAAACUUGUAAAAAUAAUUAGUGGAAAAAAUCAUGCAAAUCUCUUGACUUACACAUCCAAAUAAGGCAUAUAAUUCAUUAACUUAAAUUAAGGCAUGAAUGAUGCACAAAUGCAAUAAUAAAAGAAAAAAUUUCUAAAUGUGCAUGUGAAGUCAAUUUCUCUAGAAUGGUUAUGUGCAUGCUUGUAAAGCCUGGAAAGUGAUUUCAUUCAUCCAAGGCAAGGACUAAAUAUGGCAACACCUCGACAACGCGUUUCAGCAAGUGUGAAGACUUCUUAAUUAACUUAUUUACUAUUUUUUGUGUUAAAAAAAAGAAGAAAAUGAAAAAAAUAAUUAAACUAUUUUAUAGGCUAAAAAAAUCUCAUUGGGUGGAGCAAGAAAAGAUAAGAUAAGAAGUAUGCGAAGGCAAAUUAAUUCAAAUCUAGUUAUAUAUACACUUAAGAGGAGAAGGCCUGGGGGAAGGAGUUGAGUUUUGUUUGUUGGUCUCCUCUUCAAAAUUUAAUUAAGAACAAUUAAUUAUUAAGAGAGAUAUAAAACUAAGUAUACACAAACCCAGUCUAUAGUGGUUCGGCAAUCUUGACUUUGUGAAUGAAUAAGGCAAGGUUUUUUAGACACCUAUCCUACUAUGACCUCAGUUUAUAGUGGGUGCCUAUAUAUAUAUAUAUAUUGACUUUAUGAAUGAAUUUAGUAAUUAAGAUGAGCUUGAUUGAUUGAAGUUUUGAACCCAAAUUGCAUUACACAAGUGUAAUAUUUUAUAGUUGUAAAAGUUCAGACCUUGAUUCAUGAAACUAUCUAAAAAGGAGGUGAACAGGUACUCCUUUUUCUCUUUUCUUUUUUUUUGCCUAAAAGUAAAAUUUUGAUUUGAGAAAUUAUUUGGGUCCAUCAAACAUCUUUAACCCCCUCAACAUAUCUUAAACUUAGGAUUGGUUGAAAUAGAGUUAGGAAAGCUUUAUGCAACUUUGUUGCUCCACUCUUAGUUUGUUCUAGCUUCUCAAAUGCCCCAAAAGGUUCUCAUGACCACCCUUAAUUAUUCAUCAAAAUAGUUGCAAACAUCAAGGAAUAAGGGGAAAAUAUGAGAAAGUCAAGCAUGUGUAGGUUAGCAUAGAGUUAGCUAGUUAGAGAAUGCAUUUAAUUUUAAAAUCAAGCCUAAGAUGUUAUUUUUCCCUCUUAUCAUGCAAGGUAUGUCAUUAAUCAUUAUUUUUAAUUUUAUGCACCACAUAUAACACACUUUGCUAUUAAGGCAUUCCUUAUUUGUGGUAUCCAAUCUCUAAAGUUCUCCUAGUUUGAUUUAUUUUUAAGUUGAUGGACUAAUUUAAUUUAGGCUGGGACUAUUUGGAUGAGGAAUUAUAAUUUGUAAUGCAAAUAUUGAGAGGUUGCAAAAUUUUUAUGUCUAGAAUUUUGUGAAAAAAAUUUUGAAGGGGGAUAUGGUUUAACAUAUUUUAUCUAUAUUAGCAAUCCCAUAAUGCAUUUUAUAGCAUCUGAUAUCUCUUCCAUAUUAAACCUAAUAUCAAGCUCCAGUUCAAAUUCUAGUGGAGUGUGAUUUUUUUGUACAAAGGUAAGUUUGCUCACAAGAAUUUUUUAUGCAUUAAUUUGAAGCACAAUUCAUAUUUUUUAAUGUAUGAAAAAUCAACUUUCUAAGUGAAGAUUGUUGGAGAGUAUGAUAUAUAUUAUGAACUCAAAUCUUAUAAGCUUAAGUUUUUAUGAAGAUUAGUUAUUCAACAUUGUAUCAGAGUCUUGUUGAGUGUGAGGUUAAGUAUUCAAAUCUCACCACCGUAUGUUUAUUUCUCCAAUUUAUUAAUCCCAUGUGUAAGCCUAUAUGGGAGGGAGGAUGUUGAAGAGCAUAAUAUACAUUGUGAAUCCAAAUCCUAAAUUUUAGGAUUGAGCUUUGGAACCAUCUCAACCAAAACUAAUUUGUGUCUAGUGUUGAGGGUAAGUUAAAGACUUUUAUGGCAUUUGACCACUAUCCUUUGGGUGACCCAUCCUUAGAGCUCUUCUUGGCUUAAGGUAGGCAUUGUUGCAUCUUAACAAUCCUUCCCCCAAUAUACUUGUGUGACUCUAACCCAUGACCUUAGGUAAAGCUUUGACCAUCUCAUCUAAAAACCAAUUUGUAUCCGAUGAUGAUAGGUUAAUCCUUUUAUGACAUUCUACCACCGUCAUUUUGGGGAUCUAUUCUCGAGCUUAAGAGUGACAUUGUUGCAUCCCAACAAUGUUACCCCAAAUAUGAUGAUUUUGUUGCUAGAACCAACGACUUUGACUCUAAUGCUAAUCCUUGGACCUGGGCUUUUGACCAACUCAACUAAAAACUAAUUGGUUCUAGUGAGGGUCGAAUAAGUCUUAUAUCACGUUCAGCUACCAUCAUCAAGGUGAUUUAUCUUUGGGCUCAAAAUGACAUUGUUGCAUCCCAACAAUUCCUAAAAGGUUAAGCUUAUAGGAUUUGAAUUCAUAGUGUAUAUCAUGCUCUCCAAUAAAGAAAUGACAAAAAAAAGGAAAAAAAUAUUAGCAUUAGCUUGGAUUGUUAUGCAAAUUUUUGUUGCAUAAUAUGAUUUUUAAGUUACCAAAUAGUUAUGUUGAUUUAUUAUUAUAAUAAAAUCAUCAAGCCUUAAAAAGUUUGGGAAAAUAACCACCCCUUUUGUAUUAUUUUUAACUAUUCAAAAUAUUUAUAUUUUUAGACAUGGAUUUUUCUUUUCUAAAUUAUGGGAAAUUUCAUAUUAAUUUGAUUCUCUUAGUUUUGACAAGGCUUGUAAAAAUUUUGAUAAUGAUUAAAGGUUCUUUUGUGGAGAAUAAAGUUCUCCCUGUUCAUAUUUUGAAAUCCCUAAAUCUCAUUCAAGAUACAAAAGCCAAUCAUUUUAGCAAUACAUGUCCAUUAAAGGAUUCAUGGAGUCUGAAGGUGUUUGUCUUGAAAGAGUUCAAGGUUGAAAAAUAGGUCAAGGAGACCUGCAACUCUGCAACUUUGUCGAGUUGACGAAAGGGUUGAAACUGUAGAGCAUGACUGCAAAAGGAUCUUAGGGGUUGUUUUUUUGAUAAAUUUCUAUAAUUGACAUUUUACUAUAGUGGAUUUUCCUUACAACCUCAGCAUUAUGAUUUUUUUUUGUACCUAAACAUAGUUUGAUUCCUAAAAAAUUUAAGAGAAAAUGUGGGAGGCAAAAGUAGGGAUGAAAAGUUAAAGAAAAAAGAAGAGAAUUAAAAAUAAUAAUUUAAAAUUACUAUAUUACUUUUUUUGACGUCACUUCAAAACUCAUUUUUACUUAUUUUAAUUCAUGUGUAUAAAAGUUAAGUAAUUUAAAAAUAUAUAAAUUUGUAAUUAAUUUUAAUUAUAUAUAUGUUUUUUUUCAUAUUUUACAUGGUAAAAUCAAAUAUCAAAAAUGUAUUUUUCCCUUGAUAUUUUUUUCCUUGGGGCUUUCCUGAACUCAACAAAGUCUACAAAGAUUGGGUGUUCUUUUUUUGUUUAUUUUAAUUAGGAUCACCUUGAUCACCCAAGUGGAUAAUUUUAAAAUUUGAGAACAUCACAAUGUACCCACUUUCUUUUUUGUAAUUCCAUAAUAUUGAAAACCAUUUUUUUCUGACAACUUAAUACUAUCAUUUACAAUGACUGAGUCAUGUUUCCACGAGAUCAUGCCCAUUAAUUGCUAAUUUCAUAAGAUUAUCUUCACUUAAAUCAGAAUUUCAACAAAACCUAGAUUAAGAGUUGGGAGGCUCAAAAGCUUCUUAAGAAGAACAAUAUAACAAGUUCUUUUUGUACAAAUAUAUAUGUUGCUUGAGACCAACACAUGCCCAUCAUAGAUGAUUUGUCCAUCUCUCCUAACUAGAUUGAGGCCAAUUAAUCCAGCCAAGCUUGAAAUUUCCUUUUUCAAUCAAUAUCCCAGGACUGAUUUCAAAGCUCUUUUAGAACCCAAUAUGUCUUCAAGUUAGCCACACUUUUUAAAAGCUUCUUUUAAGUUUGUUGCAAUUGUUAUGUUAUUCUUCCACUAACAACAGCUUGAUAUCUAAACUCUGAACUUCGAUGUUCUGUAGCUGCAACAAGUUGGCGCAUUUUUAAUAGAAAGAAAAUCAAUUUUUAAAUUCUUGAACAAGUUCCUGCAUGAUUUAUUUUUCAUCCUAGCAAUGUUUUUUAUCAGUCAAUUGGUACUGUUAAUAUGGUUUAUGAUCUCCAUCUGCUUCAACAAUCUGGAUAAGUUGCAUAAUAUAUUCAUGCAAAUAAGGAGAUUUUUCACUCCAUGCAUGAGUUUUGUUUGUACUGACCAAUACUUGUGAUCAGCUUAUUACAGAUUACUACGAUGAUAGGAUAAUACUUGCUUAGAGGUAGUUCGAUAAUCUUCAAUAAGGACGCUGUCCGACAUAGUUGCCCGGUGGAUCGUAGUUGCAUGUGACGAACCACCCUCCAUUGUUGCAUUGAACCCUAGCGCACCCAAGGCGCACUGAGUUGCGCCAAACAACUUGAGUAUAGUGCCCGCAUUUCCCACCAACGCAUGAGUUGGAGUUGUAGUCAUAAUUAGGCUUCUCCCCCACCCACAGGUUCACCGCAUCAGUGCCUGUCAAUGAACCGCUGCC